UUGUUUCCUCCCUCCCGCCAAGGAUUAGAAGAAAUUGGCGUGAAUCAUCGAAGAAGACAAAUCCGCGGCAACCAAGGUCCCUGGUCGGAAGAAGACAGCUCCGCGCCUGCCCCCCCCCCCCCCCCCCCCCCCCCCCCCCCCCCAAGUUGUGGUGUGUUGAAAAAUGGAUAUGCCUUGUUGGCCCACCAGUCAUUGAGGGGAAAUAGGGACCCAUUAAUUUGAUUUUUUUUCUUUUUCAUUCUUUCCAUAGUAUGAUUCAUGUAGUUCAAAUCUUCAUCUCAUCCCUUUGUUUUCCAUUCCUCUAUUUUGCCACAAACUCUACAUGCCAUUCCUGUGUUUCCUUUUGUUCCUGCGUUUUCUAAUCCUUCGUUACAAACAAGGCCGUAUGGAUGCUGAUACUCUGGGUGAGCCCAGCAAUUCCUUCCAACCAGCCAGAUUGGUUGUUGGGGAAAAGAUCCUCCACAAAGAAAGAGGAGCGCGGGCGGAUUAAUGGAAAGAAAUGGGAAAAGCGAAAAGAAAAGCCUGGCCCACCGCACCAACACACACAAUUGACACGGACACCUCAAUCCCAACUGUCUCCACACGCCUCCCGACGCAAGCAACGAAGGGCAGCCGAGGCGAGCCCGGCCCGCCAAAAUCCCCGCGCCCCGCGCCCCACGCCACCCCGCCCCACCCAGUCAAGCAACCCCUCCUCCGAAACCGCCACCCUUCCGGCCUUCCAGAAUCCCAGCGACGGCCGCUAAUCACAUCGCGCCCCCACCCUAACCCGCCGCUAAUCACAUUCCCCCACCACCUACACUAUAACACCCCCUUCUCCCCCACCCCCGCGCACCCCCCCCCCCUCCAAUCUGAAAUUCUCCACCCAACCCUAGCCGCCGAGGCAUCCCCGCCUCCCGACCGCCGCCAUGGCCGAAUCCGGCGACUCGUCCCCGCACUCCGCCGCGGCCACGGACGACACGCACCACGAGGGCUCGGACGCCUCCGCGGCGGCGGCGGCGGCGGCGCCGCCGCUCCCGCCGGCGAAGGUGCGGCUGAUGGUGAGCUACGGGGGGCGCAUCCAGCCGCGGCCCCACGACAACCAGCUCGCGUACGUCAACGGCGAGACCAAGAUCCUGUCGCUCGAGAGGCCACUCCGCUUCGCCGACUUCGCCGCGCGCCUCGCCGCGCUCGCCGGGAACAUGGGGGACAUCUGCAUCAAGUACCAGCUGCCGGGGGAGGACCUCGACGCGCUCGUCUCCGUCACCAACGACGAGGAUCUGGAGCACCUCGUCCUCGAGUACGACCGCCUCCACCUGCUCCGCCCCGCGCCAGGCUCCGGCGGCGGCUCCAACCGUGGAUCCACGCUCCGGCUCAGGGUCUUCCUCUUCCCCGUCCAGUCGCCCCCGCCGCCGCCGCCGCCGGCCGGCCUCCUCGAGCCCAAGGCGGAGCGCCACUGGUUCGUCGAGGCGCUCAACACCAUCCCGCAACCCAAGCAGGAGACGUCUCCGUCGCCAGUCCCCGCGCAGCAGUCGCCGCCGCAGCAGAAGCAGGAGUCGGUGUUCGCGCAGCAGUCGUCGCCGCCGCAGGCGAAGCACGAGACGGUGUUCGUUCAGCAGCCGCCACCGCAGACGGUGCUGCAGAUGGCGCCGCCCCAGCCGCACAUGGUGCUAGCGGCGGCGAGCCCCGACUACCUGUUCGGCCUCGACAACGGCUUCGUGCCUCCCCCGGCGGUGAAGGUGAAGGACCCUGCUGGCGAUCCUCCGACGGUGAGGGAGAACGUCCCCGUCGAGUUACCCGCCAAAAACGACGACCGCCAUCCCAACCCCGCGGGUGACCACGUCGCUGUCUCCCCCGUCGUCUCACCUGCCGAGUUCCAGCGCCAGAUCCAGGAGCUCGAGAAGCUGCAGGUCGCCGACAACGCCACCCACCAACCACCUCCCGCCUCGGCAUCUGCUCCGGCCGCCGCCCCCGCCCCGGCACCCGCUCCCGCCGCCCUCCCGAGGAACGGCAGCGACGACUCCCUGACCCGCGCGUACCCUCCCGCCACCGCCACCCCACCCGCCAACGCGGACUACUACCUUCCAAAGUUCCCGGAGAAGCCCCCAGUUCCACCGCCGUCAUCCGCCCCUCCCGCGACGGCCUACCUGCAGGUGCCGGGCAGGUAUACAUCCGUCGCCCCUGGCUCCGGCGCGGACCAUGCCCCCGUCUUCUUCAUCCCGGCGCCCCAUGGCUACUUCGCCGCCACCGCCUCCCCAGGUGCGACCUCCUUCCCCGCCAUGUACGCCGUCGCGCCACCCAAUGCCAACGCCAACGGGAACGGCUCCGCCCCCUCGGCCGCGGUGUCAAACGCGACGGCCUACGCCCCUGCCCCGCAGGUUGCGUAUGACAGCAAUGGCCGCGCCAUCUACUACACCAGCAUGCUGCCCCAGUAUCCUUCUGCUGUCAAUGGCAUGUCGGCGGCGGGUGCAGUGCUCGGCACAGAGCCCGCGAAGCCGGUGGCAGUGAAGCCGACCGUCUCCUGAUCACCACCACCACAGCUUACCUCACCUUAUCGCCAAUGGAUCAAAGGAGUUUUCCAAUUUUUCUUUCAUCCGCCGCCCGUCAAUAUGCGUUAAUACUGCGUCAGUUGGAUUCGUUAUUGUCUCUAGUAUUCACCUAUAUUUUUUUCCUUUCCUCUUUUAAAUUGUCUAGAGUUUUUUGGUUUGGCGUUCUGGGUCAUGAUAUGAUGCAAAAACUAUUAGUAGUUCUUUGGUGUGCUUAGAUGUACAUACAGAGUCUGUGGACAUAAUGGAUAAGUAUUAUAUUAGCUUACUGGAAGAGUUGGAGUUCAGUCGGGUUGUUUAACAAUCUUGGGGUGUCAGCUGCUAUUUGUUAAUUCUUUAGGGUUGCUGUAUCGAUUAAUGCCAGAAGUUCAGUGCGGGCUAAUUGGCCAUGUGAUCUCUCGGUAUUCUUGCACCCUCUGUGAUGGGCGUGUAACCUGUUUCUUUGUCAAUUGCUGCUCCCUUGUGGGCAGCUGCAGUGGUUUCCAGCUGAUCACGGGAGAUCAGCAUGGUGCAUUUAUGUAUGGAUGUACUGACUACUGAGGCAAAUGUUGGUUGUUGCUAUAAAGUUAGUCACUGGUGGUGUACUGUUGAUGUGCGUAUGUUGAAUGCAUCAAACCAAAUCUUUCGACCAGAUGAGCAUCAGUUCGGUUUUAACUUGCGUCCCAGGUGUUGGAUAAAAUUGUGAUGCGUCUGCUUCUAGUUUGACAUGUCAGUGAGCGCGAUUGGCGCAGAUAAUUUUCCUUCCGUUCUGACUUGUUCAAUCCUUGUUCAUAAUUAGUCUCUCCAUCAGAUUGGUUGAGCCAGAUCUGCAUGGAGCUGCAUAAAUGUGUACUACGCCUUAGAAAUGACACUCUGUUGCAAGUAGCACGAGUCACAAUCGUUGAAACUGAGGCUCAUGUCUCCUCCCCUCUUGAAAGGCGACAAAGUGCAUCGCCUUGUUCCCGCCCAUUGUCACCUCCAUGCUUCCUUCCCGAGCGUGCUGCAUCGUUGAUCUCGGAUGCCUUGCAUCGCAAAGAGGAUCUUUCAUUCUUUCGAUGUCCAUCAAGGUAUCAUGCCGAUGCCCCUUUUGGGCAAAGACGUUUAAGCUUCUGCGGCGACAUGGCUUUUGACCAAAGCCAUCGUUCAUGCCCUUUCCCUGUGCGAAUGGAUUGUUGCGGCUUUUACCACCUGAUGAGUGAUGACUCCCUGGCUUGGACCAUGGUCUCUUCUUCCUGGUCUGGGAUCAGCACUUGAGCCCCGGCAGGAACCGUGGCAGAGCUUGGAUCAGAAUCCUCACCAUGUGCAUGGCCAGGUUUGGCCCCUGUGGGUGCAGCAAUGUGAAGUCGGAGCUGGAACUGGAAGACGAGCGCUGUUCCUCUUCAGCUGCUGCUGUUGAGCCACUGGGGCUGUCGAGCUGAACGAGCAGCAUUCAGCAGAGUCUGCAGUUGCACUGCAUGCGCAUUGGAAGGCACAUGGAAAGGCGUGGUGCUCCAUCCCCCUUCACACCGAUCGGCAUGCUGCCGAGGUGCUGGGUAGCUUAGCUUUGAAUGCCAACUCGUUUGGUUGGAUAUGGUUGCUGCAGGUUACCGGGCAUUAAUCCUGUUUGGUGAUGGCGCUCAUGUGCCUGAUGUGAGAUGGCAGCCUCAGCCGGUGUGGUGAGUUGCAGGAGGACGGAAGGUGGUGGCUGCAACUGCAACUGCCCAGAAGCAUGGGUGCCAUUAAAAUGCUUUCAAGCCCUAUAUGGCUGUGCGUAUCUGCUGCAGUUCAGUGACGCUUCACUCGCUUCGUCAGAAAGCGAUGGCGUUGCUACUUGCUUGUGUGUUUCUGCAGGGGUGAUGUGAGACGGCCGUUGAUUGCUCGGAGAGUGUGCUCAGGUUUAUGUUCUGUGCAGACCAGCUGCGGGAGGAGAUGUCGAGAGGAAGGACGCCGCGCGAGAGGGAGGCGGGGCCAGGGCAGAGGAGAGGAGUAAGGAAAGGCUGGGUUGCUUUCGAGCUGUUUGUGCUGCGCCCAUCGUUCCCCUCCGCAUGAUUGUUGUCCUGCGAGCUGUCACGGGAUGAUGAUUCGCGCCCGCGCGCUCGGCAGUGCAUGCAUGCACUGGUGUCUGAAAGCGCAAGCAUGUCUAGCCUGGAGUGGAUGAUUCCGACGAUCUUUUUUAAUGCAAAAGCACUAGUGCAUCGCGUCUCUGAUUGAUAGGGUUCAAGAGGUGUCUGAAAGUUUAUGAAAAUUAUCAUUUCUAAUGGUUGGAGGUGGAAGAUAAAGGCAGAGUUGGCUGUUGCAAGUCCUUCACUUCAUUGAGCUUAUUAUAGCGCCUGGCUCUCUCUGCUGCACGCCAACGCAGACUGGGAUUGUCACGGUAGGAUAAGUAUGCCCGUGCUGAGAGUCUUCAAGAAGAUCGAUGGCAUGGCUGCGAAUCAUUUGCUCGUGUGAAGACUGCGGGUGUUCAGUUCAGCGUUCUCUGAAGAGGACGGUUGCCAAUCCUCACCGGUACUCGCUGUAGGCUCUGCUGACUUCAGAAGACUACCUGUGCAGGUAAUUGUGAACUACUCCUAAGCAUUUGGAACACAAAUCGCAGGGGCCCUGGAGCAUGUAGGGCACGCAUGGGCACAGUUUAUUUCCUGAAAUUGGGCCUUGAAGCUUGGUAUAUCUAUCAGUAGCCGUGGCCGGCCUAUGCCGUGAGGGGGGAAGUGAGUCCCAGACUCCCAGUUAGCUGUACAGGUCGGGCCUUUCGGAACCUGAAAGAAAUUGGGCCGGCAAGAGAAAAUAAACAGCGUACAUGGGCCGGAAGUUUGGUCCACCGCGUGCUGCAGCUUUACCCACUCCACUCAACUGCCGACUUGCGCCCACAAGAAAUGGCCCGGGCCGGUUGCGCAGCCCACCGGUGGGUCUGGGUAUCUUUGAGAGAGGAGAAGCACGAGUUGCUUCUCGCCUCAUCCCUCCUGCCACCGGUCAAGAAAGACGUCAAAAGGUCCACGACUCUCAAACAUGGGGGCAGCAGUAUGCUAUACAAUCCUGUCAACUGCAAACCAUUCCUGCCAUUCCAGGAAAAGCAGUUGUGCUGUCAGCGUCAAUUCGCCAAGCCAUUCCUGGAUCGUCUUCUGGUCAGCUCUCGGCAAGACAUGCCACUUUGGGAAUUCAGAAUAUACCUGUGCCGGUUUACUACUUGUGUGGCAUGUGGAGUGCGAAAAGAUUCUCAAGGUUUUGGACUCCCACGGCGUGCCAAAGUUGGCUUGGCGAUUCCCUCUCCCGAGGACGGAAUCUGCGCGCGCUCUCCACGCGGCUGCGACGCCCCUGAAUUCGCCCAAACCCACCGGCCAACCCCCACGCCGCUGAAUGAACAGAGGAGUGCACCGGAAACCUCCCGUCGGGUCGGCGCCAUGCCACGGUUCGCGCCAAGGAAGGAAGCCGCAGUUGCGCCUCCCCCAACCACGACCUCUCGUCCUCGCCCCGCGACAAGUAGUGGCAGCACUGCCUAAUGCCUGCCGGUAUAAAUACGAGCAGCAACCAUACAGGCCAAGGUCACACAAGAAAACAAGAUUGAUAGUUCGAUACAAGAGCAACAGAGAGAUCGAGACAGAGUACUGAUCUGAUCUGGUCUAUCCCAAACACAUUCUUCUAGCGAUUCAGCUUUGGAAGUUUCACCAUGUCGUCCUAUUCCAAGGCCAGCAAUGGUGAGGAACAGCAGCAGCUGGUCUGCGUGACGGGAGCAGGCGGCUUCAUCGGGUCGUGGGUGGUGAAGGAGCUCCUGCUGCGCGGCUACCGAGUCAGGGGAACCGCAAGAGACCCUGGUCAGUACAAUUUCUUUCUCGGUUACUAUCACAAAUUCAGAGUAGCGCUGCAUAAACGUGCUAAAUUUUUCUCCCUGGAUGUUUGGAUGCGCAGCCGACAGCAAGAACGCGCACUUGCUUGCUCUGGAGGGGGCCAAGGAGAGGCUCACCCUGUGCCGCGCCGAUGUCCUCGAUUUCGACUCCCUCCGCGCCGCCUUCACCGGCUGCCACGGCGUAUUUCACGUCGCCUCCCCGGUGUCCAACGACCCUGUUAGUUUUCACAAAUCUCUACUCCUACCACCUACGGCACAUUGUUCCUGUGCUAACUCGAAUUGAGAAGCCAUGUUCUUACGCUGCUUCUCCUCGCGAUGAACUGCAGGAGCUGGUGCCGGUGGCCGUGGAGGGCACCAGGAACGUGAUCAGCGCCGCGGCGGACGAGGGCGUUCGCCGGGUGGUCUUCACCUCCUCGUACGGCGCGGUGCACAUGGACCCCAACCGGAGCCCCGACGCCAUCCUCGACGAGACCUGCUGGAGCGACUACGACUUCUGCAAGCAGACGGAUGUAAGCUGUCACUGCCAGCCAGCCUCUCUUGAUCCUCUGUUUUUCUGCCUCAUCCACUGCUUCCGUCGCGUACUCAUCCGUGCUUGCGUCGAAAACACAGAACCUGUACUGCUGCGCCAAGAUGAUGGCGGAGAUCACGGCGACGGAGGAGGCGGCGCGGCGCGGCCUGCAGCUGGCGGUGGUGGUGCCCUGCAUGACCAUGGGCCCGAUGCUGCAGCAGACGCUCAACUUCAGCAGCAACCACGUGGCGCGCUACCUCAUGGGCACCAAGAGGUCCUACCCCAACGCCGUCGCCGCCUACGUCGACGUCCGCGACGUCGCGCGCGCGCACGUCCUCGCCUUCGAGCGCCCCGAAGCCCGCGGCCGAUACCUCUGCAUUGGCACCGUGCUCCACCGCGCCCAGCUCAUCGCCAUGCUCAGGGAGCUCUUCCCGCAGUACCCCGUCACCGCCAAGUGAGUUUUUACACGCCAUGGUCGACCUCUCUCUUUUCGUCGGCGAGCAUCGUUGCGUUGCUGACUCGUGAAAAUCUCGUGCGUGUCUUGGUCUGCAUAGGUGUGAAGAUGACGGCAAGCCAAUGGCGAAGCCGUACAGGUUCUCCAACCAGAGGGUCAAGGACCUGGGCAUGGAGUUCACUCCGCUGAAGAAAAGUUUGUAUGAAGCGGUGGUGAGCAUGCAGAAGAAGGGGCACCUGCCUGUGAUCAGAGAGCAGCAGCGUGCGUACUUGUAAAAUCCUGGGACGUUGGGAUUUCCCAGAUGAAAUAAACAGGGAAAACGAAGCAAAAGUGAAGGGACAGAGAUGAUACAAGCAUAUAAGGAGAUUUGAAAUUUAACACAGUUAUUCAGGUGUAUUACUUUCUUGGUAACAAAAUUCUACCAGUGUGUAUAAGCAUUCUUAAUUGUUUGAUAUCAUGUAAACCUUUAAGUCAGGAUGUCUCUUCCCGUUACUUACUCAAAAUUUAAUUCUGCCUAUAUGAAGACUGCCGGAUGAGUAAAUCUAUAAAAAACCCUUAAAAAAAGUUUUUUGCAAGUUUUUUUUCAGUUGCACACACAAAACAAAAUACAUUAAAAUCCCAAAUAAAACGAUGCAAACAAAAUAAUUUUAGUGGACUCCCAACAAAUAACUAAAGUUAUCGUGUACUAUAUGUAUACAGUGUUUUCAUUUUUAUUGAUGUCAUGCUUAAACAAACCAAAUUACACGCCAAAUAUCACAAAACACCACUAGAAAAAUCGGGGUAGCGGAAAAUAAUUUACAUUGCAACAUGGUAUCAUAAGUCGCAACACCUAAGUGCAGGAAACAUUGAAGAAGACAUGUCUUUAUAUAGCAAACACCACUAUAUUUUUUUAUAGAUUUUGCAUUUAUCAAACUCUUGGAAAUUUAUCGUAUCUCAAACUUCUAAAGGUACACACACUAAAAUUUUUUAAGGUUCCAUGCGUAUCACGACUAAGAAACAAAUUCAAGGCAAAAGAAGAAGUUCACUAGAUUUAUCUCCCUCAACCACAACAAUUUCGACUAUUGAGAUCAUUUGUUUUUUUCCUUACUAAGCAGCUUUCAGCCGGUCAGCCCGAACCAUCAACCGCGCAUCCCAUGUUUCAGUCUACAGUAUCAUCUUCUCUUCUUUUAUUAGGGGUAGCAAAAAAAAAGAAAAUUUUCUCGCCCCUGGCUGUAAGGGUGGGCAAUUGGUUAUUACGGUAUGUUUUCAGUUUUAAAGCUAGAAACAAAAUAAAAAUUAAGGGAAAACGAUUUCGAAGUUUAACAACCACUUUUUUCUCCGUUUAUGGAUCUUUUGGUUUUAAAUCAAUAAGACUACGCACACCUUUUAAAUUCAAUCUAUUAAAGAAAAUUUAGAUGACACAGAAGAUGAUGCUACGGACAUGAUAUUGCUAUGUGUUCCGACAACAACAUUUAUAUUAAUUCAGGGGAAUAAGACACUACGCACACUUAGCCGUACAUUAGAUAUUAUGCAGAGACUACACUAGAUAUGCAGCACAUGAGAAUGAAACAUAAAACGCAUGAGAAUGAAACAUAAAGUAUGGUCCUGAGAGGAUCAAGUACACGGCACAGUACCUUGAGGAUCAAUAUAAUAAUUUAGACCUUAGCAGCCUAAGACAAAGUUAAUGGUCCAACUUCCUUUGAUUCUACGUUUCGGUAUUCAUAUGUGUCCAUAAAUAAGAGUGAUUUUUGUUGAAACAUCCAAACUCUGAUUCAAACAAUAUGAGUGAUGCAUUUUGCCCCCAUCGCCAAGCUCCACGACCAAGUUCUGUAAUUGGAUCGUUUGGUCAGCUCCGGCCAAGUCAUGGCGCUUUCGGAAUACUGAAUAUACUACCGUUUUACCAGUUCUAACGGCAGUGAUCGAACCCCGGAUGUGGACCGACGAUUUCUGAAGGUUUUGGACUCCGCGACGUGCCAAAGUUGCCAUCGUGAUCCCGUCCCGUCUCGAGAGAACGGAAAAUCAGUGAGCUCUCGUGCGGCUAUUACGCCGGCCGAUUUGCCGAAACCCAUCGGCGGCGCCCCGGCCCCGCCGCUGAAUGAAUCCGGUGGCGGCGGCGCCAUGCUACGUCUCGCGGCUGCACACAGCUCUUGCGAUCCCCUUCCUAGCUGUAUAAAUACGGGCCGGGGCGCCAUCCAUACAGGCCAAGAUUAAGAAUAAUCCUUGGUUAGAUUUAUACUGUCCUAAUUUAGCCAGUAGCUAAUUUGCAAUUGAGUGGUUGUACAGCCAGCUUGAUUAUGCCUUAUAAUCAUCUGCUUAAGUAAUGCAAUAGACUCUGUAAAAGCUGCCAAGUUGACAGCGCAAAUUAAGUCCUUUGUGUUCGUGUGUUCUUAGCCGUGAGCAGGGACGUUGUUUCUCCAGCGUGUUUCUGACAUAUACGAGCUCGAUCCAAGACUCGAAGCAACAGAGUGACAGAUCAGAUACUGAUCCAAUUCCAUACACAUUUCACUAGCAAGCUAGCAUCGAUCGCAAGAGAGAGCCAUGUCGUCGUCCUAUUCCAAGUCCAGCAAUGGUGGCGAGCAGCAGCAGGAGCAGCUGGUCUGCGUGACCGGAGCAGGCGGCUUCAUCGGUUCGUGGCUGGUCAAGGAGCUCCUCAUGCGCGGCUACCGUGUCAGGGGAACUGCAAGGGACCCUGGUGAGCUAGUGAAGUCUCUUUCUUUCAUCCCACCAUCACAAAUUCAGAACAACGCUGCAAUGAUAACAACGUGCUCGUUUUGUUUUGUCCCUGAACGAAACAGAGGAUAGCAAGAACGCGCACUUGCUUGCUCUGGAGGGUGCCAGGGAGAGGCUCACCCUGUGCCGCGCCGAUGUACUCGACUACGACUCCCUCCGCGCCGCCUUCACCGGCUGCCAUGGCGUCCUCCACGUCGCCUCCCCGGUGUCCAACGACCCGGUUAGUUUUUAUGCACAAAUAACCCUCUGCAUACUCCUAGCUACACAGAACAUCGUUCACGCCCUUGCAUGCUUACGUGUGAUGGCUUGCACGAGCUGGUGCCGGUGGCCGUGGAGGGCACACGGAACGUGAUCAACGCCGCGGCGGACGAGGGCGUGCGCCGGGCGGUGUUCACCUCGACGUACGGCGCGGUGCACAUGGAUCCCAACCGGAGCCCCGACGCCGUCCUCGACGAGACCUGCUGGAGCGACUUCGACUUCUGCAAGCAGACAGGCGUAAGCUGCCAUUGCCAGCCUCUCUUCUUCUCUGAUUUGUCUCAUCCAUUAUCGCAGUGCCUGAAUUACAUCGAAACCGUGCGCGCAGAACCUGUACUGCUGCGCCAAGAUGAUGGCGGAGAUCACGGCGACGGAGGAGGCGGCGCGGCGCGGCCUGCAGCUGGCGGUGGUGGUGCCGUGCAUCACCACGGGCCCGAUGCUGCAGCAGUCGCUCAACUUCACCAGCAACCACGUCGUCCACUACCUGAUGGGCGCCAAGAGGUCCUACCCCAACGCCGUUGCCGCCUACGUCGACGUCCGCGACGUCGCGCGCGCGCACGUCCUCAACUACGAGCGCCCCGAAGCCCGCGGGCGAUACCUCUGCAUCGGCACCGUGCUCCACCGCGCCCAGUUCAUCGCCAUGCUCAUGGAGCUCUUCCCGCAGUACCCCGUCACGGCCAAGUGAGUUUACGCCAUGGCGAACCUCCUCUGUUUCCCUCUGUUGAUGCGUUGCUGACUCCGCAAACCUCGCGCGUCUUGAUGAUAUACUAGGUGUGAAGAUGACGGCAAGCCAAUGGCGAAGCCUUACAAGUUUUCCAACCAGAGGCUCAAGGACUUGGGCUUGGAGUUCACUCCACUGAAGAAAAGCUUGUGUGAAGCGGUGGUGUGCAUGCAGAAGAAGGGGCACCUGCCUGUCAUCACAGAGCAGCAGCGUUCGUACUUGUAAAUCCGGGCACGCUGAGAUUCCCCAGAUGAGAUAACACAGGUCAAACGAAACAAAAGUGAAGGGAAGAAUCAUAUAAGGACAUUGCAAAUUUAGCGUAUAUUUUUUCAGUUAUUCAUGUGUAUUACGUUCUUGAAAAAAAAACAAUUUCUACAAGUGUGUAUAAGCAUUCUUAUUUGAUAUCAUGCCACAUGUAAAGGUUUGUGAUCGGUAAUAAGGUGCUUAUGGGUCAACGAAAAGAUAAAAAACUGAAAAAAGUACUGCUUCUGUUGGCAUUUGAAUUCAUGAUGUCCCUUCCCGUUAUUACUCAAAAUUUAAUUCUGUCUGUAUGAAGAUUACCGGAUGACUAUAUAGUAUAAAAAUGUAAUAUAAACGCCGUUCCUUCAUUCUAGGGAUAGUAGAAAUUAAAAUCUCAGGUUGAUUAUAUAGUAUAAAAAUGUAAUAUAAAAUCCUCUGGUUAAGUAAUAGAGUACCAGCAAAUAGCUUACGUUUUUAGAAAAUUUUUGAUACCAACUUCAUAUUUUUUGGAUUUGAAAUAAAUUAGUUAUGAUUUUUUAUCAAAUCAAAACUUUUUAAAUUUCUAGAAAAUGCAAAAUCACCCAAAGGGUCAAAUCUGUUCGGUUUUGAUAGUUGGAUGGCCCUCCUUAUCCGUUUUUGUAGUUGUGGGUUGAAAAUCAUACUUCUAUUAUAGUAUUUGUUGGGGGGAAAUAUUAACGAUCCCCUAAGACACCACUUAAGGAAGCAGACACGGAGGCCCGGGCCCACCUAGGCGUGAUCAAAGCUCCGCCUUGCCCGACCAAGGCGCCAGGAUCGGGAACGUCCGACCCCCCUCCGCAAAGUUUCCGCCUCGCCCGACCGCGACCCCGGGGUCGGAGGCGCCCGACCCCUCGCCACGGAGUUCCGCCUCGCCCGACCCCAAGCAAAGGGGUCGGGCGCGCUGGGGCCCCCGGGGCAGGGAUCCCCCUCGGAUGCGGUCCACAUGGGCAAGACAGACAAAAUCCUGUGGGUUCCCCCGUCGGCCUCGCUAUAAAUGCGCCGCAGGUCUGACGGAGGGCAGGACGACCGCGCUCCUCACGCAACCCAUCACAAGUACCCGCGCACGACCGCUCUGUACAGGCUACAGUGCCGGCGGCCGGCUCCCAUUCGCCGCAGGGCACUCAUGGCCUGCGCCGGCCGGAGCAAAGGAGAGAGCGGCCUGUCCUCGGGCCCCGUGCGCCCUCGGGUCCCACGCAGCAAGGAUGUGACGCCCUCCCUCCAGCAGCCAUCGCCUGAGCAACAACAUCCACCGUCCUCCCUAACGGACGCUGGGAUAACGACGGAACGCCCUCAUCAUGAUCUGAGGCCUACGAGUAUCGAAGGAGCCAUCUGCAGGGAGCAACAACACUUGGCAUACGGCGGCCUCCCCCUCCGGCAUGCGCGCCGGCGCUCGCCCAGGGCCGGCAGAGGCAUCGGGCGCCCUGGAUCUGGCUCCUCCUUCUUGCUGUGCUUUUUACCAUUCUACGCUUUACUCUUUACAGUCCUCUUUACCCGAUCCCAACUGUAACUCCGGCCACCCCCUUGCGAUAUAGAAGGUGGAACCCAGGGCCAGAGAGGGGAUCGGCUUCUUCUCCCACAAGCCAUAGCACACAGCGACUCUUCCUGAGAGCGUAAGCACCAAAGAGACUUGGGACCAGUCCCUCUCUCGUCAACCUGUAACCCCUACUACAGAACCCCGCGUGGGCAACAUGAACAUCCCCGAUACUGGACGUAGGGCUUCCUUUGCCCGAACCAGUCUAAACCCGUGUCUCCCGCGCAACCACCUGAGGCUUACGCGCAUAAAAGAAAUUUACUAGUCUAAGUCUUGAUCCGCUGAUCUUGGCAACGACAGUUGGCGCGCCAGGUAGGGGACCUUUGCGCGUACAUCUCAGCCUCAGAUGGCCAGUUACGAGGGCAGCUUUGUUCCGGGCUCCCUGAUCCGUUUCGGGAGCCUGGAUUUCCUCGCCACCGGGGAAGGGAUCGAGCUGAUCCCUGUCCUCGUCCUACCCACUCGCCCAGCUGCCCCUGGCCCUGCUGCCGGGACGGCGGCGAGCGGUCGCUCGCCCACUGGAAGGACCUCACCGAGAGGACAGCCCUUCGGGCUACGCAACGCCACGAAGGCUUACGGACGCCUCCUGGGGCGGUCCUUGACCACGUCGCCCGCGAGCAACGAGCUCGUAGGCGCGACGAGGACAGUCUCUGACGCUGGCUCCAGCAGCAGGAGCCCCCACCCCUCGCGCGAGUGCCUUGUGGUCGACGCGCACUCCGAGGGGUCCAACGGCGAUGGUGCCAAGGGGAGACAACGGGUUCCCCCCUCGCGCGCCGCUGCUACAACUGGAGCCUUACCCGGGGCCCCGGAGUGCGCUCGGCAACUAGAAGCGCACGUGGGCGCUCGCCAAGAAGUAGAGCACCCCCACCACGAGGGGGGAGCGCGACAACAGGCGUGCGACAUCCAGGAACGCAUCUGCGCGGACGGAGAGCGUCCGCCGCUCUUUGCCCGCGCUAGCCAAAACGUCGCAGCCGCGGCGGUGUUGCUCCGACAGCUCCCCGAACCAGCGACGCCCGAGCAGCGACGGGCACGACAAGAGAUGCGCAACCUGCUCGAGUGCGCUGCCGUCCAGCAGGCGGAAAGUUCGACGUCCCGGCGACGCGGGCAGAACGCCAGCCGGGCGACGCAUGACGCGCCCCCGGAACGGCGGGGGGAAUCUGUCCAUCAACCCCCUCCGGGGGCGAAUCAGGCCACGUCCGCCCGACGAACCCCGCCACCCGCGGUAGGCGAGGCUCGAUCCGUUCACCAGCGCGUCGGUCUCGUCCGCGACGCCCGCGACACCCUGAACGCGCGAAGAUGCUCCCGCGCGGACAGGGGGACGGGGCAGAUCGAGGCUACCACGUUCACCGUGGCGGGCGUUACGACAGCGGGGAAGACCGCAGCCCGAGCCCAGGAGCGGCUGGGCCUCGGGCCUUCUCCGCGCGCAUCCUAAAUGCGCCCUUUCCGCCGCGCUUCAGGCAACCCACGAGUGUAGCCAAAUACUCGGGGGAGACAAAUCUUGGAGUGUGGCUCAGCGAUUACCGGCUUGCAUGUCAAGCCGGCGGGGCGGACGAUGACCUGUUCAUCAUCCGCAACCUACCCCUUUUUCUGGCAGACUCCACGCGAGCCUGGCUAGAACAUAUCCCUUCGGGACGCGUUCGCAGCUGGAGCGACCUGAAAGAGGUUUUCAUAGGAAACUUCCAUGGGACGUACACGCGCCCCGGCAACUCCUGGGAUCUCCGGAGCUGCCGUCAGGGGGCGGACGAGUCCCUCCGGGAUUACAUCCGGCGCUUCUCCAGAAAGCGCACCGAGCUCUCCAACGUCGCGGACGCCGACGUCAUAGGAGCCUUCCUAGCAAGGACCUCUUGCUGGCCCCUCGUCCACGAGCUAGGGCGCCGAGGCCCGCGAACCACGGAAGAGCUCCUCAACAUUGCCACUAGCUACGCCUCUUGCGAAGAGGCUGUCGGAGCGAUCUUCGAUCGUUCCAAGGGCAAGGCGAAGCGGGAGGAGGACGCCGACGAAGGCACCUCCAACCGCCAGCAGAAGAAGAAAGGCAAGCAGCGGCGCGAGGCCCCCCUCGUGGCCGCGGCCGAGCGCAAGCGGGGGCAGCCACCCCCCGAAGGCGCUCCCGGCUUCUUCGACAAGUUGCUCGAGGGACCGUGCCCGAACCACGAGUUCCCCGUCAAGCACACCUACAAAGAUUGUAACCUCAUGAAGAGGUACUUCGUAGGCAACCCGGUGAAAGGCGACCGGAAGCGGAAGCCCGAUGAGGAAAAGAAGGGCGACAAAGAGAAGGAAGACGGCUUCCCUAAAGUUGACGGCUGCUUCAUGAUCUUCGGCGGCUCCGCGGCUCACGACACCAAGCGCCAGCAAAAGCUGGAGCGCCGGGAGGUCUACGCGGCCGAGCCUGCGACUCCGGCCUUCCUCGACUGGUCCGGGCCAGCCAUCACCUUCGAUAGGUCCGACCACCCUGGACGCGUCUGGCAUCCGGGGCGUUACCCUCUCGUCGUCGACCCCAUCGUCGGUACGACGCGCCUCACCAAGGUACUCAUGGAUGGGGGCAGCGGCCUCAACCUCCUCUACGCCGAGAUCCUCGACGCUAUGGGGAUCGAUCGCUCCCGCCUCCGUCCCAGCAAGGCACCCUUCCAUGGCGUCGUGCCAGGGAAGCAGGCGACGCCUCUCGGGCAGAUCGACUUGCCCGUUACGUUUGGGACCCCUUCCAACUAUAGGAAGGAGGUCCUCACCUUCGAGGUGGUAGGGUUUCGCGGAACCUACCAUGCCAUCUUAGGACGGCCGUGUUACGCGAAGUUCAUGGCAUUCCCCAACUACACCUACCUCAAGCUCAAGCUGCCAGGGCCCAACGGGGUCAUCACCGUCAGCACGACCUUCCAGAAGGCGUAUGAGUGCGACGUGGAGUGUUGCGAGUAUGCCGCGGCCAUCACUGCCACGAGCGGCAUGGCGGUCCAGCUUGCGGAGGCAAUCGAAGGUCAGCCCGACGCCAAGCAGUCGGGCACCUCCUUUGAGCCCACCGAAGGUAUCAAAGAAGUCCCUCUCGAUCCCGGCUGUUCCAAUGGUGGGGUUGUGCGGAUCAGCGCGGCCCUAUCCCCCAAAUAGGAAAGCGCGCUCGUCGACUUCCUCCGCGCGAACAGCGACGUCUUCGCGUGGAAGCCCUCGGCCAUGCCAGGCAUCCCGAAAGAAGUCGCCGAGCAUUCCUUGAACAUCAGGGCUGGCUCCAAACCAGUGAAGCAAGGCUUGCGCCGUUUCGACGAAGAAAGGCGCAGGGCCAUUGGUGAAGAGCUCCAGAAGCUCUUGGCGGCCGGGUUCAUCAAGGAAGUGCGCCACCCCGAGUGGCUAGCCUAUCCUGUCCUUGUACCAAAAAAGAACGGGAAAUGGAGGAUGUGUGUCGAUUAUACCGGUCUCAACAAAGCGUGUCCAAAGGAUCCGUUUCCUUUUCCACGCAUAGAUCAAAUAGUCGACUCAACCGCCGGGUGCGAAACCCUCAGCUUCCUCGACGCAUAUUCCGGCUACCACCAGAUCGCGAUGAAAGAGGCCGACCAGCUCGCCACCUCUUUCAUCACCCCCUUUGGCCCCUAUUGCUACGUUAAGAUGCCGUUCGGCCUCAAAAACGCGGGGGGCUACCUUCCAGCGAUGCAUGCUAAAAUGCUUCGGCAAUCUCAUCGGGCGGACCGUUGAGGCCUACGUCGACGACAUCGUGGUUAAAUCCAGGAAGGGUAACCAGCUCGUUCCCGACCUGGAGCUAGCCUUCGAAAGGCUGAGGGAUAAGCGUAUUAAGCUUAAUCCCGAGAAAUGUGUGUUCGGUGUCCCAAGGGGCAUGCUGUUAGGCUUCAUCGUCUCUGUGCGCGGCAUCGAGGCAAACCCGGAGAAGAUAGCGGCCAUCAGCAACAUAGGGCCAAUCCGGAACAUAAAGGGGGUGCAGCGCGUCAUGGGAUGCUUAGCAUCCUUGAGCCGCUUCAUCUCGCGCCUCGGCGAGCGAGGUCUUCCUCUCUAUCGGCUCCUGAAGAAAUCUGACCGCUUCGAAUGGACCAGCGAGGCCCAGGAGGCACUUGACCGACUCAAGGACCUCCUGACGAAGGCCCCAAUUCUAGUCCCGCCCGCCGACGGCGAGACCCUCCUGCUCUACGUCGCGGCGACCACCCAGGUGGUCAGCGCGGCCCUAGUGGUGGAGCGGGAGGAGGAGGGGCACGCUCUUAAGGUACAACGCCCGGUGUACUUCAUCAACGAAGUCUUGUCCGAGCCCAAGACACGAUAUCCACAGAUCCAGAAGCUCGUCUACGCCAUCCUUAUCAUGAAGAGGAAGCUGCGUCACUACUUCACCUCCCACCCGGUAACGGUCGUUUCAUCAUUCCCUCUUGGUGAAGUAAUCCGGAACCCAAAUACUACAGGAAGGAUCGCGAAGUGGGCGCUUGAGCUCAUGGACCAGGGUAUCACCUAUGUCCCCCGCACCGCCAUCAAGUCCCAGGUACUUGCCGACUUCGUGGCCGAGUGGACGGAGGUACAAGCACCGUCGGCGCUGGAGGAGCAGGAGUACUGGACGAUGUACUUCGACGGGUCGCUGAUGAGGGCCCGCGCCGGAGCAGGCCUCGUCUUCGUCUCUCCGUUGGGCGUACGCAUCAGGUACAUGAUCCGCCUCCAUUUUCCUGCCUCCAACAAUGUCGCUGAGUAUGAAGCCCUACUCAACGGGCUCCGCAUCGCCAUCGAGCUUGGCAUCCGUCGGCUAGACGUCCGGGGCGAUUCCCAGUUGGUCGUCGAACAAGUCAUGAAGGAGUGGAGCUGCCAUGACCCCAAAAUGGCCGCCUACUGCAACGAGGUCCGUAAGCUCGAGGACAAGUUCGAUGGGUUGGAGCUCAACCACGUCGCAAGGCGCUUCAACGAAGCCGCUGACGAGCUAGCGAAGGCGGCGUCCGGCCGGAUGCCUGUCCCUGACGGCGUUUUCGUUAGCGACCAGCUGAAGCCUUCAACCCGUUAUCUGGAGCCAGCAGGGGUCGGCGAGGCAUGUCCAGCCCUGGGGUCGGGACUUGAGCCGGGGGAGGUCGGCAGCGCGCCACCUGUCCCGGACCCGAGCACCGGUCCCGAGGGAAUCAACGCUGCCUUACCCGACCCGGCCCUGGAAGCCAAGCCAUCCGACCCCGUGGUUAUGGAAAUCGCGGCGGGCCCCGCGGCGGGGGCCGACCCCCCGACCGACUAGAGAGCCCCGUACCUCGACUACCUUGUCCGCGACACGCUCCCGGCGGACAAAACAGAAGCCCGCAGGAUCGCGCGCCGUGCGAAAUCCUUCACCAUCAUCGACCAGGAGCUCUACAAGAGAAGUCACACUGGGAUCCUCCAGCGCUGCAUCCCGAUCGAGCAGGGAAAGGCGCUGAUCCAGGAUAUCCACGCCGGGACUUGUGGUCACGACGCUGCGCCAAGGACACUUGUUGGCAACGCCUUCCGACAAGGUUUUUACUGGCCAACCGCGGUCGCGGAUGCUACCCAGGUAGUCCGCACCUGUGAAGGAUGCCAGUUCUUUGCCCGCCAAACUCACCUGCCCGCGCAGGCGUUGCAAACCAUCCCCAUCACGUGGCCGUUCGCGGUCUGGGGGCUGGAUCUCGUCGGACCCUUCAAAAGGGCGCCCGGGGGCUUCACACAUCUGCUCGUCGCUGUCGACAAGUUCUCCAAAUGGAUCGAAGCAAGGCCAGUGGCGCAAAUUAGGUCCGAGCAAGCAGUACAGUUCUUCACCGACAUCAUCCACCGCUUCGGGAUCCCAAAUUCCAUCAUCACCGACAACGGCACGCAGUUCACCGGGAAGAGAUUUCUCCAAUUCAGCGACGACCACCACAUUCGAGUGGAUUGGGCGGCAGUGGCGCACCCCCGCACGAACGGGCAAGUCGAGCGAGCCAACGGCAUGAUACUCCAGGGUCUCAAGCCACGGAUCUUCGACCGCCUUAAAAAGUUCGGCGGACGGUGGGUUGCGGAGCUUCCAGCAGUCCUCUGGAGCUUGAGGACAACCCCCAGCCGGGCGACAGGGUUCACCCCGUUCUUCAUGGUCUACGGGUCAGAGGCCAUCUGGCCCACCGACCUAGAGUAUGGGUCGCCGAGGGUCAAAGCAUACGACGAACAGGGAAACCAGGCGUCACUCGAGGACGCACAAGAUCAACUCGACGAGGCGCGAGAUGUAGCCCUACUACACUCGGCUAGAUACCAGCAGGCCCUACGACGUUACCACAGCCGCAGGAUACAAGGCCGCGCCUUCAACGUCGGUGAUUUAGUGCUCCGCCUCGUCCAAGAUAACAGGGGUCGGCACAAGUUGACUCCCCCAUGGGAAGGCCCGUUUAUCGUCGUACAAGUACUACGGCCAGGCACCUACAAGCUGGCAACCCCCGAUGGGCAAAUCUUCAGCAACGCCUGGAACAUAGAACAGCUAAGGCGCUUUUACCUAUAGCUUUCAUUUCCAAGUUAUGCAUAAUCUUGCCGCCUUUUUCGUUCUUUCAUUUAAGCUCAGGGGCAUCCGACCCUGGCCUCGUUCCAGGGUCGCAUACCCCUCGGGGGCUACCAGUUUUGUUCUUCUGCGAAAAAAGAAACCCUGAGCCACCUUGGCUCAGGCCUUUUCCUUUAAGCUCAGGGGCAUCCGACCCUGGCCUCGCCCCAGGGUCGCAUACCCCUCGGGGGCUAUCAGUUUUGUUCUUCUGCGAAAAAAGAAACCCUGAGCCACCUUGGCUCAGGCCUUUUCCUUUAAGCUCAGGGGCAUCCGACCCUGGCCUCGCCCCAGGGUCGCAUACCCCUCGGGGGCUACCAGUUUUGUUCUUCUGCGAAAAAAGAAACACUGAGCCACCUUGGCUCAGGCCUUUUCCUUUAAGCUCAGGGGUAUCCGACCCUGGCCUUGCUCCAGGACCGCAUACCCCUCGGGGGCUAUCAGGGGUCCCGACCCCAGCCACUGGGCGCCACCUAAAAAGAAAACGGUUUUUUCUUUUCUCAGACCGAACACUCCCUUUCGAAAACCUUUGGAUGCAAAAAAGAUAAGGAUGCGUGAACGAUGCUCAGGAAAGUUGCGAUCGGACCGCGGAAAAACCUACGCCCCAGCGGCUACGGCAUCUUCACUCAUCAAAACUUACUGACGCACCCGGCAACGCAUCCUAAAGCUUUCGAGCCCAAAGGAAUAACAAAGGGAAUCGGGUUCUUUUGUGCAAACCAAAAAGUCAUAAGAACAGGCCCGUAUGGCCAACGCAAAACGAGUUCAAAGGACUGACAUAAUUACAAACUUUUUGGGCGCGAGCCCGGUACAGCUAAUUCGCAGAGGGGUCGGCAGGAGCGGCGGCUUCAUGGUCGGCAGGAGCGGCGGCUUCAUGGUCGGCAGGAGGGACGGCUUCAUCCUCCAGGAGCUUCGCGAGGGCCUCCGCUGGCGCGGUCACCCCAGCAUCAAUCUCGUCCAGCUCGGCUUCGGUGUAGCCCGCGCAGUACCCUUCACUCAUCCCGGCAAAGUUAAUGCCGGAAUAGUGAGAGCCGAAGACCCCGAAGGCUCGCCGUACGCCCAGGCGAAGCGCGUCCACGGCGAUCUCGCGACGGCGACGGCGCACCUCGAGGACACGAGCCGGCAGAGAGCUCGACCCCUCCUCCGGAGCUACGCCAAAGUCGUCGCAAACGACACGAACCGCAUCCCGCAGGGCGCCGUGCUCGCCGCGUUCCUCGUCGAGCAGAGCCCGCAACUUGGUGAUUUCACCUGCAGAAGCCACCCAGAAGAUCCCACCGAGUCAAAGAACAGAACACAAACGACACAGGACCACGGGAACGGAAAAAACCUCACCGUCGGCCUGGGUCUUCAACUCACGCUCCCGGUUGGCGCUUUGGGACACGGCGGACUGAAGCCCCUGCACCUGCAGGCGGAGUUGAUCGUUCUCCGUGCGGAGGGCUCCACGCUCCCCCCUCAGCUGCGCCAGCUCCUCGGCGUCCCGGCGGGCCCUCUCAGCAGCAGCUUUAAGCCCCUCGGCGUCGUGGCAGGCCCUUUCCGCGACAGCCUGGAACUCCUCAAGGUCGAGGCGGGCCUUCUCGGCGACGGCUUGGAGCCUGGCCUCUGCACGCCGCGACCCCUCCAGCGCUGCCCGCUCACGCUCUUGCAGGUCGCGGAUGACCCCCUGGGCGGCGUUGACCUGCAAAGACAGGUCCCUGGUCCGCUCCCUUUCGGCGCCAAGCUGCAGGGACAGGUCCCUGGUGCGCUCCCUCUCGGUGCUGAAGCGCUCCCAGAGACCCUGCUGCCGCCGGAGGAAAUCAGAUUUCCCCCGGCUGCCCUCUUGGAGAGCCUGCAAAGCAACACGCCGUUAAGGCAAAAAAGCAAAGAGGAGGUACCCAUCACCAAACAGUAGGAGCAACAUACCUGGCUGCCAGGGAGGACGGUGUUGCCCAGAAUUCCUAGCGCCGAAGUCAGAGCCGCCUGGACCUGGGCGACGCCGCCCUGCAUCGCCUGCCACCUAUGCCACUCGGCGGCGGCGUCCAGCGCGAAGAGGUGCCUCGGCGGGUCAUCACGGGAUGACCGGCGGAGGACGUUCCCCCUCCACGCCCGGGGAACGGAGGAGGCCGAGGCUGAAACAGGGGCCGACCGUGACGUCGCCGUCGAGGACGGCACCAUGGCGCUAGAGGCCGCCGGAUCCGCCGCCGGCCCCGGCACAUGCACGCUCGUCGCCGCCGAGGCCGCCAACGGUAUCCCUGUGGGCACCUCCACCUCAGCCGCCAGAGUCACUCCCGCGGGGGUGACCGGGGCGGAGGUCCCCGCCUCCAUCACCGUUGCCUCUGCCGCCGCCGCGCCUCCGGGAGCAGGCGCCCCCUCCGCCUCUGGUCCCGCCACGGCAGCGGGGGCAUCUGCCCUGCCUCCCGUCGCCACCGUCUCCUCCGCCUCGUCGGCGUCGAGGUCGAUCACCUCCCCGGCCUGAGAGACCGGGGGGAUCGCACCCUGAGCUGAAGGGGCGACCGGAGGGACCGAAGGCGGAGUAGAGUCCACUCCUCCUCCCGCGGCUGACGCCGCCGCCGCUCCGCCAGCCGCCUCCGCAGGGGCCACCUCCGCGGGGGGAUCCGCGGCCGCACCAGGAACCCCGCCGACAACCGCAGCGCCUUCUUGGGCGCCAGCUGCAGGGUGAGGCCACGGGGAGAAGUGCUGCACAUCAACGGCCAGACGUCAGCAGAAACAAACGAAAAAAGAGGAGAAAGAAUGACACACAGGGAAAGCCAACUUACGCCCUCAAAGAGCAAGGGCGGCGCGCGCGCUUCGACUCGGAGCCGGACGCCGACCCCGGGGCAUCCGGCAACGGCCGCUUGUCGCCGCCUCGCUGCUCUCCGGCAGCGGGCACGCCACUAGAGGCGGGCUCCACGGACCCCUGAGGAGCGCCCCGAGCAGACUCCUGGGGAGCGCCCCGCGCCGGGCCCAAAGCUGCGGCGGGGGCAGGCUCAGAAGCCCCCCGGGGGGCGCUCCGUGUCGACACCGGGGGGGCAUCCCUUGCCGACCCCGGGGGAGCGUCCCGCGCCCGCUCCUGGGGGACGCCCUGUGCCGACCCCAGGGGAGCGGCCCGUGCCCGCUCCUGGGGGGCGCACUGAGCCAACCCCGGGGGGGCGCCCCGCGCCCGUUCCAGGGGGACGCCCUGCGCCGACCCCUGGGAGGCGUCCCGCGCCUGCUCCAGGGGGACGCCCUGCACCGACCCCUGGGGGGUGGUCCGCGCCAGCUCCUGGGGCGCGCGCUGUGCUGGCCCCUGAGGCACAGCCCCAGGGCCUGGGGGAGCCGAAGCCCGGGCGGGCGCUUCCCCCGCUUCACCCCCCGCGGCCGUCUGCGGGGGCCCAUCACGAAUCACCAAAGCCCCCGAUCGGGGGGGCAACCAGCUCUUCCUCCUCAUCCUCUUCCUCGUCUUCAUCCUCUUCAUCAUCGUCGUCGUCAUCGUCGUCGUCAGACACGACCGCUCCCCUCCGCCGCCGCUGGAACUCCUUGGCGGCCUUCUUCCGCCUCCUCGCCGUCUCCUUGUCCUUGCGGCGCUUCUGCGCCUCGGCUUGGAGACGGUUGCGAGUCCUCCGGUCGGCGUCUUCCGGCACCGGCGGAAGGGAGUCCGCAACCGGGGUUAGUGAGCCCUGCAAACGCAAAACAGCUCCGCGUCAGAACAACAAAUAGCGGGACGCAAGGAAAGGAAGACGACGCGCCAACUCCUUACCAGGUCCACGAAGCCCGGCUCCGGGCGCAUCGGCGGGUGCCCGGGAAUCGGGUACUCGACGUCCCUGUCCUCCAGCGCCUCCCGGAGCCGUUGCCGGAUCUCGGAGGUGGCAAGCGCGCCCGUCGCCAAGGCGGUGCCCUCGGUCGGCACGUCAGGGGUCAUGGCGCCAAGCGGCCGGGCCCGGAGCAUCAGCGGCGCCACCCGCCGGGCGUGGUACGCGCCGAUGACCCCGGCGCCGGUGAGCCCAUUCCUCUUCAGCUGCUCGAUGGCCUGCAGCAGGUCGGAGAAUCGCUUCUUCUCCUUCUCCAUCGGCCCGUACGCCCACACCUCUGGCGCCGUGUUGAUGGUGCGGCCGGUGAAAGCCGGCAGGGGGGACUCCGGGUAGCUCCUCACGUAGAACCACUGGUUGUGCCACCCCUUGUGGGACACCGAGGUCUUCACCGUCAUGUACUCCCUGGCACGAGUAUGACGGAGAUGGAUCCCGGCGCACCCGAUCGGCACCGGGGGCGACCGCUGCUGGCUCCCAGCCUUCCCCGACUUCUGGUACAGGCUCACUGUGAAAAAAUAUUUCCACAGUGCGAAGUGGGGCUCGAUGCCCAGGAAUCCCUCACACAGCGCGACGAACGCCGCAAUGUGCUGGAUCCCGUUGGGGUUGAGGUGCUGGAGCUCGAGCCCGUAGUGGUGGAGGAGCCCGCGGAAGAAGCGGCUCGGGGGAGAAGCGAACCCCCGCUCAUGGAAGUGAGCGAAGGAGAUGACGUAGUCGGGGGGAGGCGACGGAACUUGCUCCGGCCCCGGCAGCUCCCACUUGCCCGCCGCCGUCCUCUCGCAGAGGAGGCCCUUCCGCACCAGGCCCUCGGCGCGCGAGGACGUGAAGUGAGAAACUCCCCAGGAACCCAUCGCCGGAGGAGGGAGGAGAUCGACGGAGAUGGAAGAAGAGCGCGCGGCUUGGAGCGAAGGAAACGAGGCGAGCGCGGAUGAACUAAGUGGAAGGUAAGAAGGCUCGAAUGCAAAGGGAGAGAGGAACCGGCGCGGCGGGCUCCUGCUUUUAUAAGAAGGGUACCGGGGAAGCCAAAUCGAUGCCCCGACCGCCAUAAAUGCGGCGCCAGGUACGCCCCUGCCAUGCCCGUUUCCUUUUCGAAAACCGCGCGCACGAUCGGCCGCGAAAAACAUCCUAUCCUCCUCAAUUCGCGGGACGGCGCUUCCAUAACUCCACUUCCUGGGUAACGCGCCCACGACGCCCCCCACGUUCGGCCCAGGCGCAACAACUGCUCCAUUCCGGCCCAAGGCCCACAGGGAGGUAAGAAAGGGAUACGGGGCUGAAAACGCCCCUACGGCCCGUUACGGUCCAGGGGUUCGAAAGCUGGCCCAACACGGGUUCGACAGCUGCCUCAGGACAUCCCCCGAGCAAGGGGUGAGAAGGGACGGGUCCGCUAGCGGCCAACACCCAGGCGAACGAAAGCCAAGGGCGCCCCAACCUCACGUUCGAGCCCCGCCCGGCAUAAAGUUCAUGGUUUUUCCACGGUGAAAGGCAACGAGCCCCCAGAUCCGGUUGAACGGGUCCGGGAACUAUAUGAACUGGCCGGCGGGAAAUUGGAGUACGCCACCAGCUCGACCCGAGCCGGACCCCCCCGAACGGGGACCGGGACUCCACUCGAACCUACCCGUUUGCAGCUCAAACGAGCACCACGGUUCGUCCAACGCGGAUAGCGUGGCCCAGCUCAACCCCUCCGUCCUAGCGAAUGGACGCUUGAGGGGCAACGAUCAAAAAGUCGACCUAGCCCCCCGAUCGAUUUUCUGCAACGAGCAGGAGCUCGGGGGCUAGUCUCGCAACCAACUACCACGCGUGUGGUCACAAAUUGCAGGUUCCCUCAGCCAGGCUGAGAUAAAACAAGCGCACCAUAACACGGAGCCCGCGGCGAAACAGCGAAAGAAGCCUCCGGAGGAUCACUUCUGCUCCACCACAGGCUCGGGGGCUACUGUUGGGAGGAAAUAUUAACGAUCCCCUAAGACACCACUUAAGGAAGCAGACACGGAGGCCCGGGCCCACCUAGGCGUGAUCAAAGCUCCGCCUCGCCCGACCAAGGCGCCAGGAUCGGGAACGUCCGACCCCCCUCCGCAAAGUUGCCGCCUCGCCCGACCGCGACCCCGGGGUCGGAGGCGCCCGACCCCUCGCCACGGAGUUCCGCCUCGCCCGACCCCAAGCAAAGGGGUCGGGCGCGCUGGGGCCCCCGGGGCAGGGAUCCCCCUCGGAUGCGGUCCACAUGGGCAAGACAGACAAAAUCCUGUGGGUCCCCCCGUCGGCCUCGCUAUAAAUGCGCCGCAGGUCUGACGGAGGGCAGGACGACCGCGCUCCUCACGCAACCCAUCACAAGUACCCGCGCACGACCGCUCUGUACAGGCUACAGUGCCGGCGGCCGGCUCCCAUUCGCCGCAGGGCACUCAUGGCCUGCGCCGGCCGGAGCAAAGGAGAGAGCGGCCUGUCCUCAGGCCCCGUGCGCCCUCGGGUCCCACGCAGCAAGGAUGUGACGCCCUCCCUCCAGCAGCCAUCGCCUGAGCAACAGCAUCCACCGUCCUCCCUAACGGACGCUGGGAUAACGACGGAACGCCCUCAUCAUGAUCUGAGGCCUACGAGUAUCGAAGGAGCCAUCUGCAGGGAGCAACAACACUUGGCAUACGGCGGCCUCCCCCUCCGGCAUGCGCGCCGGCGCUCGCCCAGGUCCGGCAGAGGCAUCGGGCGCCCUGGAUCUGGCUCCUCCUUCCUGCCGUGCUUUUUACCAUUCUACGCUUUACUCUUUACAGUCCUCUUUACCCGAUCCCAACUGUAACUCCGGCCACCCCCUUGCGAUAUAGAAGGCGGAACCCAGGGCCGGAGAGGGGAUCGGCUUCUUCUCCCACAAGCCAUAGCACACAGCGACUCUUCCUGAGAGCGUAAGCACCAAAGAGACUUGGGACCAGUCCCUCUCUCGUCAACCUGUAACCCCUACUACAGAACCCCGCGUGGGCAACACGAACAUCCCCGAUACUGGACGUAGGGCUUCCUUUGCCCGAACCAGUCUAAACCCGUGUCUCCCGCGCAACCACCUGAGGCUUACACGCAUAAAAGAAAUUUACUAGUCUAAGUCUUGAUCCGCUGAUCUUGGCAACGACAGUAUUAUAGUUGGAGGGUGAAAUAGAACUUUUCCUUAAAGAAAAUUUCCAUGAUACAAAAGAUGAUGAUACGGAGAUGAUAUGGUUAUGUGUUCCAAAAACAACAUUUAUAUUAACUUAGGAGAAUAAGACAAUACACAUAACAUGAGACUAAAACAUGAAGUAUGGUCCUUACUUUUUGGAUUAAUAUAAUAAUUUAAACUUUAAAGUUACUCCAAUAACUCCCUUUUAUUAUCCCAAUACUUCAAUUAGGGAGAAAAAGAAAAAAAAAUCUCCAACAACUCCCCUAAACUCCCUGCAUGUAUUCAGCGGCCCAAAUCCUUCCCCCGUUACCCCGCAAAUACCCGUCACCCCAAUCUUCCCCAAUCCCCCUCCAACAUUACUGCUUUCCUGCGCGCUGCUCCUUUGCCCCCGCGCGCAAUCAUCAUCUGACGACGAAUCCAGCACCAGUUGCAUGGAAAAACUUUGUGGCUCAUAACGAAUCCGUUUUACCUAUUUCCAAUUGCAAUUGCACAACGCAGCGGCAGAUUUGGCUAAUAGGAGCGGCGAUAGAAAAAAGAGGCGCUGGGAGGGGCGACUAGCGGUGAUGCUGGGUGUGCCGACGCAGAAUAGAUCGUGAGGGGGAAAGGGGUGGCGGCCUAAUUGAGGGACCCACACAUGCUGAUGGACUAGUUUUGAAGUAUCAAUGAGUUUAUUAUUGGGGAUCUGCUGUGGGAUGACAUGAUUUUGGGAAAAAAAUUUAGUAAAGUCCCCAAUACAUAAUUUUGGGGAAGAAUUUUUUGAAUACUCUUGAAGUUGCUCCUAAGAUAAAAAAAAAAACCAACCUGCAAAGUUAAUGGUCUUGCAAAAGAAGUUGGAUCAGGCCCAAGCCACUUAGCUGAACAGGUUAAGCUCAACCCAUCAGAUUAAUCAACAUUUACCCUCAACACAUCCCACGUCGAAGACGAUUAUUAUAUAAAUUGCUUGAAGACAACACCAUUGUCCUCACCCUUAGGUGAUUGCUAACCGCUAAGCAAAAUGAGGUCAAUGUCGAUAAAUGAAACGACUGAAGCUUAUAUUGCAUUUGGUUCUAUGUUUCGGUAUUCAUAUAUGUCCAUAAAUUAGGGUGAUUUUGUUGAAAUAGCCAAAUUCUGAUUUCAACAAAUUUAAAAUAGUGACAUAUGUCUUCCCCAACCUUUCUUCUUAUCACAUUCAAAAAACAUUUGGGCCCCGUCGCCAAGCUCCAGGACCACCAUUUCCUGGGCUCGUGGCCGCCAAAUUCUGUAAUUGGAUCUUUUGGUCAGCUCUGGCCAAGUCAUGGCGCUUUCGGAAUACUGAACGGCAGUGAUCGAGCCGUAUGCGGAGCGACGAUUUCUGAAGGUUUUGAGGUUGGCGACGUGCCAAAGUUGCCUUCGUGAUCCCGUCCCGUCUAGAGAGAACGGAAAAAUCAGUGCGCUCUCAUGCGGCUAUUACGCCGGCCAAUUUGCCGAAACCCAUCGGCGGCGCCCUGCCCCCGCCGCUGAAUGAAUACACUGUCGGUGGCGGCGGCGCCAUGCUACGUCUCGCGGCAGCACGCAGCUCUAGCGAUCCGUUCACGGACGUAUAAAUACGGGGCACAACCAUGAACGCCGAGAUCACACAACGAGCUCGAUCCAUUCCAAGAGUACCCGAAGCAACAGAGUGAGAGUGACAGAUGUUAAACAAGACGUGAUCAAGCAGGACUCGUAUAGGUCCUGAUCAGAUAUGCGCAAGGCAUAGAUGAGGCGCAAGUCUUUUGUGCUGGUUCCAGAGAUAGAGUCCUAGAAGUAUGAAUCAACCUUGUAACCGGAUAGGAGAUACCAUAUGCUUGAAGUAACUCAUCUCCAUGUAAUUGUGACAGCCUUGAUGCAUAUAUAAACAUGGAACCGUGGGAUGCGAGUUUGCUAACCACGUUUACCAAAUUACCUUACACUUUUUCAACAGAUACUGAUCGAAUUCUACACACAUUCCACUGGCAAGCUAGCAUCGGUCGCCAGAGCGAGCCAUGUCGUCGUCCUAUUCCAAGGCCAGCAAUGGUGGCGAGCAGCAGCAGGAGCAACUGGUGUGCGUGACGGGAGCAGGCGGCUUCAUCGGGUCGUGGGUGGUCAAGGAGCUCCUCCUCCGCGGAUACCGCGUCAGGGGAACUGCAAGGGAUCCUGGUGAGUGAAGUCUCUCUUUCAUUCUACUACCACAAUUAAAUUCAGAAUAAGCCUGAAUCAAUAACGUGCUCAUUCUUGUUCUGACAGAGGACAGCAAGAACGCGCACUUGCUUGCUCUGGAGGGUGCCAGGGAGCGGCUCACCCUGUGCCGCGCCGAUGUCCUGGACUACGACUCCCUCCGCGCCGCGUUCACCGGCUGCCAUGGCGUCCUCCACGUCGCCUCCCCGAUGUCCAACGACCCGGUUAGUUUCAUUCACAAACCCUCUACUACUCCUAGCUAUACAGAACAUCGUUGCCGGAGCUCUUGGUGACUUGCAGGAGCUCGUGCCGGUGGCCGUGGAGGGCACCAGGAACGUGAUCAACACCGCCGCCGACGAGGGCGUUCGCCGGGCGGUCUUCACCUCGUCGUACGGCGCGGUGCACAUGGACCCCAACCGGAGCCCCGACACCGUCCUCGACGAGACCUGCUGGAGCGACUACGACUUCUGCGAGCAGACAAAUGUAAGCUGCCACAGCCAGCCGUCUUCUUCUCUGAUUUGCUGGCCUCAUCCACAGUUUCAGCCGCAGAUUCAUCACCAUGUUGUGCAUCGAAUUACGUGCAGAACCUGUACUGCUGCGCCAAGAUGAUGGCCGAGGUGACGGCGACGGAGGAGGCGGCGCGGCGCGGGCUACCUCUGGCGGUGGUGGUGCCGUGCAUCACCACGGGCCCGAUGCUGCAGCAGGCGCUCAACUUCAGCAGCAACCUUGUCGCCCGCUACCUGAUGGGCACCAAGAGGUCCUACACCAACGCCGUCGCCGCCUUCGUCGACGUCCGCGACGUCGCGCGCGCGCACGUCCUCGCCUACGAGCGCCCCGAAGCCCGCGGCCGAUACCUCUGCAUCGCUGCCGUGCUCCACCGCGCCCAACUCACCGCCAUGCUCAGGGAGCUCUUCCCGCAGUACCCCGUCACCGCCAAGUAAGCUUCGUUUUGUCGUCAGGCGAUCAUCAAUCCGUCUCCGUGUUGUAUGGGUGCGUUGCUGACUCGUGAGAAUCUCGUGCCUGUCUUGAUAUAUGCAUAGGUGUGAAGACGACGGCAAGCCGAUGGCGAAGCCGUACAAGUUUUCGAACCAGAGGGCCAGGGAGUUGGGCUUGGAGUUCACUCCGCUGAAGAAAAGCUUGUACGAGGCAGUGGUGUGCAUGCAGCAGAAGGGGCACCUGCGUGUCAUCACACAGCAGCAGCGUUCGUACUUGUGAAAUCAAGGAACAUGCGCUGGGCUUCCCACUUAUGUAAAAUAAAACAGCGCAAACAAACACACAAGGGAAGGAAUGAGAGGUCAUAUAAUGACUUUGUAAAUGUAGUAUUAUAAGCAUCUGUUUUCAUACCAUGUUACAUGUAAAACUGUUAACGUGUGCUUUAUUGCAUACUACGAGUCAAUAAAAAAAGGGAAAACUUAAAUUCUGGAAAAUACUGGUUCUGAUAGUAUUUAAUUUGAAUUCAUGAUGUCUCUUCCCGUUACUCAAUUGUUUCUGUCGUAUAUCCUUAUGAACACUACUUAUGCUCGAAAAGGGCUAAAAUUAGUGGUCGUAUAUAAGCAUUGGCACCUCCGGUAAAGGCGAAUUUCGGCUGCAUGAGUUUCGGACCCCUAUAAAUCCCAAUGCUGUUUACUAGUAAAAAAAUUGUAGAUUAUAAAAUCCUCUCAUUAACUGAUAGAAAAUGAAGAAGCUUCUGUGUAUAUCACAUUGUAAGGUAUAUUGUAUAAAUUUGGCGCUUUUGCAAACAUUUUUGUGCACAUGCAUUUGUAGACCCAAUAAAAUGCAACGAAAGAACCACAGAUAGCCGUAUUUGUAGUUAUACCUCCAAAAGAUCUCUUUAUCUUUCUUAAUAAUUAUUAGAACACCAAUAAUCCACCACAACUUUCUUAAAUAAAAGAGGAGUUAUGACUCUCCCGGUAGUUGGAUUGAGAUGAGAUUAUUUGGGGAACUAUAAAAGAAACUCUCCUAAUGACUUUAGUCAGCUAAAAAUUAGUCCCUCAUGAUCCAAACAUGGGGCUAAAGGUAGACUAAAGGUGGGCUAAAAAUUAGCAAACCACACAACUAAACUUUAGUUCAUUAGCCAUCCAAACCUAGCUAAUGGAAGCUAAUUUUAGACACGAAUGUUAAAAGAUCAGAAAUACUAUCCCACAAAAAUCUUACCAUUUCUUCUCCUGCACUCCCUAGGGAUAUAAUGGACCUUUACUAAUAAAUGGACUAAAAAUUAGUUCUAGCUCCAAACAGGAUAAGGUUAAUUUUAGCCAACUAAAAUUUAGACAUCUUUAGCCAACAGGCCUCGUGAAAGAAAUAUUAGAACAUUCCUAUUAACUAGUUAUUGGAAAAAUAUUUUACGGGUAGGAUCAUCGUCUCAUUUUUAAGGAUCCAGGCGUGUUAUUACAGCUAAAAGAAUCAAAUUCCAGCUAUUCGCAAAAAAAAAAAUAAAUCAAAUUCCAGCUCAUCAAAAAAGAGAGAAACCAAGGUGGCCCAACAGUAUGUAUAGAAACUUGGGGCCUGUUGACACCAAAACAAUGUGUUGACGCAAAAUCCUGAAGGUGGUGGACCCUGCAUCACCAUAUGAGGACCUGGGAGAUCUGCUUAACUCCAGUGCACAAUCCAAAUCGGCGCGCGUGGUGUGCGCGGGCGUGCCAGUCAGUUUGACCAUUCAACUGACAAGGUGGAGAUAAUUCUCUUGAAGUUCGAUGGAGUCAGCCGAUCGGGCCGAUUUAAUAUAAUUUACAAUAACCAUCAGCCAUACGGCCGAUAGGAAACAUGAUGCUGUUGAGUUGUUGCUCCACCAUAGCUAGAGCCACAAGCCGAUGAGAUCUAAACUAACAUCACCACCAAUAUUUUUAGGUGAAACCACAGCGAUGCGCCCGGUAGUUGUAGUCUAGAAAUAUUUAGCAGGACGUUAAUCUGAACCCCGCCAGCUGAUGAAUCCAAUCACAAUGGAACUUACUCCCAACAGCACUCGAAGGGGUAACCAAGAUUAAGAUGCAAUAGGCUAUUAAAUGAUCUAUCGUCUAUGAUGAACCGAUCUAAAGCUAAUUAAAGCAAACUGAACGGCAAGACGAAAGAACAGAUAAAUAUCAGCCGAUGCAAGCUUAAUCAAGGCGGGAUAACUGGUGAAUACCGUAGAUCGAGACAGAAGCGAUGCGCCGUAAGUCAAAGAUCCAAGAUACUCGAUAACUGGUAGAUGAAACUAGACGAAACCACAGCGAUGCGCCCGGUGGUUAAAGCCUAGAACACCUGGUGACGGGACUUGCAGCUUGCCGGAGAUCGAGGUCGAUGCAGCCCAGCUUGCUAGAAGGAACUCGUCGAGAAUCUACAUUACUCCUACUCCUAGGGCAAUGGCGUGAAGCCGAAAGGUAAAGGUAAAUAUGUUGUAUUAUUGAUCGUGUGAUGAUAAAAUUACAAUGGCCAGGACCCUUUAUGGCCUUUGGCGCACCACGUACAAGGCAAGCUAUGUACACAAUAUUUUCUAAUAAAAAAAACUCUAUCUCUAAUUAAUCCAACUCUAUCUCUAACCAACUUAAUCUCUAGAAUAUUUUAUUCAACAUCCCGUACGUGAGUUGAUUUUCUUCUUUUAAUCUUCUAGCUUCUUGCUUUCUCUUUCUUCAAGCACACGCAUUCCUGAUUUCUGCGGCCAGCUUGCACGUAGCCUUAUUUAGGAGAGAUUUCGUUAUUUUUGCAUCAUCGGCCGAUUCCUUCCUUUCAGAGCAUAUUUCCAAAAUUCGGUGUCAACAGGGCCCAAGAAGAAGCACAGCUCAAAAGAAAGUAGGAAAAACGCGUGCCCAACCCAUUUACCAUCCAAAAACAGGCGUACAGGCCCAAGGUGCAAGAGAGCCCAGCUACCAUCCAGAGUCCAAACUCGCCGAGCACGGCGACGCCGACGGCGCAAGCGAGCGACCAGACCUAAACCUCCGAAUCGAACCCUCUCCGCCGCCGCAUCCGCAGCAAUCAUGUCGCAGAAGAAAUCCCGCAGCCGGGGCGGGGGAGGCGCCGCCGCGCCCUCCGGCGACGACCAUGAUGAACUCGCGCGCCCGCCCCCCCUCCAGGCCGUCCUCCUCGCCGACAGCUUCACGCUCAAAUUCCGCCCCAUCACCCUCGAGCGGCCCAAGGUACUUCCGGCCUCCCUAAUCCUGCAUCAGAGCCACCUCGAGACCCCGUGCUCGCUCUUCGCGGGUCCCUGACCGAGCUCCCCUGCUGCCUCUUCGCAGGUGCUGCUGCCGCUGGUGCACAUGCCGAUGAUCGAGUACACGCUCACAUGGCUGGAGUCGGCGGGGGUGGACGAGGCCUUCGUCUUCUGCUGCGCGCACUCCCACCAGGUCAAGGAAUACCUGGAGAGGUCCGGGUGGACCGGGAAGGCGGGGGCUGGGAGCAUGGCCGUCACGGCCGUCGAGUCGCACGACGCGAUUAGCGCGGGCGACGCGCUCCGCGUCAUCUACGAACGCGGCGUGGUGAGUUUUAAUCCUGCUUCCCCAUUGCGGAUUCGAAGGCUUUUAAGUGUUCGGCGAUUUUAGUUUUAAGUGUUUUGCAUGGCUGUCACAUUGGAUCAUUUAAUUGAGUUUAGUUUUGACUCCAAUUGGUAACUAGGAUGUCUCAGACUGAACCCUAGGCAUAUAUUGGGGUGCUAUUUUAGUUCGUUUAAGACUUUAAGUAGGCUAAGCAACAAAGCACUGCUCCCUUAUCGAAUACAGUGAAUGAUCUUACUUGUUUGCUGGCUCAGUAGAGGGGACUCAGGAAUGUAUUAAAGCCACCACACUAAUGACAAGAGUAAUAUGUACUAGUAUUUCUCCUAAUCACAGACAAGUAUAGUAGUAUUGUUUCUGAAGCCACUAAAUAGAAACUAGACUCGUUUGUUUCGUUUCAGUUUAUUUUGCUAGUUUGUUAACAUCUCCGUUAAGAAACUUCAGACUAUUCCAGCUCAACUUAGGAAGCAUAGCACUAAAACUAGUAAUAUUAUGUGGAUUUUGUGAGACUCAGUGCAUUACCAUGCUUAUGAUUUCGUUUAACUCCAUUUGCAGUUUCAGUUGUUUCAUGAACCCAUACUUCUAUUGUAGAUUCGUGGAGAUUUCGUUCUCAUCAGUGGUGAUACAAUCAGCAAUAUGAGCUUGAAGGACGCUCUCCAGGAACAUAUGGACCGGAAGAAAAAAGACCCACUUGCUGUUAUGACUAUGAUUAUAAAGCAUUCAAAACCUUCUAUCCUGACGCACCAAACACGUCUGGGUAAUGAUGAAAUUGUUAUGGCUGUAGAUCCUGAGACAAAGGAAUUACUUUAUUAUGAGGACAGGGCAGAUAACUCACACUUGUAUGUUACAAUUGAUAAGGAUAUACUGACCAAUAAUCCUACUCUCCAGCUGCAUAAUGACAUGGAGGUUUGCUUUGAAACUCUACAAGUCAACAGUUGCCUUUUUUUUUUCUUGAAUCUGUUUCUGCUAAUAUCGUUGCUUAUGUAUAUCUUGUUUUGUACUUUGAUCCUCUUCACUUCUUACUUGGCAGGACUGCUAUAUUGAUAUCUGCUCUCCAGAAGUACUAAGUCUUUUCACCGAUAACUUUGACUAUCAACAUCUUCGGCGUCAUUUCGUGAAGGGCUUACUAGUUGACGAUGUAAGUCAAUUCACCACUAUUUGGCCACAGUAAGAAAAGGACAUAUGAUGUUUGCCUCUUUUGCAACAAACUAAUGGCCUACCAAUUCUUUCAGAUUAUGGGGUACAAAAUUUAUACUCAUGAAUUACGCUCUGGAUACGCUGCAAGGAUUGAUAAUUUCAGGAGCUAUGAUACAGUGAGCAAAGAUGUAAUUCAAAGGUGGACAUACCCUAUGGUGCCUGAUGUAAUAUCCAAUCGUGAUUGCUCAGAAAGUAGACUUCAUAGGCAGGGAAUAUACAAGGCAUCAGGUAUAUGGUGUUAUACAGUUGCUAUUGACUACAGUUCCUUGGUUCAAGCUUCCUGAAAAGCAGCAGGAUAUCUAAAAAUUAUGGAUUUUUUUAUUUUCCAUAUUUCAAUUAAGUAUUUGCUUACUUUGACUUAUUUAAUAUAAUCUAAAUGUUUAGUUUGAUUUCUGGUCUUAGGAAAUAUUUUAUCCUUUGAGACAUUUUACUAAGCAAUUAUAGAAUAGUUCAAAUUAUUUUACGUGGACCUCAUCAUGAACUGUAGAAAGUUUGCUUCUGGGUGCAUAUGUUUUGGUGUUCACAUGUCCAAUGUAUAUGUGCUUAGCCAAUGAUAAGUAUAGGCAGAAUGCAUGCUAAUUCUUUUUUAGAUGAGUUGUUUUGCAAUGAUAAUUAGAGAUAUGGAUACACUGUUCAAUGUUUUGUAAGCUAAGCUAAUAGAGAUAUAGCUGGCUUUAAAAAGGAUUUUGUAUUCUGUUUGUUAAACUAGAUUUAUAUUUCUUGCUUUUUGCCUAUAUUUUGGGCUAUCUCCCAUGCUUACAGGCAUGCUGAGCCCCAAUUUUUUAUACAUUCAAGAAAUGAAUUGAUUCCCGCUGUUCUUCUAGUAAUUAAUUUCAAUAUUCUCUGUACAUCUUAACUGUCCAUCUUUUUUUUAACAGAUGUAACAUUGUCAUAUUCUGCACAAAUUGGUGCAAAUUCUGUUGUUGGCAGUGCGACAAGCAUUGGAGACCACUGCAAAGUAUUAAAUUCAGUUAUUGGGGAGGGCUGCAAGAUUGGGAAAAAUGUUUUGAUUAAUGGCUCAUAUAUAUGGGACAAUGUUAUAAUUGAAGAUGGGUGCAAAGUUAGUAACUCCUUAGUCUGUGAUGGUGUCCAUUUAAGAGCAGGUGCUAUUGUUGAACCUGGUUGCGUACUGUCAUUUAAUGUAAGUUGCUACAGUGUUGACAUUACUAUGCCAGAUGCUUUCCUCCAGUAACAAAAUACAUAGUCUGUUUUUCUUUACGAUCCUUUAUUCCAGCUAUGUUGAGUAUAUUCUGAACUUAUAUUCUGUAUCAUUCAGGUUGAAGUUGGAAAGAAUGUUGUUGUUCCUGCCCACUCAAAAGUUUCAUUACUUCCACAGCCUUCAAAUGAAGAUAGCGAUGAAGAACUUGAGUAUGCUGACACCAACUCUGGAAUUACAGAUAGUCCACGUUAGUCUGCAAACCCUAAGACUUUAUUUGCUAAUUACUAUUCAUGCUAGACUAUACAUUUUGUAUGGACCUGUAACCUACAUGUUCUACUCCGUGUACUGGGUUUCCAUGCAGCAUUUUCCAGCAUGAGGAGUAAUGGCGAUCAAGCAACUGUUCCUUCUGAAGAUGAGUUGGGAACAUCUGAGGUAUCCUUGUAGUCUUAUAAUCUUAUCUGGCUCAGAGAUUUAGUUUUGAGCACUCAUGGAAUUAUGGUGUUGAUUGUGGGGAACUAUCUAGGUCAUACAUUUUGCCAUGAUCUUUAUAAUCAUUUGGGUUGAUUUUCAUGAUAUCAUCAACUAGACUGGGACCUGUGGUGUUGUUGGUUACAUAUGGACAAGCGGUGAUACUGGGAUCCUGGAAGAAUGGAGACAAUCAAUUGCCCCAAUUGCUAAAGAAAAACUUGAAGAGUUGCAGCAUGCGGUUUGUGAAGAUGAUGCGUCAGAAGAUGAAUCCAACAAUCCGAUUCUACCAGAUAAAGAUGGUUCUUCAGACAGUGCGGUUGAGGAUGAUGAUCCUUUUUCUAAGUUUGAGAAAGAGGUUAUUUAUGUAUAUGUGAUUAUGAAAUAUAUACUUCCUUUUCUAUCCCAUUUUGCUGAGUGGUGUGCCCUGUUUAGGUGGAAGAAACAUUCCAACGAGCUAUGGGUGGUGGUGUUAAUCGAGAUAAUUUGAUUCUAGAGAUUAAUGGCCUCAGGUGCAAGAUCUUUCCUCUCCUGUCAGACAAAUGUAAAAACUGACAAAUACUAAUGAUCUGUCUGGAUAGGUGGCAUUGGAAGUUUGGAUUGAACUGAGUCCAAAGUUUACCUUGUACAAUCUUCCCUGUCCAGGCCCUAAGUAUUGAAAAUUAUAUGAACAUGAAAGUAGUUAAUUUAGCUUACUGGCAAUGUAAGAAGAGGAAAAGGGGCUUUAAUAGCAGAAACUAAUUUAGUUUAUUUGAAACUUACAAUGUUAGAUUCAUAAUCUUUUGCCCACCUGCGAGCCUGCUCUUGUUGACUUGGAAAUUUUAAGCUCCAUAUUAUUGGAAUUAACUUUUUAGUUAAUUUAUGCCGUACAGUUUCUCUUUAAUUUCAUUUCAGAUGACAUUACUGUUAUUCUGUAAUGGUUACGUUGAUAGAUGCAGUUCUUCUUGUCCAAAUGUUUUGCAAAUUGACAAUUAAUGAUAGGUUACAUUGAUACCAUGCUUAUUUUUCAGGUUGGCUUAUAGCCUUCAACAUGCAGAUUGUGCUGGAGCUGUGUUCUAUUCUGUCAUGAAGAGUGCAUUAGUGGCUGCACAAUCUACUAAUGGUAAGCUUUUUAUAAAUGGUAGGAAUAUUAUGAAUCCAUGAUGACUGUACAGUUGGGAAUGGUGUGAAUCUAGGAUAUUUAGCUGUUUUACCUAGGGUAAUAGGUCCAGCUUACAGAAGGUACUCUCCUCUUGUCCACCUCGAAAUCUUCAUAGGAAGAUGCAUGCAUUCUUGAUUACCAAGCAGAAGCCAACUUGUUUUGGUUCUGUCACUUUUUUAUUAUGGCAUCGUGAUGCUGGCUGUGCUUCAUGCACAGAUUUUAAUGGCAAUGAAUCUUCACAUAUAGGCAUGUUAGCUAUCGUAUUUCCUCUUGCAUAUACAAGCGUUCCACACCGCUCACAAGUGCACCAAUGGUAACUUGUUCCUCAUGUCUGAAACCUGGUAAGCUCCAUAAGUAUGCCCCACCCAGGACUCCAGACUGUAGGUCCAUAUUUGCAUUAUCCACGUCAAACUUUCUAGUUGUCCUCACAGUGCUCUGUUGAGUGAAGAACCCAAUCUUUAGUAUGUAGCCUAACCUAAUCAUUCCCCAAAUUCAUUUGCAAUUAAUGCUUUUGUACUUUUAGCUAGUUUAAACCCUAUUCCUAGUUAUUUUUUCUUCAUACCUAGAUUUUUUUAUUUAGUCCAGUUACUAGAAUACUUUAAUGGCUCUGUUCAAUGAAUUUUCUGUGGUGGUCUUAUAUUUGGUCUGUGGUUGAAUAUUAAUGUGGUUAUACAGUCAAAUAAGUGAAAGAAAAUAAAUUGGUUAGUUUUUUUCAGGUUUUUGUAUUAAAUUGUCCAGUUUUCUGACACUUAAUUUUCUUUCUUGGAGGCAAAUUUGCACAUUUCAGAUAUAAAAUAGAAGUGAAUUUUAGUGGAAUUGCACCAUUCCUGUCUUGUGUUAUAUUAUUUUUCAGAUCUGAUGAUGGAUUAUCCAAAGCUUAUUCUCCCCUGCUUUCACCGUCCUUUUUCAGACACUCUUCUAAAGACAACAGCCGAAGCACUUGGCAAGUGGAAGGAUCUUUUGCGCAAUUACACUAAGACAGUUGAUGAGGAGGUAGGGUCCAAUUUAUUGCUUACUUUACCUUGAACCAUAAAUGAGUAAGAUUUGCCAGAAUGUGAACAUUAUCUGCAUUGUUGUUAUGUCGAAAUAAUAACACGAGUAAUCAUUUAAUGAUGCAAAACGGAGUGAAGAAAAAGCCAAGCAAAAACUGUUUUGUACCACAUGCUUGUUUAUUAGCCUGGUAGCACUAGGCUCAUGCUACAUGUCUGUUCAUUCUUUGAUAUUGUCAUUGAACAUGAAAAAUAACUCCACGAUAUCAUCUUAUCCAUUAUUCUGCCUUGCAUUGCUGCUAGAAUUGCUGCCUUGGCACAUGGAUUUUUAUUUUUAAUUAUGAUAUGUAGUUUGUGGGCGAUAAAUGAGCUUUUAGAGGACUAGAGUUGAUCCAGGGCCACUUGAUCAUCUAUUUUUAAGAACUCACAACUUUGAUCUGACCAAGUUCCCCUGCUUGAUCUGUCAUCAUUUGUUGAUUUGUGUAAUGUGUGUCUUGGUGGGUGUUGUUAAGAUACUGAACUGUGAUGUUGCGUGAUGACUAUUGAGGAAAGGCCUCUUCUGAAAUUGUAAAAUUUCAUGGGCCUGUUUGAAAGAAAUUCUUGUCUAAUUUAAUUUGUAACUUAUUUUUUUGAAAACUGUACAGCGGGGGAGACCCCCACUGUGAAAUUUGUAACUUAUUGGGGGUAUAUUUCUUCUUUCUAUUCUUGCUGUGGGCUAAAUAUUUUAUUUCUUGUGUACUGCUAUAGAUGGAGAUACUAUUAAAGUUUGAGGAAAUGUGUCAAGAGACCACAAAAGAAUUUUCUCCACUGUUUGCAAAGGUAAUACCUAUUUCACCGCAGAUGGGUUCCACAAGAUUUUUGUACACCAUGAAUAGAAAUCGUUUUGUUUAGACUGCUGAGCAAAUACUGUACUUGAAAAGAAUUAUUUUUUAAUUAUUGCAUAAUCUGCUAUUGAACACAGAUCUUGCCAUUCCUUUAUGAUACGGAGGUAGUAAGUGAAGAUGCAAUUUUGAGAUGGGCAGAAGAGAAAGAACAUGCUGAUGAGUCUGAUAAAAUCUUUGUUAAACAGUCAGAGGCAUUUAUACAGGUAUAUGCCUUGCAUUAAAGUUGGUUCUCCGGCCUGUUUAUGCACAUGGUUUCACAGAACCAGUUGAAUCUUAGAUAUUCACUUGUAGUCUCUUUUGAUCUGUGCCUUAGUUUGUUAUCACUUGUUACCCAACCUCAAGUCCUAGGAACAGUUAUACUGUCACUCUAGAAUUAUUUCACCUGACCAUGUGUGCUCAACUGAUUUUAAUUUUGCUCACUUGUCUCCUCCAUGGGGCAGACACGUGUGUUACUGAUUUAGUUUUAGCUCGAGUUCAUGGAAUCAUCUGAAUUGGUGUUAGUCGCACACGUAUUUCUGUCUGUUGAGAUUUUGUCUUCCUUGGUUCAGACAAUUAACUGAUUUUCCACAAUUUGUUACUCUACUCAGUGGCUCAAGGAGGCCGAAGAGGAGGACGAUGAAGAAGAGGAAUAACCUUGGAGAAUGCAGUGUCCGGUUUGAGUGGUCUCCCGGUGAGUUUGCGACUGGCAAGUUUUGGAAAAUGUGAUUGUUUGUACAUCAAGACAACACAAUUUUGUUUCUAACCGACCAGAAAAGAAGAGGAACAGAACAAUUCGCGUAUGAGGCAUGAAUCAAUAUGACGACUCCAGUGUAGUUGACCCACUAGAACCGUAUCAUCUUUGCUUGGUUGAUGCUUCGGUGAAGUUGUCGACACAUUUGUUUAACUGUCCAUCCAUCAUAUGUUUCGUUGCACCCAGCCAGCACUGGCACAAAUCUUUAAUAAAAGCUUUGGUUAGAUAUGGCUCCUUUUCUCCCCUUUCUGCUCGCAAAUGUAGUGGGGAAGAAAGCAAUGGAGGCUUCUUGCCCAAAAGGCCCCAGUGGAUCAUGUGGGUUGCGUAGAUCCGGCACUAAUCUUACCUCAAAAGGGGCACUGUUUGCUUAAAGUACGCUCUUUUCCCCCCGGAACCUUUCAUGUUUUUUCCCCUAGAUCCCUGAUAGCCUUCUUUGCUUUGUGAAACAACCGGACGAGGGGCAGCAAAAUCAAAGGCCGAUAGAAAGAGUAAAAAACCAGAAUGGCCUUGGGGCCAAAAGAGAUAAAGCCGGUCGGAAUGAGCGGAGGUACAGAGGGUUGCACUGCUGGACUAAGCAAUCUCCCUGUGCCUUCGCCCAUAUUCGUUCUUCAGCAUGUGCCUGAUUUAAUCUAUUAGCUACGGAUUCCUUUUCUUCCGUGUAUGUUGUGAGUCAUCAUAGUAUGCAUUGUUUAAUGUUUCAGAUGAUUUUGCUUUGACCGUGAGAAAAGCUGGGAUUAUACGAUACCCGUCUUUGUUAGGUUUUAUCACCUGACUCGCAUAAAAUUGUUUGACCUUUUCUGUUGCGGUGGUCACAAGAAUUACCGCUGAGUCAGACCGGGUUAAGAUACAGUUAGCUCAGGCUUGAACACAAACCACAUUUUGGACUUGGGAGCACCAUAUAUCAUUCUUUCCGGAUAAGAUGAAUGACUCUAGCUUUCGUUCUGACGGAACACCAGGCAGUGUGGAUGACAAACUGUGCCGUUUCGUCCCCACCGUCCUUUGAGGUCGGACGGCAAUUUGCUUACAGAGCUUCCAAUUUUCCCUCUUUUUUUUGGGCGAAUGGAGUUUCUGAGUAGCCGCUGAUCUGAAACACCAAUACUGUAGGCUGUACCCAACCGUCGGAUCAUUUUUUUCCCUUAAAAUUUAAAAAUAUUUUCACAUUGCAUUACGUUUACGUACGUGGUUGCAUCAUAGUAUUAUCGGGAUAAUGUUAAACAAGAAGCAGUCGACCGGAUUACCACGUGUCACCAACCCAUGGACCAAAAUGGGCCUGCCCCCGAACACGGCGUGGGGCAGACGAGAUCUCGGGCCGGAAAAACGCACACACACACGCUGAAAAAGAAGGUCCCAUUUACGUUUUAACAAACGCCCGUCCGAGUCAGCAGAGCGGAAGCCAGCGAAGGAACGUUCCGCUGCUGCGGCCGGUGAGCCUUAGCCCUUAAGCUUCUCGUCUCCCCACCUUAUAAGAAGCCUCGCAUAACAGCCGUCACCCCCGACGUGAUCGAUCGCCACGACGGUUUCCAACGCGAUCACCUACGUACUUAGCUGCUGCACGACCAGACGGCCGGCCGUCACACAGGAAGAAGACAGCGUGCUUUUGAGUAUAUGGACGCGGCGGCGGCGGCGGCGGCGAUCUACCGGCUGCCGGAGGAGUGCGUGGCGUACGCCAUCUCGCUGACGACGCCCGGCGACGCGUGCCACUCGUCCGCGGUGUCGCCGGCGUUCCGGACCGCCGCGGACUCCGACGCCGUCUGGGCACGGUUCCUGCCGCCCGACCACGCCGCCGUCCUGGCGCGCGCCGACGAGCCCGUGGAGUGCGAGUCCAAGAAGGAGCUCUUCUCCCGACUCUGCGACACCCCCGUCCUCCUCGACGGCGCCACCAUGGUACGUCGUACGCCGCCGCAAGCUCAAUUUAAUUAAUUUGUUUAUCUCCAGCGUCGAUUAUUCACAUUGUCGCGCGCGCGAUCGAUCACGGAAUUAAUCAAGUUUAGUUUGCUAACAAUUUCGAUGGCAUUAUUUGCGUGCAGAGCUUUGGGCUGGAGAGACGGAGCGGGGCGAAAUGCUUCAUGCUCUCGGCGAGGGCGCUCAGCAUUGCCUGGGGAGACGAUCCGACUUGCUGGAUAUGGACCGCUAGCCUUCCGGGAUCCAGGUGGGUGCCAAAUGAUAUUCUUCCUUUUUUUCGCAAUUUGUUACUUGCCUCAUAAGUAGCUUACCCGGCGCGGCACCAACCAACGAUCCACACUGCUGCUCUAGCUAUAGAUAUUAGAAUAUUUGAUUGAAAAGGUUAACUUCUUGAAUUCUAGUAUUUAAUAGUUGAUAAAAUUAUAUACAUAAUGUAUAAAUGUUAUCAGAAUAUAUUCGUGUCUAAUUUCAAGGUCAUUUAAUGUGGCGUUGAAUUAGUAGAAAUUGAUGAUGCAUUGUAGAAAAUUUUAUAUUUAAAGUAUACAUCUAAAGACUUUUAUAAUCUCAAUACUGCAACUAAAAACAAAAUAGAGACAGUAGUUUUUUAAUCAAACAUUAUGUUGACCGAAUAAUUUAGAGAAUCCUUCUUCAAUUCAAACAUUAUGUUGCCACCUGCGGUUUUGCACACACGACACGCACGUGUCACCGUGCAUGCCUGCACACCCGUCUUCAUGCAUGCCGCACGUGCUCUAAAGCUCCCGACAAUUAUUGCAACACACGUCGUUGGCGUCGCAAAAGGCUAGCUCGAUCGGCAAGCAACAACAGGAUAGCUUACCCUGCAUGCUUGCAUCACAACUACAGACCAUCACGAGCUAGAUCGACUAAACUUUCCAUGCCCACGCUGUGAUCAGGUUUCCUGAGGUCGCCGAGCUCGUCGACGUGUGCUGGCUGGAGAUCAGCGGGAAGCUCAGCCUCUCGCUGCUCUCCCCGGGCACAACCUACGCCGCCUACCUCGUCUUCGCCAUCGCCGACGACUCGUACGGCCUGGAGUGCCACGUCGGCAUGCUGCCACCCAAGGCCACAGUCACCGUCGUCUCCGGGACCAGCGGCAAGCCGGCGGCGACGUCGACCGAGCACGCCAUCUGCCUGCAGCACAUGCAGGGGGAGGAGGAGGUCGCCGUGCACCGGCGGAAGCAGCAGUACAUGCGGCUCCGCAAGGGCUACGGCCGCAAGAUGGUGACGAGGGAGGCCGACCCCGACAUCAGGUGCCCGCGCCGGAGGGGCGACGGGUGGGCGGAGGUCGAGCUGGGCGAGUUCGCCGUGGCCACCGGCGACGGCGAGGACGGCGGCGUGGUGGAGGUGAGGCUCGAGGAGGUGGAUAGCCGGAGGUGGAAGAGGGGUCUCAUCGUGCAAGGCAUCGAGAUCAGGCCCAAGCACGCUUGCUAGCUGCCGCCAUAUAGCCGAACGCCUCCGUUGAUUCUUUUUUAUCAACAGUUAGCCAUCGGAUUAAUUUUUAAUCUAGGAAAAAAUCAUUAAGAAUUACCGAUGAAUUGGGUCCAGAGAGGAACAGCUAGCCGACGAAGCUCUCAGCCUGAUUCUUUUCUGGACUGACGCAACUUAAAAACUCAGCUACUGGAGAAUGGUCAAUUGCGUCAGUGCUUGCAUGCGGACUAGUACGUAGUAGUACGUGCUGCUGCAGAGCGCUAAUGUACUUGAUGCAUGGCCCGCAAGCUGUUUGCUAACCACAACGGCCUGUAUGUAGAUGAUCGCAUGAGGAGCCUGCUGUGUGCGUACGUGGUCAAGUUGGUGAUCCGGGGACCAAAAUGAGAUAGCAAGUGUAUUAUUUCGAUGGAAUGUUAAUUCCAUACGAUUUAACGUGAUUGUUCACUGUUCCAUCAUCACUCUGUAAUGGUCGUGUUUGCCUCCCACUCCUUCCUUGGGCCACAUCGGCCUUCUGCUAUUGGGCCACGGAGGAAAGAAAUUUCCGACAGCUGCGCAGAAACAAACCGACGAGCGGUUGCCUGCUAUUUGGGCCUUGCUGGGCUGUGCGAUCUACAAGCUUCCCACCUCGUCACCUAAUAAGAUGUACUAUCAAUUCCAAAUCUGGGUCCUUUGAAGGACCAUUUAAGAGUGCCUAACAAAAUGUAGAGCUAAUAAUUCUCCUUGAUGCUGUCGUUUGCAAACUCCAAUUUCUGGUGAGAACUGAGGAACCACUCAUCUGCAUCACUGCACGGCUGGCUUGAUCAAAGGAAAUGGGAGUCCAGAGUCCAGACUCCGAUCCAGACGCUUGAAAGAACCAGUGCGUGUGCGUGACAGAGUCUUUUCAUACAAUUUCUUCAGCAGGCCGAAGAUUGCCGCUACUGUUCGAACCAUGAAGCAAAUGGGUCAUGUCUCGAGGAAUCAUGGAUGGCCUCCGGCAAAUCAGUAUAGUUAAGGCCAAAGUCGUGCACAAACUGAAACUUAGCAUGCUGAGAAGCCUUAUUCUUCACAUGCAAUUGCCUUUGCUGGUCUUCGAUCCAUUCCUUACUUAGAGGUGCAUAAUGUUUUGUACGGCAUCUAAUCGUCAUUAGCUCGAGUACUCGUGCAUGACGAACAAAGAGCUUGCAAACCUGAUAUCUGAUUUCUCCCCUUCGUAGCCAUUCAAUAUUAUUUUUCUGACAUGGAGCUCAAGGCACUCGAUGGGGUUUUGCUUAUCGUAACUUCCUCCACUUCUGAAUCCUCGUCUUACCUGAAUCCAAUGACCAAAGAAAAAAAAUAGAAGAUUUAGUUUCUGGGAAAAGUAAGAAAUGCAAAAGUUUCCUGUGUCAAUACGCAUGUAUCGUCUAUUUGCAAAUUAACGGAGACCUUUGGCUGAACUACAAGUCAAAAGUUUCAGAAUAAACACCAGUUAGAAAUUUGUUUGAAAUUAUUGUUGUUGUGUGACGUCAAAAUUUGAUACUAAACAUACAUAUUGGUCAACCUUCGCUAGUCUCAUCAACCAAAGCCCAACAAUCAAAACGUACGAUACCAAUUCCUACUAGACUAAGAGUGAACAAUAAUCUGUUAAGAAAAAAUACCGAUCGAGAUACAGCAACUGUGAAAAUUAAGACUAAAAAAGAGAGCUCACCGAGGCGUCAGGACAAGAUCCUGCAGAGAAGUAGAGCUUCUCCAAGCAUGGGAAACACCUCAGGAAGUUGCAGACCACAUCAGUGCGAUCAACGUCCUCCAGAGCCAAACUCUUCACGGUUUGCAGCGUCGCCCCCAAUCUAACCGCGCGGAUCUCCGAUCGCGUUUCCUGAGAAAUUACUUUGCCCUGGUGCACAUGGUCGAUGUGGCAGCUGGUCACUUUGAACACCGUGUCUCCAAGCUCGAGCCGGGAGAUGGUCCUGGAGAUGCAUCCCAGGAACCUCAGCCUGGGCGCGCUCACCACCCGUAGCUCGAAGGAUUCGCCGCUGAAACGAUGGCGGAACGGGGCCAGAUACUCCAGACGAGGGCCGUUCUCGACGGUGACCCGGCGCAUCAUCACCUCCGGCAUCGGGUUCAUGGAAUGCGCGACGGAGACGGCGAGAGUCCUGAUGGUGGACGAGGUGAUCUUGACUUGGGCGAAGCCGGUGCACUCGUCGAGCACUAGCGUUCCCAGGGCGAGGCAGCCGGCGGGGACGCCGUGGAGGGCGUCUUCCGAGACGCUGACGCCACAGAGCGACAGCGUCUCGAGGUGCGGGAAGCGAAGCGCGGCGGCGGUGGAGGGGAGGACGCAGGAGCCGACCCUAAGGACGCGCAAUGUGCGAGCCAAGCGGAGCGGCGGCGGCAGCGGCAAGGGCGGUAUAGUCCUCAAGUCCAGGCAGGGCAGCCCCGGGUGGAUCCCGAGCACUUGGAGGCCGUCGAGGGCUGGCGAGCGGAGCCAGUGCUCAUAGGCGGCGGAGUUGCCGGCGACAGAGAUGGUUCCGAGCCUGAGGCGGCGGGCGUGGCCAGGGUGGACCGCGAGGACGUGGGAGACGAGGCACAGGAUGAGGACGCGGGAGGUGGAGGCGCUGCCGUGGAGGAACCGGUCGUCGAGGUUGAGCGGGGAGGACCGCCAGACGUGGCGCCAGAGUCGGUCUGGAAAUUUUAUGAUCCGAGUAGUAGUAGUAUGUUUUCUUCGAGAGCGUUCCCUAUUUUGCUCGGCCUUGCUUCCAAUUAGGAUGCAAAUCAUACGAACGCAUUGUGUGUUUCUCAACGCCGUUGCAUUGCAUGGUACGACACAAUUCCAAACCAGAGCUAGCUCAGUGUUAGUCUGGAAAUUGGAACACCCUUGAUUAACUUUUCUGUGAACCGUCUAUGCUCGGCAGCAGGAUUGGGAUUUGAUCUAGGGUAUGUAGGGUCAAAAUGAAAGUUGUGGAAUUUACUUGUUGAAUUUGAUUAUUUAUAUCUUUAACCGUUUUGUAUGGACCGUUCUUUUGGUUUACUUUUUAAAUUUUAACCCUUUGUGCAGAUUCUCAGAAGGUGCUGAACUCCGAUUUGUUUGCUGGUUUGCGCAGAUUCUCAGAAGGUGCUGAACUCCGAUUUGUUUGCUGGUUGGAAAUACGCGGCAAGAUACACAGCAAAAUGCUCUCUCAAGACACAACUUACGCCGCUUACAUCGUGUUCAAGUUAGCUGAUAAAUCCUAUGGGCUGGAUUACCCAGCACAAGAGGCAUCGAUCACCUUUGCAGGAAGCACGUCAACUCGCAAAGUCUGCCUCCAAAGCGAUAUUAACGAGGAUGAGGAUCGUGCAGGCACCAGGAAACUAUUCAGUAGAAGAUAGCAUCGUGCUUGUUGUGCACCACUUGGUGUUCCCUCAAAAAAGAACCGAUGGUUGGAUGGAACUGAAGCUGGGUGAGUUCCACGUCCAAGAUUGUGACACUGCUGGUGAGGUCUGCAUGAACCUCAUGGAGACAAAGGGAGUCAGUUCGAAGGCAGGACUUCUUGUCCAGGGCAUUGAGAUUCGACCUAAGACAGGCCUUGUUGUGGGCUCUUUUGCUCAUCCACUCCUUUCCACAAAUUUGGCUCCCACUCACCUUAAGCGUCCCAAAGGCCGUACCAUAAAUCCUAGUAGCUCCGUGUCCAAGGUUGAAACAAGCAGCAACAACAUCGACGGUUGCCUGUGACUCUGUGAGAUUGUGCGCCUGCCGCAGGAGCUUCUCAUGAAGGUGCUCUCCUACAUCACGCCACAAGACGCCGGCUGCGUCGCUGCAGUUUCCCAGGCUUUCCGUGCCAUUGUGGACUCUGACACCUCCUGGUCCUGCUUUGUCCCCGACGUUCACGACCUCCCCCGGCUCGCGUAUGUAGACGAUAUGGACUACUCCAUCCAGCGGACACUGUCCAAGAAGGAGAUGUUCCUCUGUCUCUCUGACCGGCCCAUCCUACUUGCUGACCACCGCAUGGUAUGGUUCCCAACCCCCCAAAAAAAUGUCUUGCUAAUACGCAUGUUUCUUGUUUGAUGCUCAGCUGAUUUGUUGUUGUGUUCAGAGCAUGUGGUUAGACAGGCAGACCGGCAGCAAGUGCUACAUGCUAUCAGCGAGGGCGCUGAACAUUGCACGGGGCAAUACACCAAAGCAUUGGCGCUGGAUCCACCUCACGGACUGCAGGUUCGCUUCUGUAUUUCCACUGCGUUGCUUUCCAAUUCUGAUGCUGAAAUUUGUACCGACAUAUUUAAUUGUAGCUUAAUGCUGUGAUAUAGUAAUGAAUGCAAGGGCAAUGUAUAGAUCAGAUAUUUAAGGGGUUGCAAUGCAGAAAACACUCUGACGCCACUAACAUACACUUCUUUCAGAUUGCGGAAUUUUGGAUACCGUGCAACUCUAUGGUGUUCAUACUUCACAAAUUACCACAGAAUUCCUGAAUUGUAUUUUGCUGUAGGUUCACAAAAAAAUAGCAACCAUAGACACAACCUGAAUUGUUUCCGCGUCCACAGAAAAGUUAACCUUUUGUUAGUUUGCCAUGGCUGCUUGUUCAAUCUUAUAUUAUGAAUCCACACAAUCAUAGGAUAGUUCGCAAAGCUUGGUGACAUUAUGAACUUUACCUCAUGCGCCUGAUCAUUUUUGCGCCAUUUGUUUGUGUCUAUUGCUCUAUUGUUUCGUCACGAGUUCUAACACUGCUUAUUUGCAACAGCUUUUCAGAAGCAGCCGAGCUCCAGAGUGUUUGCUGGUUGGAAAUACGUGGCAAGAUAAAUAGCAAAAUGUUGUCCCUGAACUCAACCUAUGCCGCUUAUAUUGUGUUUAAGCUGGCUGAUGAAUCAUAUAGGUUGGAUUUUUCCGUCCUAGAGGCGUCAGUUCGUAUUGGAAAAUGCAAAUCAACCCGCGAAGUUUGCCUACAUGGAGAUGGAGAUAUGCACCCUCAGCAAAGGGCUGACGGUUGGAAGGAAGUUGAGAUGGGCGAGUUUUACAAUAAAGAAGGUAACGAUGGCGAGGUGUCCAUCAGUCUAUCAGAGACAACAGAAUUGCAUAAUAAGAAAGGUCUUAUUGUGUAUGGGAUUGAAAUUAGACCAAGAAAAUAAGGCUUGGGAGCUUAUAGGAAAUCCAAUUGUUUGUGUCACAAUAUGGACUUUCUGUCGGUUGGUUUUGUAGCACAAGCAGAUUUUUUUUUCUUCGCCGACCACUGUAUUACUUCAUUACAACAUCUGACGACUUGGUCAAAAUCACGGCUUCUCAGAAGCUGCUGAAUGUUUGGUGGUUGGACUGGAAAUACGUGAGCGUGUCCAAUGGCAACAUCAAAGCAAUCUUAGUUAUUAAGGUAUUUGUUUUUUUAUUAGGGACAUUUCAUUUUUAAUAGUCAUAAAACAAGACUUGCGCUGCAUGCAUCCUUGCAACGGGUUAGAGCAAGUAAGGGCAUAUUGUUUGGCUAACGAAAGCAUCACUAGAUCCUUGCUUCUUCCUGUUCACUAUUCCCGUAUCAGUUUUCCAUCCUGGCCUGUGGCCCAAAUUAGUGAAUAAGCAAUGCAAAGUCCAUAAAGCCCAAUUAGUAGCUGCACCGCCGGUGUGGCUGCUAAUUGGACUCCGUGGGCGAGACGGCCCAAUUUUCGUUUUUUAGUCAGUUCACACAAGUUGAUUUUGUUUUUUGAGCAAAUAAGUUGAUUUUGUUCGGAGUACACGAAGAAUCAGCCUCGAAAUUCUCCCAGUGCAAUUCCCAUUUCCUUUCAACCCCAAAUCAGCUCACAGAAGUAAUCCCCAAAUCCUGAGGAGAAGUCGAUGGAGGCGGCGGGCACCUGCGAGAUCGCGCGCCUGCCGGAGGAGCUCCUCUCGGCGGCGCUUGCCCUCACCACGCCGCGGGACGCCUGCCGCGCCGCCGCGGUCUCCCGUGACUUCCACGCCUCAGCCGACUCCGACGCCGUCUGGUCCCGCUUCCUGCCCCGCGAUCCCCCGCCGCUCGCCGACGGGGAGCUCUCCGGCCCCGCGCCGCCGUCCGAGAAGGGGCGAUUCCUCCGCCUCUGCGAUCGUCCCGUCCUACUCGCCGAUGGCCUCAUGGUAGUACAGUCACGACACAAGUAGCAGAGUUGCUUUCUCUUGUUUUCUGAUUGAUCAGCUAACCGAAUGCUGUGUUCAGAGCAUGUGGUUGGACAGGGAGACCGGCGCCAAGUGCUACAUGCUCUCGGCGAGGGCGCUGCGCAUCUCGUGGGGAGACACGCCGGAGUACUGGCGCUGGAUGCAUCCCCCCGAAUCCAGGUUCGCUCAACCUGACUUUUCUCUACCUCACUUCUAAUUCUCACGCAAAUUACUCGAGCAUAUAUAUUAUGUGAGGAAUGGUACUACAACCUUACCCUGGUAAUAAUUCAGAAGCUGGAAUACCUUUGGUGCAGACACAACUAACGUUUGCCCUAGUCCUAGGAGUUAAUUAGUCCCUGACUGUGACUAGCGACUGCCUAAUCGAUUUGGGUUCAGAGUUGUGUAUGUACUCAUUGGAUAACCACGAUGGUGUGCACUGUCUGUUCCAAGCGGCAGCCGUCAUGGAUGGUGCAUAGGCCAGACGACAGUAAGGUCUAAUGGUUCAACUGUUCAUUUAUCCAGGGUUCAGGAUUAGUGCCAAGUUUUAUUUUUUGAAGAUAUUAACUAUUAGUACAUUUGAUUCUUAAUUAUCUUGUAUUGAAGUUUAAUCUUUUGUUAAUCAGCCACAGGUUCAUGGAAGUUGCUGAACUUCAGUAUGUUUGGUGGCUCGAAAUACGGGGCAUGAUACACAGCAAAAUGCUCUCUCAAGACUCAACUUAUGCAGCUUACAUUGUGUUCAAGACAACUGAUCGACGUGAUGGGCUUGAUUAUCCACCCCAGGAGGCAUCAAUCACCGUUGCAGGAAGCACAUCAACUCACAAAGUCUGCCUGCAAAGCUAUGAUAACGAGCAUGAGGAUGGUGCAGUGCCCUUAACAUGGCGAUACAGUAGGAGACACCGGCGUGUGUUUCCCGGAAACCUGGUACUACCUCAGCGAAGGACUGAUGACUGGAUGGAGUUGGAGAUGGGUCAGUUCUAUAACAAGGAUGGUGAUGAUGGUGAGGUGUGCAUCAGCCUCAUGGAGACAAAAGCUUUUAAGAGAGGUCUUAUUGUGCAGGGCAUUGAGAUCAGACCUAAGAGAGGUCAUAAUACGCAACACGGAGGCUGAAUAGGCGGCUGGCGAACUAGUGGCUGCAAAGUGCAAACUACUGGAACAUUGGAUGCAAAAAGUACUAUGACACUAUCCCUGUAUUCGUCAGAGUUAUUUUGAAGAGCACAAACGUAUUGGUUCCGCUAAAUGUUACCUCAUAUAUGUUAUAUGUAAUGUUGUUUCUGUGUUGUUGAUUAUGCCAUUACAAUAUGAUGGUUGUUGAAACUUACUAUCAGAUUCUUGGUUUGGAAGAUGUUCGCAUACAUUUUAAAUUCUGGCAGAGAAAAAAAAGAACAUAUCGUAUUUGCAGUCAUUGUAAGGCCGUUGUCUUCAACCAUGUCAUCUAAGCUUGCUUACAUUAGAUUUUUACUUGUGUGGAUUUUUUUUUUUUACGAACGGGCACGAGAUUGUGCGCCAUUUCUAUUAGUAAAGAAGAAGCUACUUGUAUAGAUGAUAAAUGAAGGAUUGAAUUAUGGAACGGAUUCGUUUCUAGAGGGGAAUGAGUGGAUCUGGUUAUGUCACUCGAUUCUGGAGGGUUUGCUCUGGAGGUCAAGAUAUGGGAUUGAUUCCGGGUUGCUAAGAGGCCGGAAUAACUAAAACGAGCUGGAAUAUAAUCAGGAUCGGCUCUAUUCUGGUCUGAACCAAACAAUUAUUUUAUGUUAAGCCGGCUUUUAAACCAGAUCAAAUCAAUCCGUACGAAAUAGAUCUCGUUCCGAACGGUUCCGAGAGAACUGAACAAAGCUUAAGUAGUUUGUAUUUCUCUACUGGAAAAACUAUAAAUGGAUGAUUGAAGUAGGAUUGUAGGAAUAUAUGGUUUGCCAUUGCCACGUACUCCUACACCUUGCAAUUAACCAUUUGUCAGUGAUGUUCUUCACAUUUUAUCUCAACAAUUAUGUACUGUUCCAGUAACUUUUUUUUUGAAAAGACGGCAAGAGCAUUGCCGUGGUGGUAUAUUAAUAGGGAGGAAAAAGGAAACAAAACAAAUGUAAAAGAGAACAAUUGAACAGCUAUGGAGAGACCUAAAGAACGCUAGACAUACAAACAAAAACGAUAACCUGAGGGGAGGACAACCAGCACAACAAUACAACCAAAGAAAAGGAAAGGCCUCUCCACAGCGCAAAAGAAGAAAAAACUGACUCGGGAUAGAAGGACCUCAUGCAACUACGACUGACCAUUUGUAGCUUCGUUGCGACCAUUAAAAGCAAGUCUGUACUGGUUCAUGUCUUCCUUGAUGAGUAGCGCCAAUUGUAGUGGUGGCAAGGAUUUAUGUUGAAAAAUAUGUUGAUUUCUUUCUUUCCAAAUAUUCCACCAAAAGUAUAUCAUUAGACCGUCAAAAGUUUGUCUGUCUUUUUUAUCCACUAGCAUCCUACAUUUUCUCCACCAUGCAUAAAGAGAAAUCGACUGUUCCAAAUUCUGCAACGAAUGUAAGCCAGUUCAAGAAGUGAUCAUGUUCCACACAUCCUUGACGUAUGGACAGUUCUUGCAAAGGUGAUGGGGUGUUUCAGGCUGUGCCGUGCAUAGUUUGCACAAAGGAUCAUUUGUCCAUCCUCGUUUUUGCAAAUUGUUUGCUGUUAGAAUUUUUUUUGUGUAGCAAUGUCCACGCAAAGAAACGGCAUUUGAGUUCAGCCUUUGCUUUCCAUAUUGGUGAAAAAUUGAUCUUUUGCAUGCUUCCCGAGAAUUGGAUCAUGUAUGCGCUCUUGGCUGUAUAGUUACCGUCAUUUGUCCACCUCCAUUUUAUCUAAUCUUCUUCCUGCACAUCUCUACUUUGAUGAUGUAGCUUUUCCUAUAGAGUGGUGUAUUGGUGUAGUUCUUCAGCCGAUUGGAUAUGCUUGAUAUGUCGGAUCCACGCAUUAUUGUUCAAAGCUUGUUUAACUGUGAUAUUCUUCCUGAUGGAUUUUGAGUACACGAGGGGCGCAAUGUUUUGAUGGAUUUUGCGUACACCAGGGGUGCAAUGUUUUUAGGAACUGUCCCAUCAACCCAAUUACAGUGCCAAAAUGGCGCUUUACUCCUUUACCAACUUUGACCACUGUCAAGGCAUAGAAGAGGUCCCAAUCUGUCUUAUCGCAUGGCACCUCCAUUUGGGACCAAGUUCUUUCACUGUGUUUCCACUUGUACCAUAACCACCGCAGCCGCUGUGCCCGAGCAAAGAUUUCGAGGUCUAAAAUUCCUAACCCACCUUUUUCCUUAGGCCUUGCUGUUAUUUUCCAUUUGACCAAACAGUGACCACCGCUAACAUGUUCCGGAUCAUUCCCCUUCCAAAGGAAGCUCUGUUGAAAUCGAUCAAUUCUUUGGAAGAGCCAUUUUUGCGAUGGGAAGACCAUGAGGUGAUAUAUGGACUGUGAUGAUAAAACCGUCUUGACAAGCGUUUCUCUACCUGAAGUAGAUAGGAGCCGACCUUUCCACCCCGGGAGUUUGUUACCAAUUUUAUAAUAAGGGGUUGGAUAUAGAUUCUUAUCAACUUUCUUGUAUGUAGGGGCAGGCCAAGAUACUUGCCUGGGAAUUGAACAAUCUUGCCAUUGUCAAGAUUAAUGGACUCACGUCUGAUUGGAAAAUUUUCUGUUUUUGCUAUGUUGAUGGUGAGGCUUGAGAAUUUUCCAAAUUCUUCUAGUAGUCGGCCCAUUGCAUGUAAUUCCCUAGGAUCAGGAUUGACGAAAAUUGCGGCAUCAUCAGCAUAUAAAGAGCAUCUUAGCUGCGCCAUUUUAGGGAGAACUGGAUUUAGAAUACCUCUCUGGGCCACAAGCUCUAUAAAGCCUUUGUAAUGGGUCUAUGGCCAAGAUGAAUAAUAUAGGUGACAGGGGAUCUCCCUGCCGUAAACCUCUCGCGUGCUUAAUUUUUCUUCCAAGUCUGCCAUUGACAAGUAUCCGUGAUGAGGAAGCCGAUAGAAUUGCUGCAAUCCAGUCACGCUAUUUUGACAAAACCAAUUGCUUGGAGGACAUCUAACAGGUAUGGCCAAUUGAUCGAAUCAAAGGCCUUUGAAAUGUCUAGUUUGACAAAUAGAGCCGGUCUCUUGUUCUUGUGAAGUAUUUUCACCACAUUUUGAACAUAAAGGAAGUUGUCAUGUAUACAUCUCUUCUUUAUAAAUGCAUUCUGAGAAUGUGAAACAAGGUCGUUCAAACGUUCUGCAAGUCUCGUGGCUAGCAUCUUGGUAAUAAUUUUUGCAAGGCUGUUUAUGAGACUUAUCGGGCGGAAAUCCCCUACCUCCUCAGGGUCAUCUUUUUUAGGAAGUAAAACAAUAUUUGCACUGUGAAACAGAUGCAUCUUCGCAAUCUUCAGUUCAUGGAAACCACGUAAAGCUUCACAGAGAUCAUGGCACAAGUAGUAGAGUUCCUUUCUCUUGUUUUCUGAUUGACCAGCUAACCGAAUGCUGUUUUCAGAACAUGUGGCUGGACAGGGAGACCGGCGCGAAGUGCUACAUGCUGUCGGCGAGGGCGCUGUGCAUCAUUUGGGGCAACACGCCGGAGUACUGGGGCUGGAUCCCUCUCACUGACUCCAGGUUUGCUAUUCCACAUGUUCCUGUAUUUCUCUCUUUCCUUUUGUUUUCAAAGGAUCUCCAACUUUUCAUAAAUCAUUCAUAAAAGAGAGAUGGAUAGAAGCAGAUCCAAUAUGUACUUCUCAUUUUGGGAGUGGAGUUUUUAGAGGGGAGUCAAAACUAAACAUUGAUAAUUGCUAGCCAUUUCUGAUGGGAAUUACAUAAGUGGGUGCUUAAUUUAGUUACAAUGUCCAGUGUUAUGGCAUUGACGAACCAAGUAUUCUUUCCUUUGCUUCUAAAGCAGAGUGCUUGACCUCUUGCAACUUUGCAUGGAGAGAGUAUAUCAGUGUGCUUUGUUCAGUCAAAUGGAGUUUAAGUUGGUGUUUGAAUUGUACUAACCUGGUUAUUUGGAUCCACACGGAGAUAGAUGAAGAAGCUUGACUGGUGUCAUGCAAUGGAAUCACUUGUUGACAUGAUUACAUCUAUUGCUCUGGUUAUUUAUUGCGAAUUUUAACCUUUCGUUAAUUUGUUACAGCUUCUCGGAAGCUGCUCGACUCCUGCAAGUUUGGUGGUUGGAAAUACGUGGGAAGAUAGAUAGCAAGAUGCUCUCCCAGAACUCGACAUAUGCUGCUUACAUUGUGUUCAAAGUAACCCGUGGAGCAUGUCCUUGGUUCUCCAUACCCGGAGACGUCUGUCCACCUUGGAGAAAGCAAAUCAACAUGCCACGUUUGCCUGGAUGUCGAUGACAGGGACGAGGACGGUGAAAUUCCUCAAAAUGUAGUGCUUCCUCGAGAAAGAGCUGAUGGCUGGAUGGAGUUGGAGAUGGGUGAGUUCCGGAACGAUGAAGGUGAAUACGGUGAGGUUUCCAUCAGACUUCUGGAGACAUCAGCUAUCGUAAAGGGUGGCCUUAUCGUGCAGGGCAUCGAGGCCAGACCCAAGAAACAAAGAGCAUUGAGCUUGUAAGGAUCGACUGCUAGAGAUAUACUGUUUUGUAUUUGGUUCUUGUAGACCACGACAUAAGCUUUGGCCGGUGUUGUAGUCUAUCUAGGAGAUAGAGUUUGUUGUAAUCUGAAUCGAAAGGUUUUGUAUAGUUUGUUUAGAGGCCAAGGCAUAUCUAUAGGUGUCUAUAUAUUGUAAAACUCCUUGUGCAAUUGCACACCUUCAAUCAACACGCAACCGUCGUACCCGAGGACCAGGGGCGACGUUCUCCCAUGCUUAGCGCCUUAGAAACUUUACAUGGUAAUUAGAGCUCAAGGUUGAUUCCAUGGCAUCUAGUUCAAGCGCUCCGAACCCACUACUCGGCAUCCACAUCACCGAGAAGCUCGCCAAGACCAACCAUGUGCUUUGGAAGGCGUAGGUGCUCACCGCUAUAUGUGGUGCACGUAUGGAGGGCCAUGUCACCGGCAAGGUCAUCGCUCCAGUUGCUGAGAUCAACGAGAAGAAGGCCAACGAUACUGUCGUUGCUAUGCCGAAUCCGACGUAUGAGGAGUGGUAUGCCCGGGACCAACAGGUCCUAGGGCUGAUCUUCUCAUCGGUGGGGAAGGAAGUCCUCGCCCAGAUCAUUGCUGCAAAGACAGCGGUGCAGGCAUAGGAUGAGGUGGAGCGCAUGUUCUCUGCCCAGACCCGUGCCAGGAUAAUGAAUGUGCGAUUUGCACUUACAACUACGAAAAAAGGUAACUUGUCCAUUAUUGAUUAUUUCGCUAAGAUGAAAGGAUAUGCAGAUGAGAUGCUUGCUGCUGGAAAGCCUUUGGAUGAUGAAGCACUUGUCUCCCACAUCUGCAACGACCUCGACUUCGAGUACAACCGGGUGGUGAUAGCAGUUGCCGCAAGGGUUUAGGCGAUCUCGAUCCCUGAGCUCUACUCUCAAUUGCUCAGCUUCGAGACUCGUCUUGAUCUCCAGGAUGAAUCAGGUUCCUCUGCUCAUAUUGCCAACAUAGGGGGUCGGGGCACACCCAACAACCGUGGCUCUGGUCGUGGCCAUGCAGUGCGCGGUCGUGGCCUAGGGCGUGGUCGCAGCAACAACAACCAGUAGCGCAAUGGAGGUGCCAACCAGCAUCACAUGGGGGGCAGUUCAGAUGAUUGUCUCUUGUGUCAAGUGUGGUUUAGAUGAUUGUCUCUUGUGUCAAGUGUGCUUCAAGAAGGGGCAUCUUGCUUCCAACUGCUGGCAUCGUGAGAACUACGUCCCCGACGAGCGUCUCGUUGCUGCUGUAAUGAACUUCUACAAAAUCGACACCAACUGGUACACCGACACAGGAGCAACAGAACACAUCAUGAGUGAGCUAAAGAAGCUCUCCGUACGCAACAAAUACAAGGGCAACGACCAAAUUCACACUGCUAGCGGUGCAAGUAUGGAAAUUAAACACAUUGGUCAUACUGUUGUUCCAACCCCCACUCGCAAUCUACAUCUUAACAAUAUUCUUCAUGUCCCAAAAGCUACAAAAAAUCUUAUUUCCGUUCAUCACCUUGCUAAAGAUAAUUCAACUUUUCUUGAAUUUCACCCUGAUUAUUUUCUAAUUAAGGAUCAGGCCACGAUGAACACGAUUCUUAGGGGGAGAUGUUACAAGGGCCUCUACCCUCUUCCUUCAGAUCAUCCAAUAAAGCAGGUGUAUGGAGUAGUUAAGCCAACCUUCUUUAGGUGGCAUAGUCGUUUGGGUCAUCCUUCCUCCCCUAUUGUUACUAAGAUUGUUAGUAGCAAUAAUUUACCUUGUUCUUUUCAAUCUAAUAAGGAGUCAGUGUGAUGCUUGUCAAAAGGUAAAGAGUCAUCAAUUGCCUUAUGGUAGAUCGUCUAGUACCUCUAGUGGAGCUUGUUCAUUCGGAUGUUUGGGGUCCUGCUUUAAACUCUGUUGGAGGAAGAAAAUAUUAUGUUAGCUUUAUUGAUGAUUUCAGCAAGUUUACUUGGACCUACUUUCUUUAGUUUAAAUUUGAAAUUUUUUAGAAAUUUCAUGAGUUCCAAAGUAUGGUAGAAAGACUCUUUGAUCGCAAGAUUAUUUCUAUGCAAACUAAUUGGGGGGGAUACCAAAGACUUCAUACUUUCUUUGAUAAAAUUGGAAUCACACUCAUCAUGUUUCAUGCCCUCAUGCACAUCAGCAAAACGGGGUUGUUGAGAGGAAAUAUUGUCACAUUGUUGAAGUUGGUUUAUCACUUCUUACUCAUGCAUCAGUGCCACUCAAAUUAUGGGAUGAAGCUUUCAUGACUGUCGUAUUUCUUAUAAACCGUGUGCCUAGUAAGGUUAUUCAACAUAAAACUCCUCUUGAGCACUUGUUCCAACAACCUUAUUAUUCAUCCCUGCGCAUUUUUUAUUGUGCUUGUUGGCCCAAUUUGCGUCCCUACAAUAAUCACAAAUUAGCGUUCCGCUCCAAAUAAUGUAUUUUUAUUUGAUAUAGUAGGGGGCUUCAAGUGCUUAGAUGUUGCAUCAGGUCAUGUGUAUGUCUCCAGAGAUGUCAUCUUCGAUGAAACAGUGUUUCCUUUUUCUAAACUCCAUGAAAAUGCAGGUGCUUGCCUUCGUUCAGAAGUAUCCCUCCUUUCACCAAAACUCCUUAAUCCUUCUUCUUUUUCAUCCGAGGCGGAACCAGCAGAUGAUCAUGUGUUUGAUUUACCUAACCCCUCUAAUGCAUCUGUUGAAAUUUCUGGUGAAAACAGCAUCCCUGGAACAUCAAAUAACAGUCCUGCAGCGUUGCACCCUCCUGGCGCGGAACAUGAAGAUGAUCCGAUGCUGAAUCCAACAGCAUCAGCGCCGGGAUCGGCGCCUUCUUCGCCUGGCAUCCGGAUCGAUCCGAUCCCGCCCCGCUCCGGUCCCACCGCGUCCUCGCCUCUCCACUCCGAGCCGGACACGUCGGUGCCCAGGGCUGUUGUUGUCCCGCCUCCACCCGGGGCCGCACCAAUCCGCCGUCGACACGCGGCCCAAUCCGGGUGCAAGCGGGGGGGGGGGGGCAGCACCAGCGGCAAUCGUUGCCGCCUGCGCUGGCUGCGCUCGGCCAACUCGCUCCAGCACGAGCGUCGGGAUCUUCUGCAUCAGAAGUUCCUACACCACCGUGUACUCGCGCUACGUGAUGGAAUUCGAAAACCAAAAAUCGACACCGAUGGAACAGUGAGGUAUUGAUGUUUUACAGCUUUACAGCUUCUGGUGAACCCCAAAAUUUGGAUGAAGCAAUGAGUAAUAAGGAUUGGAAGUCAGUUUUGGAUGCAGAGUAUAAUGCCUUGAUUAAAAAUAAAACAUGGCAUUUAGUUCCACCAAAAAAGGGUAUUAAUAUUAUUGAUUGCAAAUGGGUGUAUAAAGUCAAGCGCAAGUCUGUUGGAAGUCUUGAUAUAUACAAAGCCCAUCUAGUUGCUAAAGGUUUCAAACAGCGAUAUGGUAUUGGUUAUGAAGACAUUUUUAGUCCUGUCGUAAAACCUGCUACUAUCAAAAUUGUUUUAUCUAUUACUGUGUCUAGAGGGUGGAGCUUACGUUAGUUAGAUGUACAAAUUGCUUUCCUUCAUGGUCUCUUAGAGGAAGUGGUGUACAUGAGGCAGCCCCCUAGGUAUGGGGGCAUGAAGAUCUAGUAACGCCUGGGUUUAUUUGUAAGUUGGACAAAGCUCUCUAUGGUCUUAAGCAAGCACAGAGCAUGGUACUCAAGGUUGAGCAGUAAAUUAUAUGAACUCGGUUAAAGCAUCAAAAGCCGAUACAUCUCAGCUCUUUUAUUGUAAAGGGUCAGUCACAAUAUUUAUACUUAUCUAUGUUGAUGACAUAAUUGUUGCUAGUUUUACCCAGCAGGCUACCACAUGUUUGUUAUAGGGUCUGAACAAGGAGUUUGCUCUCAAGGAUCUUGAAGAAUUGCAUUACUUCCUUGGUAUAGAAGUAAAUAAAGUGAAGAAUGGUAUUCUAUUGACACAAGAAAAAUAUACCAAUGAUGUGUUGCAGCGUGUAGGCAUGAUGGUCUGUAAACCUAUGAGUUCGCCAUUAUGUAUAUCAGAAAAAUUGUCGGCUCAUGAAGGUUCUAUACUUGGACCAAAAGAUGCUUAAAAUUAUAGGAGCGUGGUAGGUGCACUACAUUACUUGACCUUGACUCGGCUAGAUAUUUCAUAUGCAAUAAACAAGGUUUGUCAAUUUCUACGUGCACCAACAAUUGUUCAUUGAUUAGCUGUGAAAAGGAUUUUGAGAUAUCUAAAACAUACUAUGAAGAUUGGACUUAGAAUUUGCAGAUCAUUCUCCCUUCUUGUGAGUGCAUUUUCAUAUGCAGAUUGGACAGGCUGUCUAGAUGAUCGACGCUCUACUGGAGGUUUUGCUGUGUUCUUGGGGUCCAAUCUUAUAUCUUGCAGUGCAAGGAAGUAGGCUACAAUAUCAAGAUCAAGUAUUGAAGCUGAGUAUAAGGCUGUUGCCAAUGCGACUGCUGAAGUUAUGUGGAUACAAACCUUGCUAUAUGAAUAGGGAAUUCAAGCGCCUAGAGCUGCUAAAUUGUGGUGUGAUAAUAUUAGAGCUAAGUAUUUUUCUACUAAUCCAGUGUUUCAUGCUUGUACUAAAUAUAUAGAAGUUGAUUAUCAUUUUGUGCGAGAGAGGGUGGCAAGAAGGUUACUUGGCAUUGAAUAUAUUUUUACAAAGGAACACGUUGUUGAUGGGUUUACAAAACCACUUACGGUGUGGCAGUUAGAGAUGUUCAAGAAUAAUCUCAACUUGGGAAGUUUCGAUUGAGAGGGAGUGUUAGAGAUAUACUGUUUUGUAUUUGGUUCUUAUAGACCAUGAGAUAAGCUUUGGCCGGUGUUGUAGUCUAUCUAAAGAUAGAGUUUGUUGUAAUCUAAAUUGAAAAUGUUUUGUAUAGUUUGCUUAGAGGUCAAGGUAUAUCUCUAGACGUCUAUAUACCGUAAAACUCCUUACGCAAUUUCACACCUUUAAUCAACAAGCAACCGUCGUACCGAGGAUAGGGGCGACGUUGUCAGAAACUUUACAUCGACGACGUUGUGCGAGUAAAUAAAAAUAGUUAGUGAAAGCAAUUUCGUGAUCUGCAUUCCGAACAGGGUUAGCUAAUCGCAAAAUGACUUGAGCUGUAUUCAUUGCAUCACAAUGUGCCGUUGUUACUGACAUGUGGUUUGUAGCGUACUCACCUAGCAAUUAACCGUUUGCCAGUGAUGUUUUUCAUAUUUCCUUUCAACAAUUCUGUAUUGUUCCAGUAAUAACUCGUUAGCAUUUCGCACCGUUGCGUUUCUAGCGAGGGAGCAGAAGUGGGCCGAAAUCCCCGGGGGACUGAGCCUAUCUACGGCCCGCAAAACGGUGGGCAUCGGACGAUGAUGAUUGAUGUUCAAAUAAUCUUGGUGCGUAGGCUCAUCCGACGACGUUUCCAGACGGACGGCCGCGUGUUCCGCGAGAAUGGCAAAAAUCCCACAGUGAUGACUCACGAUGAGUCGGCGACCACGCGUGGCGCUGCCCGGAGAGAUACGCAUACGCGUGAUGUUGACGCAGCAUACCCAGUACGCGGAAUUUUUUUAUUUUUUAUUUUAGUAUUUUUCAAAAAUAUAUAUUUAACAAAAAAAUUAUAAAUCUAUACUUGUACCGCCGUUUGAAACAGCUAUAGCUAAAUGAAACAGCGGAAGGCAUAUCGUAGCAAACUUACCGUAGUUCCCUUCUCUAGGUAGUACACGUUUAAAAAAUAAUAACUAAUUCAUAUGAACUCGGAUGGAGAUAAACUUUAUUUGAAAAUUGUAGAUCUCAACGAGAUUUACAACUUUUUAGUUCAAACUUUUUUCAUUUGGUGUCAUAUUGGUACUUAAAUAAUCGCCACAUGUUUCAGAUCUAAAAUUCAAGUUUUAGAUCUGAAACUGAGCAGCAUACAUUCAAAAAAUCACAACUAAUUCAUAUGAACUUGGAUAGAGAUAAAUUUUAUAUUAAAAUUGUAGAUCUCGAUAAGAUCUACAACUUUGUAGUUCAAACUAUUUUCAUUUGAUGCCAUCUUCGUACUUAAAUAAUCGACACAAGUUUUAGAUCUAAAAUAUAAUUUUAAAUUUGAAGCUUGUGUCAAUUAUUUGAGCACGAAGAUAGCAUCAAAUGAAAAAAGUUUGAAAUCUCGUCGAGAUCUACAAUUCUCAUAUGAAGUUUAUCUCCCUUCGAGUUCAUGAAUUAGUUAUGAAUUUUUAAAAGUGUACCGUCCAACGGAGGGAGCUUAUCGCCGGUUCAACUAUCGCCAACAGAUAUUUUUUUUGCAAAAUAUUAAAAAAAAAAACUCCAGCACGACGGCGAGACGACUUUCGCCGGCCAAGAACCAAGUAACCGACCACCACCCUCUGCCUCCUCUCCGGGCUCUCCACUUUCCUCACGGCAAAUGGUCGGAUCAGGGAGCGCGUCCACGUCAUCCACCGACCUCCGGGACCCACAUGGCAUCCACCCAGGACAGGGUGUCUCCAAUGCGUCUCUCGCGGGUCGCCGUCCCAAGGCUUAACCGCUAAGCCUCCGCAUUGCCGUCUCUCCCACCUGUAUAAAUCCGUCACCCCUUUUCCCAGUCUCGCUCUUGUUAAUUUUUCUUCUUCUAUUUCCAAUCCCCACACUGUCCAUCCCCCGAAUCGAAUCGAAUCGAAUCGAUCGAAAGCGGAAGCGAAAAGGGGCGGAGGAAUCUAUGGCGGCGUCGACGGCGGCGGCAGCGGCACCCCCUUCCUCCUGCGAGAUCGCGCGGAUCCCGGAGGACCUCCUCGCGGCGUCGAUCGCCCGCACCACGCCGCGGAACGCCUGCCGCGCCGCCGCGGUCUCGCCGGCCUUCCGCGCCGCCGCCGACUCCGACGCAGUGUGGGCCUGCUUCCUGCCGGGCGACCUCCCGCCGCUUGCCGACGGGGAGCUCUCCCCCGCGCCGCCGUCCAAGAAGGAGCUCUUCAUGCGCCUCUCUAACAGCGACAGCCCCGUCCUCCUCGCCGACCGCCUCAUGGUACGGGAAUCCGCUUAUGAUUAGGUCGAUCCCUGUGCAGUUAAGGUUCUCGAUCGAUGGACGACUGAUUGGUUGUGUACUUGUGUUGGCGUGUUCAGAGCAUGUGGUUGGACAGGGAAACCGGCGCCAAGUGCUACAUGCUCUCGGCGAGGGCGCUGUGCAUCAUUUGGGGCGACACGCCGCGGUACUGGCGCUGGAUCCCUCUCGCUGACUCCAGGUUCGCCAAAUCAACGGCCCCUCACUGACUUGCUCUUCAACUUUGAUUGAUGUGAUUGUGAACUGAAGUAGUACCACUGGGGUAUAGUGGGUGUGUUCUUAAAUGCCACCGUUGGGGUGCUACAUCCAAUGGCAGUGCCACUAGAUAUAAGUCUAAUAGUUGUGGCUUGCUAAUUGUGUAAUGGUGAGUUGGUGCAUGACAUUAUUCUGAGAACAAUUGCGGCAUUUUGAUGAUGUUAAAGAGGCCUAAGCUUGCAUCAAUUCAAUUUAGAAGUUAGAACUGUACCUUCAUCCAUAUUCCUUUCCACAUGCACAUGACCAAAUGCUGUUAUCUUAUCCUUGCUUUUGAGAUCAAAAUUGCAUGGUCUUUUUGACUUUGAUUCUAUAUUAUGAAUGAACGCAGCAUAUUUCGUCAAAGAAAAUGGAUGCAGCAUAUGAAAAGUGCAGUUUAUGUACCUUGCCAUGAUUAUGGUCUUAGAAUUCUGUUCUGUUGCAAAAUUUUAAAGCUGUUUUCUGACAGGUUCUCGGAAGGUGCCGAGCUCCAGGAUGUUUGCUGGUUGGAAAUACGUGGCAAGAUACAUUGCAAGAUGCUCUCGCGAAACUCAACUUAUGCUGCUUACAUGGUGUUCAAGAUAUCCGAUGAAUCCUAUGGGCUGGAUUAUCCACCCCAGGAGGCUGCAGUUACAAUUGGGGAAAGCAAAUUCACUCGUCAGGUUUGCCUCCAAGGCCAUGAGAACGAGGAUGAGGGUAUAGAAGAGGUGCCUCAGAAUUACCGAUCUCUUAUGGUUCCAGCCAUCACACGAAGGUUAAGGAGAAGAAACCGUCCUUUGCCUCAUGGAGUGACUGUGCCUAAGAAAAGGGCUGAUGGCUGGAUGGAGAUGGAAAUGGGUGAGUUCAACAAUGAAGAAGGUGAGGAUGGUGAGGUGUCUAUCAGUCUCAUGGAGACAAUACAAGGCCACUGGAAGAAAGGUCUUAUUGUGCAGGGCAUUGAAGUUAGAGCAAAGAAAUAAAACUGGGAGGGUGGGAUAUCAGCUUUGCACAUCAAAAUAAGGCUAUAUGUAUGUGUUUUGCAGCAUUGUGUUGGUGGACAAUGUGCUUUUGUUUGCCAACGAGCUGCUAACUACACACUGAUAAAUGGGUGUGUCCAGGUUCUUGUGGGAAAACAAAAAAAAAACUGCAGUUUUGUACAAAUUAUGGUGUCCCAGAUCAGUUAGUGCUUGUCUGCUUGAUGACUGGCAACGUUUGGUUCUGAAAAUGUAACCAGGUAUUGCUGUUAUUUGGUGUUCCAACUCCCGGAAUACCGGACCUUUUUUGUGAGUUGCGGGCUGCUUUUGUAAAUGAAAGAUUUGGAUCCAUAUCAGAAUUCAUAUUUGAACCGAACCGCAAGCAUGCUCGACUAUACAGCGUGGGCCGGCAAGGUAGCUGCGCGGCAGCGGCCGGCGCGGCGCGAGGAGGCCGCGUGGCUCGCGCGUCGAAGAGGUGGUGCAUGGCGGCGCGAGCUGUGCGGUGUGGGUCUUGACAACGGCAUGUCGAGGAUGUACGCUGGUGGCGUUGCUGUCGUUCGACUGCGUCUGAAGUGGUUGUGCGCAAAUACGGGCGAAAUCCUUAAUCGGUCUUGCAACGCUUUGGACGCCGUUCCCCUCCUUGGAGGCGUUGUCUUUGUAUUUUAGCACACCCCCUCCUGUGGUCAACGUUUGAUACGUUUCGCCAAGAUGAUGAGCUAUUAUCUCCGGAAGCUUUGUGUCUGCGCACGUGGUGCAGCUGUGAUUCCGGCGGCGGCUAGGUGGAGGUGAAGUUAUUGGAGUAGCUCGGUGGCACCAUGUCACUCCCGGCGACAAAGCAUGUCCGAAUCCUUAGCGUGGAGUCCAGCGGCGGAAGUGGUGAGGCCCCCGUUCGUUUUAAGGUGAUGUGUCCGAGGAGUGGUGUGCGGUGGUGAUGUGGCGAGGUCCCCACGUGUUCGAGUUGCCUCGGAGAGCCAGGUUCUCCUGGUGUUUUCGGUCGUUUGGUGUGGACGGUGCUGCAGCGGUGCUUCGGUGUUAGGUCCUGCAUAGUGGUGGUCUUUUCGAUGUGGCGCGGUGUGCUCCUCUUUUGACUUCUGCCAAUGCAAGGCUGUGGAUUAGGAGAUCGACGGCCGUGUGUGCGUGACGUGAGGAUGACGGCGGUAUGGUGGAGGAGUCUUGGUAGCUACACAGCUUGCAGUGGACUGCGGCAAUCAAUUCUGCAUGACAGAGGCCGGUUCGGCGUGGGACAUCGUUGGGGACGACAAUGCUUGGAAUGAGGGCUACUUGUCAGCUUUUCUCCCGGGUUGUGGUGGUGCGGCGUGGUGGUUGGUGCUCAGGCAUUAGCGUUGUACGGCUUGUGUUGAUAUCUCAAUCCGACUGGCUACAGAGUUGUUUUCUUUUUAGUUGAGUUGAGUUUCUACGUGAUGUGUUGGAAGUCACCGUUGUUGCUAUGUUGUUGUACCCAGUCUGAAUUUAUUAUUCUUUUUAAUAUAAUCGGCAGCUCUCAUUUAAAAAAAACAAAGCGUUGCUAUUUUGGCAAGCUAAGACAUGCUCUGUGACUAUAUGAAUGGAUCCAAGAAAAGAAAAGCGUUGCAAGCUAAGAAGUUAACAGCUCAAGGCCUCCUCCAGCUUGUAGUGUUGAUUUUGAGUGAAGACAGGGAAUGGGAGUUACCGCAGCUCUUCUGCCUGGUUCAUCUAAAAAAGAAAGCGCUGCUAUUUUGGCAAGCUAAGAAGUUUUAAACGAACUGCAAGCAUGCUCUAUGACUAUACGAAUGGAUCCAAGAAAAGGAAAGCGCUCCAAGCUAAGAAGUUAACUAAAAAAGCUCAAGGCCUCCUCCAGCUUGUAGUAUUGAUUUUGAGCGAAGAGAGGGGAAAAAAAGCAACUAAAAAACAUUUGGGGUGAGAGAGGCUCGAACUCUCGACCUCAGGAUAACUCAAAUUAGCUAUGAGACCUACGCGCUAGCCAACUGCGCCACCACCCCUUGUUGUGAUGGAGGUAUUGUUUAUUAUUUUUGAUAAUGAUCCAGGUCUCAUUACACUAUGCUUAUAAGACGGUCUGCACUUGAAAUUUGAAAAGGGGUCGAUCUGAAGUUCUUUACCAUUAGUCCAUUCCAUAUCUAUCUUUAUAUAAUCAGGAUUCAGAGAAUCAGAGUUCGUAUGAAGAUACACCAAAACGAUGAGCUUGUCUUCCAUGAUUGGUCUCCAAAUUUAACCUAAUCGAAAUGUUAAAUGCUGCUACGAGAAGGAUCCUGAAUGAGAACUGUGUACACCAUUUAUUUGCAGCGCUGUGCCAUUUUGAGCAAAAUGAGGGGAUUAGUAUGAUGGUGUCUCACUGACAUGUUUUAGCUUUAAAGUUUAAAGUGAGUAUCGACUGGACUGCACAGCAUUACUUUUAAAAAAAAUGUACAGCACAUGCACGGCAAACACAAACUGAUAAAUGGGCGAUGGGCCACAACCACAAGCAUGCAUAGCUUCAAUUUGCGCUGUCACUCCGUCAGUCAAUGUCUGGUAACCUGCAACAAUGGCAAAAUAACCGGAUGUCCAGUGUGACUGGAUGCAGCAUCGAACAGGUAACACAAAGCACGAGCAGUUUCAGUGAGUUUCUUUGCCCUGAUGCCCUAAUGAACAUGUCACGUUAUUAGCUUUUUUUUGCCAAAGGUUCAUGUAUUCAGGCAGGCUAAGGUUAGCCUAGCUUGGUAAAAAAAAAAAGGUGCAGAAGUUGUAUUUGCUACGCCGCUGCUACCAGGAACAGGAAGCCUGCCUUGUAGAGUUCGACAUCCACCCAUGAGUGCUGUAAUCUGCUCCCUCCGUCCCAAAUUCCUAUUCAUUUUAACUUUUCUAAAUACACAACUUUUACUUAUGCAUCUACACAUAAUAUAAUAUAUAUCUACAUGCAUAUAAAAAAUUACGUAAUUUGGGAUGGAGGGAGUAGUAGUAGUUAAUGCUCCUCUCCUUAAAAAUCCUGUCUAGAUUCAUUGAACACAAGUUGGCAUCAGGAGCACACGAGGCGGCACAGUGGUUUGCGCCACGCACGCGGUGGACAUGUAACUCAAGAUCAACAAAAACGAUGAAUAAUCGUUGCCACGCUGAAGCCAUUCUUUCUUACCAACGCAACAAAAAGAAAGAGCGUGAUAAACGGCAAGGUAGCUGUUUCUGUAGCAUACCUUUGAUUUGAGGCUCUGACCGAUACAAACCAUUUCUGUAGAGCAAGGCUCUGCAUCGUGUCACCCGCCCGCCUCGGCAAGAAUCUGGUACACGCACGCUAUCCACGCUGUGGGCGCGAGCAUCCUCGAUCUUCCAGCUACAGUGCUACACUGCUUGCGUUGCAUCCCAUUACGUUCCAGAUCUGUAAAAUGUCCUGUUUCGCGGAGAAAUUUCCGUGUGGUUCUCUCUGGCAUUCAUCGGAGAACAUCAGAUGUUUCAAACUCGAAUUCUACAUGCCCCUGGAAUCGAAUGACUUUCUGACGAAGCUGUUGUCUUCAAUUUUAUCUGAAUUUCUUGGUUCUGCCUAACUGAAUUCUGACGAAAGCUGUUGCCUUGCUGUAGACAAACCAAACACGACGGGCAGCACGGGAGCUGAAGGAAGCGCCGCAUCCACACGAGACCCGGCCACCCGGCGGACGUCAUCGGUGAUGUAAGCUUGCACCCUAGCCGUCUGAUGGUCGCCACCGCGUGUCACGGAUGGGGAGUGGAAGACCAGCGGGUGCUGCGCAUAGGCGGGGUCAAGAUUAACGAAUUCAGAGGUUCUAUUCUUUUGACACAUACGUGCCUCUAUUUUCCACUAACUUGCAUUCCGUCACUUGAUUUAACUAUUAAUUAGAUUAGAAUAGCAGCCACCCCGGCAAAAAGAGUUAGAUUAGCAGCCAGAUCACGAACCUUUGUACCUUGUCCUUUUGCUUCAAGGAACGAAGCCUUAAAUUAAACACAAUUGCUAGUGCUUGCGAGUUGCGAUGAGCAAAGUAACUCAGAUUAUAUAGUUAUUGAAGAUUGUUUUUACUUUGUUUCGCUGUACUAGGCAGAUUCCCAGGCUGCUGCUUACUUGUAAUCAUAUGCCCAUUCGUUUUUUUUUAAAAAAAAGUAACACGCAUUAUUCAAUUGGUACUACUUGGCACCAGAUGAAGCAGAUUUGAAAAAAAAAACAAAAAACAAAUAGGCAAGCUAGAGGGACCUGCGUGUAAAACCCGACACGGUAGUAGACUAGUAGGUGCGCUGCAAAUUGAGUUCGUGUUUGUGUUGUGUCGAGCUGCAUAAACGGGAGAGGCGUGCCAUCCCGCAAGGCCACAUACGACCACGAAGCUGCGUGUAAAGCUCCGGAAACGAAGGCGAGAAGAGAAGCUCGCGAUUCUGCUGCCAAUCUGUUAAGAACAUAAGAUCCAUCCAAUCCAAUCCAGUCGAAUCGCAGGUGCGGGUUUCAUAUGAUUUAACUUCGCUUUACCGGCGAAAUUUCGACUUGAUUCCUCCCACUUGAGUUUUUGGAGUCAGAUUUCUCAAAGUUCAAUUGCGCCCUAGGGUUUUGUUUCGCGCAGUUGAGAACCCAUGGCGAGGAAGAUGCUCGUCGACGGGGAGGCGCCCGUCGCCGACGGCGACAAGUACGACUACGAUCUCUUCGUCAUCGGCGCGGGCAGCGGCGGCGUUCGCGGUUCUCGCACCGCAGCCUCCUUCGGAGCUAAGGUUUGGUUAUUCCCCCCCCCCCCCCCCCCCCCCCCUUCAGUUAUUCAUCUGUUAAUUUCGUUGAGCUCGGCUAUGCCUCCUCGCCGUGAGCCCAUCCGCGCUGCUCCCUCCCUCCGCCGCGUGGUUGCCACCGUUUGUUCCCCUUCCGGCCCCCAUCGGUCGCUACUCGCAACUCCUAUGGCCGGCGGCUGGCACAGGUUGGGUGCUGCUGCCCGCAUAUAUCUAUUAGAUGGCUGCUACCAGUUGGAUUCCGUGGCCGCACGUCGUAUGGCAUGCUUGUGUUCAUUCUAUUUUUAAACGGUUGAGAAAUGGAUGCAGAUGUUAUGCCAUCAUCGUCUCAGAGUGAGGUCGGUUGGUACUUGCAUGGUGUUCACAAUUUGCAUCCCAUUCAAUUAACUUUUGUGCCAUGAUCCAGAAAACAAAGCUGACUUCCAAAACCCUUCCUUCAUGGAAAUAUUCACAAUUACUGCUUUGGGAAAUUUGGAGAAAUGAAUGGUGUUGUCUUCAAGCAACCAUGGCCUACUUUUCAUCUGUGGAAAUCAUGCUUUGCUGAUGAUGUAAAUCUGCACCUUUAUUAUUUAAUGAAACCCACACUUGGCCUCAGUAUUUGUUCUGGGUCCACCUCUGAUGUUUUGAUCUUCCCUUUCUUUCUUUUUUGGCCUGUUUUGAAAGGUUGUUUGGCUUGUACAAUUUCCUUUCACUUUUGUUUGGUUCUCUAAUCAUAUCCAUCCUCCCUUUUUUAUAGUAACAUAUUAGGACAGUAGGGGUUUUACAUUUCUGUAUUCCCUUUAGAACAAUUGUAACCUCGCCCUUCAGUAAAAAUCCUUUGUUAUCAUAUCAUGUCUCAUCAUGUGAGUUUGUGUAUUAUAGUCAAGUUUAUCGCUCGUGGAAUUUGAUUGGUUGUAAGAUUUGUGGCAGGUUGCGAUUUGUGAGCUCCCAUUUCACCCCAUCAGCUCUGAUUGGCUAGGAGGACAUGGCGGGACGUAAGCAUCUCCUAACUGUUUUUGUGCAUUUCUGGUGCUUACUUAAAACAUUCAGCAAGUCGGCUAGGCAUAUUGCUCUAUUCUAAAUAUGUGUGUGCUCAUUAUGAUCGGAUUGUUGUCCCAGCUGUGUGAUACGUGGUUGCGUACCUAAAAAGAUAUUGGUGUAUGGUUCAUCUUUCCGCGGAGAAUUUGAGGUUAGUCGUUUUACCGUCCUAUUGUAGGUACCAAAAUGUUUGGGAAGGUGAUGACAAGUGGAAUAUAAGAAAAUGAUUACUUUGGGUGUCUAUGCCUUCCCUAGAAUGUGAUGGCAGAUUGCAUUUGAACUUUCAUUUUAUUACAAAUGCAGGAUUCAAAGCAUUUUGGGUGGGAGAUUAAUGGAGAUAUUAGCUUCAAUUGGAAAACGCUGCUCGAAAAUAAGGUCAGGACUCAACCUCAAAUACAAGCACAAUUCUCCACAACUGCUAAGCAUGAAAAGAGUGUCAUACUGCCUAUGGUCCUAAUUUUUUUUCUUCUCUGCAGACUAAAGAAAUUGUUAGAUUAAAUGGAGUAUACCAGAGAAUCAUUGGAAAUGCUGGUGUAACAAUGAUUGAAGGGGCAGGCAGUUUAGUUGAUGCUCAUACUGUUGAAGUUAGCCAGCCUGAUGGUUCAAAGCAAAGGUAUACAGCAAAGCACAUUUUAAUUGCGACUGGUAGCCGAGCUCAACGUGUCAACAUACCUGGAAAGGUUUGUAAGAUUCCACUCCUACUUUUUGUAACUUCCUUUUUCUAGAACUUGUAACUUCCUUCCUUGUCCUGGCUGAUUGUACUGAUGCUUGUUUCUUUCCGACACCGGAUACCUGAAUAUCAAUGGUUGUUGAAAUUUCCAAUAGGCUACAUGAAAAAGGGUUUUUCACCAUGCUUCUCUGUUUGGACUGUUUUGAGCAAGACAAAUAUUAUCUUUUUUUAUCUAAGACAGCACGUAUUCCCAUUUUUGUUCUAUUUGCAUUGUUUGUUUUGUUUUCACUUUGUCAUUUACCCUUCUGGUGGAUUAUUCUAACACCAGUGAAAAUAACCUUUUGAAGGAGCUGGCUAUUACUUCAGAUGAGGCCCUGAGUUUGGAGGAGCUUCCCAAGCGUGCUGUAAUCCUUGGUGGCGGGUAAAGUUGUAUGCUGCUAUUUUAAAAAUAUAUCACGCUGUUGGUACUAAUUCUUUGACAUAUCUCUGUCCAUGUGUCCGGACAAUGCAGAUAUAUUGCUGUUGAAUUUGCUUCUAUCUGGAGAGGGAUGGGUGCAGAAGUAGAUUUGUUUUAUCGGAGAGAACUUCCUCUAAGGUAUGUAGUUUAAUCUUAGGAACUCCUACUAUUACUAAUCCUGCACUGGCUAGCCUGGCUCCUUGUUUAAGUAAUACUUGUAAUACUCCUGUUCUUGCAUUCAGGUUUUUAUCAUGUGCUACAUUUGUUGCAUUUGGGUACUUUCCUGGUAGUGAAAACAACUAGACAGGAAAAAUUUCCAUAUUUAUACAUUGAUGUGUCUUUUAACAUUCGUAAUAACUGUCAUUGUGAAAAGUCAGACUAUGCUUAUGUGCUUAGUAGAAACCAAGAAAGCCAAAGAACUGAUUCUUUGUUGCUCUAUUAUGGACCGAGCUCUAUUAUGGAUUUGCUGCUGUGACAUUACAUAGAACUUUAUGAUACAACACCACCAAAAAAAACAUCUUAUUAGCUCGACCAUUACAUCACGUACACAUGAAAAAACCCACCUGAAUAGUAUAAGUUUUUUUGUAAAAGCUUUUCAACUAAGUAGUGCACGCUAUGACUUUAUGAGUCUUGUUUUUGGAACCUGGACAUAUAAGUCAGCUAUCUGAUUACAACAUGACCGCCUAGUUGGCACUUAUUGUCUAAUGUAGUUGUAUGAUACUUUCAAGUCCAGAAAUAAGAAGAUUGUUGCUAACAUUGAUGUGGAGAUGAAAGAUGGGCAUGACAUUACAUUAACAAACCGACUAUGUGCAGAGGCUUUGAUGAUGAGAUGAGAGAAGUUGUUGCAAGAAACCUUGAGGGAAGGGGAAUCAAAUUGCAUCCUGGGAGUAAUCUGUCUGAGGUGAUUUAAACUCAAGUCCUAUGGUAUGUUUUGAUUCCUCGAUAUCAAUUUCAAGUCUGACCAAUUGCAUUUUAUUUAUUUAAACCAGUUGAGUAAAACGGCCGAUGGCAUAAAAGUUGUAACCGAUAAAGGAGAGGAGCUCAUUGCAGAUGUUGUUCUAUUUGCUACAGGUAUUUAGGAAAUCCCCCUAGUUGACUUCUUUGUUGCAUUCAAACAUUUCUUCAAAGGUCCAUUUUGAGAAUGCAUGAUAUUCCUUGGUUUCAUCUUUGUUCAGAACAAAUUUUGUAUGUACUAUCUUACAAUAAUUAUUUAGUUCCCUAAUAAAAUAUUCAAAGAAAAUAUUUAUAGCUAGUUAUUUGAGAGAGAAAAGUGGCAAUUUACUUAUUUCCCCCCGAGUCUCAGACUUCAGAUUUCUUACACUAUAUGGAACACAGUAUUUUGGCAUUUAAUACUAUACCCAUGGGUAUUUAAUUGAUUGCAGGGCGCACACCCAACUCCCAGAGGCUCAACUUGCAAGCUGCAGGUGUCGAGGUUGACCAGAUUGGAGCCAUUAAGGUUGAUUUUUCUUUCUUUGCUAGCUGUUUGUUUUCUUCUUAUGGGAUAUUUUUACACCUGGAAUUUACUUCUCAUAUUUCUUUUACCCAUAAACCAAUAUUGUAUCAGGCAAAUGAAUUUGCCACUAGGGCAAGUUUUGGAUUGUGUAUUUUGAGUAACUUAAUGUGGCUAUUUUUGAUAUUUUCUCUGUUUAGGUUGACGAAUAUUCUCGCACAUCUGCUCCCAGUGUAUGGGCUGUGGGUGAUGUUACAAACCGGAUCAAUCUAACUCCUGUUGCAUUGCUGGAGGCUACAUGCUUUUCUGUAAGUGGUUGUAGUAGUUUAUGAUUCCAGCGAAAUCGGUCAAGUUCUUGGUCUGUAACUGGCAACUGUUUACCUUUUCACAUUUUCAACUGCAGAAAACUGUGUUUGGUGGCCAGCCAGUUAAGCCUGAUUACAGAGAUGUUCCUUGUGCUGUUUUCUCGUAAGUAACAAUUGCAAUCUUGAUCCCUUUAUAGAAAAUGCUGGAGUUACUAAGCCUCACUAGUUUCAAAUCUAGCUGAUGUGCUUGUUCAAAGAUGCAAUAUGUUCAAUUGAUAAAUUUUUUUUGGGCUGAUGCUGAUUUCUUUGGAGUUUGAUGCUUUUCCUGCUUUAUCACUUCUUUCGAUAAUAACAUGAGACUCUAUUAUGUUCAAUAGCAUUCCACCACUAUCUGUAGUGGGCCUCAGCGAACAGCAGGCCUUGGAGGAAGCCAAGGGUGAUAUUCUUGUUUUCACUUCAUCAUUCAACCCAAUGAAGAACAGCAUAUCCAAGUAAGUACUUUUAAAUGUCAUGAGAUCACCUAUGAGAUGUUUUCCUUUUUGCUCCACUUCACAGGGUUCACCCUGUGAGCUGACAUGUAUUUCACAUUCAAGAUGGCUUGUUCUACUAUUUUCACAAGUCAUGUGCUCUUCUUUGUGAUUCUUAUCUCCUGUGGAAUGCAUCAUAACUCUGUUUCUGUUCUACAGGCGACAGGAGAAGACUGUCAUGAAACUGGUAGUUGAUGCUGAAACUGAUAGAGUACUUGGUGCAUCCAUGUGUGGACCAGAUGCACCUGAAAUUAUCCAAGUAUGUACAAUUCUUUUACCUUUUCAGUGUUUGGGUCCCUUUUCUCCCAUUCUGUCAUUCUUGGUUUCUUCUUAUGACCGAGCUUCCACUUGAUCCAGGGCAUUGCUAUUGCACUUAAAUGCGGAGCCACCAAAGCAAACUUCGACAGCACGGUAUGUUUGUUUAAAGAGGAACCUUGCUUGCAGUAAAGCAGCUGCUAAUAUCUAGCGCCUGAUGGUGUCUCUGUUGGCUUUUCAGGUUGGAAUUCACCCUUCGGCUGCUGAAGAGUUUGUAACCAUGAGGACCUUGACCAGGCGUGUGAGCCCGACGUCCAAGCCAAAGACAAGCUUGUAAGCGACAUUGGUGGUUUGGACUGAACAUGUAUCAUCUGUUUGAUCGACGGGACGCAGACUCUGGUUUCAUUUUUUGUUAAUUUUAUUACGUUAUCCGAACCGGAACGCCAACGCUGUAUAUUAAAGGAAUAAGGGUUUUUUUUUGCAUAACAGCCCACAUAAUAUUUUUGCGAUGGUCUUUAAUAUUUUUAUGGUCCACACAAAAUAAUGAGGUUGUGAAGCUUUAUUUAUAUAGGUAAAGUUUAACAUCGGCAUGUCGGCCGUGUUCUCUUGGCCAUUGUUUUAGGUGCUAUGCUGCCUGUAGCACUACCACUUGAAGUCUUGAACAGAGUGUAUGGGCGGCCGGAGCUCACCGGAGAGCAGGUGCGGCCGCCCACUUGGCCUGCACUUUUCCGCUCACUAAGCGUCCGUGUAUGUGCAUCGCCGUUCGCGUCGGGCAACCAGGACAUUCGUUUUGGUGGGCUGAAGUUAGGUAUUUGUGGCCCAAACAGGGCCUGGACAGUAAAUAUGUUCCUUAUUUUGUGUUGUUAUUAUCACAGGCCUCGCCACCUCUUAGAGCCAGCCAGCCGUGGAGGCAUAAAGUUGGUGAGGGUUUAUGGAUGACUUCGGUUGGUUGGUUAUCCGCAGCAUCUCAAGUCUUCUUUACAAUGUUGGUAGAAAAUGGCAGUUGGAUAUGUCACGGUAGCUCUAUUAUUGGCCGAAAUAGUGAAAGGAGGCUGCACUUCUAAGGUUCUAAUCAUAGCCGUCGCGCCGUGAAAAAAUUGGAGAAGGCUGUAGUUAAGUAAAGGUUAGCCUCUGACCGCAAUCAAUUUGAGCAGAUGAGAUCGGACCCAGGACAGGCGCGCAGCUUGGAACGAUGAGCUGGAUGUGCAUGAAGACCAGAAAGUGAGUGUACUUUUUACCUGAGCUGACACGAUGCGCAAUUUCCAUGGAGCUUCUGUGCCAUUGGUCUCUGUAGUUGUUGAAAAGGUCCGCCGCAACUAACAUUACGGUACGUCAACGACUUGGCUAGUUACCAAGCUGUCGAAUUCAAUGCGCAUGUGGAAGAUUGAGAAAACUUGACUAUACAUGCAAUGCAGGUGCCUGAUGCAGUGAUCCGGGGGAUUUCAUCGUGUCCUGUCCUCAGAUUUUUGACACGAACAAUAAUGAGGAAACAAAAUAAUGGCCGGGUGGUGCAAUUUACGGUGACGCGGCGCAAAUCUCUACUUAAUAUUAAAGCAAGUAAGACUUCUACCUCUUUUUCUUUUGUCCGUCCUGAUAAGUGGAUCCCACUUGUCAGAGGGCUCCGUCUCUCUCCCUCCCGUCCGCCGCCUGCACGCCUCCCUCCCAUCCCUUCUUCGGUCCCUCUCUCUCCCUUCCGACAUCCGCCCAUCCCUUCCUCCGUCUCUCGCCAGCGGCACAAUGGCUCGUUCCUAGCCCCUCCCACCCUCCUCGUCCACACGUUUUUCUGAUCUAGCGUGCCAGCAGCAGUCAUGACGGUGCCCACGGCAGCCGUGGAUCUCUCCGUGCCCGACGGUGUUACUAUCUUCGAGUUCUCCUAAACCAUGUGACAGGCGCAACCUACUACGAAGACAUACGAACAGUUGAUGGCCAAAUAUUGCCAUCAUUUCAUGAAGCUGCAGAGAAAAGGGGUCUCAUUGAGUAGACAACACAUUAGAUGAUUGCCUGAUGGAAGCAGAGUUAUUUCGGAUGCCAUCCCCGCUGCGAAGUCUAUUUGUGACUAUCCUUGUGUUUUGUGAGCCCCACGACAUCCGUGCACUAUGGAACAGUCACCUUGAGGAAAUGCCGGAAGACUAUCGACAAAACGGCAAAAAUGCAAGAGCGGUCGAACAUAUGGUAUUAAUGAAUAUCAGGGAUAUGUUGCAAUCGCUGGGAAAAGACAUACGAUCAUUUCCUCUUCCAAAAAUCGAUGAGAAAAAUGACACAACAGACAAUACACCUAGGAAAAUCACCGAGGAAACCAACAUCGAGGUGGACCCUGAGGGCAUGGAAUUGCCUAAACACUUAAAUGACGAGCAAAAGGCCGCUUAUAAUGAAAUUCUAACCACGGUCGACCAUGAUGGAGGAGGGCUAUUCUUCGUAGAUGGCCCGGGAGGAACGAGGAAAACUUUUUUAUCCAGGGCAUUGCUUGCAAGUUGCAACAGUUCGUGGACAAGGAAAAAUAGCUUUAGCAACAGCAACCUCUGGUGUCGCUGCUUCCAUAAUGCUCGGAGGAAGGAUAAUGCUCGGAGGAAGGACAACGCACUCGAGGUUCAAGAUACCACUAAGGAUAGAUGAUGGGGCUAUUUGUUUGUUCACAAAACAAAGUGGAACAGCCAAGCUACUUCAGGCAGCAUCGCUAAUCAUUUGGGACGAAGCAUCUAUGACUAAGAGGCAGGCAGUAGAGGCACUGGACAAAAGCAUGCGUGACAUAAUGGAUAUACCAAAUCUUCCAUUCAGGGGAAAACAAUGGUAUUUGGGGGAGAUUUUAGACAAGUUAUACCGAUUGUACGAAAGGGUACAAGAUCCCAAAUAGCAGAUGCCUCACCGCGCAGAUCUGAACUUUGGAAUUGCAUGUAUCACAUGAAGCUUGUGCGCAACAUGAGGGCUCAAAACGACCUGUGGUUUGCAGAAUACCUACUGUGCAUCAGCAAUGGCACUGAAGAGACAAACAAUAAUGACGAGAUAUGUUUGCCUACAAAAAUAUAUGUAUUCCACACAUGGUGGAUGAUUCCGAACUUGAUAGACUCAUCGACAGCAUCUAUUAAAUGCACAGUGCUUGCCUAAAGGAUCCAAAUUGCAUCACGUGUGUAGACCACAUUAAUCUAAAAAUGAUUGAUCGAUUCCAAGAAGAGGAGAUGGUCUAUGACAGCUUCGAUAGUGUAGAAGAUGACCCUCAUAACUACUAUCCCCCGAAACUCCUAAACACAAUAACCCCAAAUGGACUACCUCCACAUAUCCUGAAGCUCAAGAUUAUCUGUCCAGUAAUACUACUCAGAAAUAUCAACCUAGCUAAUGGACUAUGCAAUGGCACAAGGUUGUGGUACAAGGAUUCCAGAAAAAUGCAAGAUGCAGAGAUUGUGCUAGGAUAAUAUUAUGGGACACGAGUUUUCUUGCCUCGAAUCCCGCUGUGAUGAUGAGAUGUUCCCAUUCCGUUUUAAGAGAAAAUAAUUUUCUGUCAGGGUAAGUUUUGCAACAAAGCACAAGGAUAGACAAUACCAAAUGUAGGCAUCUACAUGCCUAAAGCGGUUUUCUCUCAUGGUCAUAUGUCGUGCUUUCUAGAGCAACAACGGCAAAGAAUAUAAAGAUACUAAUGGCUGAAAAUGAUGAUGACGAGGAGGACCAGAAGCAGGACAACAAAAUCGAGACGUAAGAGAAGAAUAAGAAAAGGCAAAAAAGGAAGAGCAAAAGCGACAUGUCAGAUAAGACAAAGUGAAUCAAAAAGACACAACUGAUACAUACACGAAGAAUAUAGUGUAUUCAAAGGUCCUCACCAAAUAGGUGAUGUAUAUCAACUGAAAAAAAAAAUACUAGUUAGGCUAAAGUCUAUAUCUAUUACUUCAUCCAUGCGAAAUCUAUUUAAUUUGGUUAUCAUUAAGACUACAUUACGACAAGAACAAAAUAACAGCUAUAUGAAAGAAAAAAACUUAUGGAAGGCAUUGAUUUCUCAAGAUCCAAUCAGCCAAAACAUCCAAUCAACCAAAAAAACAUGUGCAAUCGAUAAGGGAAAAAAGGACUACUCACUAAAUCCGUGAGAUACUUCCGCUGCAAACAUAAUGCGGCUUAAUACAGUUCAAUGCACCAGCAAGACAGGUGAACCCAAUCCACUGCAACAAUGGAAUCUUACAGCAUGACAGUGCCUGGCGGUAACAAAAAUUUCCAAUCCGCGUAGAUGAUCCAAAACCAAAAGAGGAAGUCAGCAGCUCGAUACGGAUGCUGAAUGCAAGUGCGACAUAUCUAAGGAAACAUACAGAUUUGGGGGAAAAUUGUAAGAAUGGGAAAAAAAAUUGCGUAUGCGCGUGGCUGUGUGUGGCGGUGACUACCUGGUAUCUAGAUAGAAGCAGAGUACGAAGGGAAUGUCCUGCCUGGACUGUAAAUCAGGUGUUGCAAGUGGGCCGAGCUAUAGGCCCAAGGUGAUGACAUAAAGAAAAAAAGAAUAAAUUUGAUUUAAAUAAGGCUUCUACGUGGGAAUAAUUAUGAAUAAAAUAACGUAGAAUGUAAAUAAUUAAAAAAAGUAUAUAGAUUCAGGGUAAUAUAAAAAAUAAUAAAAUUGAAAUUUUCUACAAUUACGUUAUUUAAAGUAUAGCAACGCAUGUGUAUAUUUAUACUAGUUGAGUCAAAACAAGGAACUGCGGGGCCGUGCCCCGUGGCGUUCGCGUGCCCAGCUGACUGAAUUACGAAAAGGAAAUAAGUAAAAUACUGUACUUACUUAGUGUUGGAGAGCUAGUACUGUAACCCAAAUUUGUAUCCAAUUAGUUUUGCAUUCUCCGUAUCAGCUUAAUAUUUUUUAAAGAUGUGUCGAUGCUAUGCAUAUGCACCGGUUAAAUUUUACAACAAUAUAUUUCUAUAUUAUAAAAGUAAAAUCAUGUUUUUGUGUCAACAUAAGGGAAUGCAAUGGCAAUGGCAAGUAAGAUGGCAAAAUUCCGCCUGGGUUGGAGCGCGCGCGUGCAUUCACGUCUGCGGCGCCGCGCGCCGCAGGCGCGGAGGACGACGACGACAGCGAGGAGCAUCGGUUUGGCGUUUGGACUGGGGCGGCGACAGCUUCUUCUAAGACAGGCUGAGUAGCCAGUAACGCUGCCCCGGGGCCGGCGUGUCCGCCGCUACAAUUCAUCACUGGCAGCAUUGACUACACAAGCCCCUGGCCAACACAGCACGCUCAUGUAUACUAGAUGGAAUGGAAGUGGGCCGUGUCAUCUCAUUCAUUCAUUACUAUAGCUAGCUACUUCAUCUAAAGUAUUGGCAGCUACAGGUGACAUGUCCUGGCGAUGUACUAGUGUACAGCAAGUCAGCAACAAUAAUCCAGCUUACUUAGCCAACUGAUCUGAUGAAGAGAGCAAAGCCUAACGCUGGUCCUAGCACCUGCUACUCCGUGGCCGUGCACAGCGUUGCAUCAAGCUAAGGUCACACUCACAGCUAUGGCAAUCAACGGGUAGGGCCUUGUUGCCUGUUGGUUCGACCCUCAACAGGAGGAUGACUAUGACUAUCGAGGCAGGCGGGAGCGCGAGACACAUGCAUGCAUGGCAGCGCAUGCAGCAAGUGGUGUCCUUUUCAUGCCGCGCCACUGAUGGAUCACACAGGAAACAGGACUUGCCUCUGCACCUAGGCAUCCUUGGAAACUAAGCUUGCGCGAGCUGGCUAUUAAAAUCGUGUGGGGGCGAUCGAUCCCCAGCAGCCGCAGCGAAGCAUGGAUUAUAGAGUUGAAUGGCACCAGGGAUGCAGGGGCGCCAUGCACCUUUUCCUGUACUACGUGUCCGACAACUUGUUUGCUGCCCCCCAGUGCCCACACUUACCAAUCGUCAUCUCUUUGUCUUCGUGAUGAUGGUGCUGCCAGUGCAUGUUUUAAUUGCCAUAUGGGGAUUAUUGAGGCUCCACCCAGUUCUGUACGUUCUUGUGUCAAAACUAAACGCAAGGCUAUGUAUACUUAGGGCGUUCUCGGGUUCCUGGGUGGGCGAGGGUCGCCUCGCCUCGCCUCGCCCUCGCAAGCGAGCCUCGCCUUGCCGGCCCAGGCGAGCGGGAACAGCUCUCCCGCAGAAGCAAGCUUUCAGCUUGCCGGCACAGACCCCAAGGAGAGCUUGCCGAGGAACCGAACGUUGCUUUCGGUCCGGUUUAUUUCCACCCUCCUAAAAUUUUAGCUCCUAAAAAGUGAUUAAAAAGGACUAAAGAGUCAAACACUAUGAUUAAAAAUGACUAAAAACUUUUAGAAGGCUUCAAUUUUCUUUAGGAGCUCCACCCCUCCUAAAACCUCCUAAAGUCCAUCCUGAACCUCCACUGCCCCUCAUUUAUUGCCCCCCUCUCUCUCCCACCCUCCCUCCCGCCCGGCCCCUCACCUCCAUUCCGCCCGCCGCCGGCGUCCCUCCCCGCCCAGCCCCCGCCGGUGGCAUCCUUCCCGCCGCCGCCGGCAACCCCCACGGCAACCCCACCCCCACCGCUCCCUUGCGUCGCCACACGGGCCGGCCGAGCGCUCCCCCACUGGAUCCAGGCGAGGGAGGACCGGGAGGGGGGGCGGUGCCGGGAAAGAAGAGGAGGGGAGGGGUGCGGUGGCCGGGAUUCAAGGGGAGGGGGCGGCGCCAGCGGGAGGAGGGGAGGGGGUGGUGGCCGGGGAGGAAGAGGAGGGGAGGGGCGCGGCGGCUAGGUAGAGGGCGGCGGCCGGAGGAAGGAGAGAGGGGAGGGGUGCCGGCGGGAGGAGGGGAGGGGGCGGUGCCGGCGGGAGGAGGGCGUCGGCCGCCACUGGCGGGCAGUGAGAGGGAGGGGCACCGGUGGGGAGGAGGGUGCGUGUGUGCAGGGAAGUGGGAGGAGGGGAGAUGUGGGCAAACAAGGAGCAGAGGCAUAGGGAGGGUAGUAUGGUCAUUUUGUCACAACAUUUAUUAUUUUUAGUCAGUUUUAGGAGGUGGAACCAAACAUACUUUAGAUCAUGGACUAAAAAAUGACUAAAACUUAAAUUUUAGGAGGUGGGAAAUAAGCAGGACCCCCUUACCCAGCUAAGCAAAGCAAGGUGUAGCAAGGGAUCCAAGUACCCCCUAAGUAAAAGAGUAGAAGUGAGUGAAGGCUCCAUCCAUCAAUCCAGUUGGCACUUGCUCUGUAUCUGCAUGGCACAAAUUCAGCGAACAAAGCAGAGGCACCAAAGGACACGGGAACGGGACACUGGAUGCAUAUAGCAUAGUAGGAGUAGGAGUAAGAGUAGGAAUAUCCAUUCAAUAGCUUGGUUGUCGUUGCGCGCCUUCUCCUCUGUCGCCGACGUCCUUGUCCAGGCCCAUGUUCCUGUGCCUUGUCGUCGGUUACCUUUCUCCGAUUGUCAUACCACCAACGCCGACCAGCUAGCGAGGCAACAUUCAUGAGUCAUGACCACCACCACCGGAUGACCGCAUGUCCGCUGCAUUCCAUUCAUGAGUAACCGUCAAGGCCAAGCCAGCGAUCCAUUGUUUGCUUGGUGCAUGGAACAGGACAUGCAGCAGGAUGGUGCAUCGAGAAAGAGGCUACCCAACUCAUCUCUUCCGGCGACUGCUGAAUCAAUGGUACGUACUCAAGAUUUUUCUCCAUGCAAACAAAGCAUAUGCAUGCGUUAACUUGAGGAAGCAAUGCAAGAAAAUAAUUAUAUUUCAGACCAGGGGGUGAUUAUCAAAUGUAUAUGUUCCUGUAAAGGUUCAAAGCCGCAUAUACACACAUACAAGAAAUAUAAAAUGCUUCCUGGUACAAUACCACCUUGCUAGCUUGUAUCUUUUUUUUUUCACGCACACCCUGCUACAAACUUCUUCCUUCUUUGCAGCAGAGCAUGUACAUCUAAAAGACGACGAAUGGAAUGGAUUAAUAAUAACAAUUGGCGACGGUGUUAAUUAAUCGAUUAAUCAACUGAUGAUGCAUGAUUAGAAGACGAAGCCGCCUCCCUGUCCCUGGAUGUCGUUGACCCAUCCGAACUUGUCCAUGUAGGGGUUCACCAGUGUCUCCGGCGGAUACUGGUCGAUGCAGUCCUCCCAUGCCCCGGCGUCGGCGAGGUCCCUGCUCACCUCCCAGUAGCAGCUGUUGCACUUGAACCCCGACCCGAAGGUGACCAUGAGCACCCUGUCCCCGCGCUUCAGCCGCCGCUUCGCCUCCAUGUAGGACAGCACGUACCAGAGGCUGCUCGCCGACGUGUUCCCCCACCGGUGCAGCGUCAUCCUCGCCGGCUCCACGUGGUGGGCGGUGAGCCCCAGGCUCUUCCUCACUGCCUCGAUCACCGCCGUCCCGCCGGGGUGGAGGCAGAAGUGGUCGACGCCGGUGGUGAAGUCGAUCUUGGGGCCCUCCCCCGCCCCCGCCGCCUUGGGCUUCUUGAGGAGCUUGCGGAGGAGUAGGCGGGAGGCGAAGCGCGCGAGCUCGCGGGCUGGGAGGAUGCGGGGGGCGAGGCGCUGGAGGUUGUCGGUGAAGGCGCGGACGGCGGCCUUGGGGAGCGCCUUGCUGAGGCUGACGCCGAGACGACCGUCGGCGUCCUCGCGGUGCACGGCGGCGGCGUGCGCGUCGUCGUGCGCGGCUAUGUUGGCGCGGACGAGGCACCGGAGCUCCAUCUUGGCGCGGUGCCGGAGGGCGGGGUCGUUGGUGAGCAGCGCGGCGGCGCCGCCGCAGCGGAAGAGGCAGUUCCCUAGCAUCAUGGACUUGUCGGUGCCGACGUACCAGUUGGGGGCGCAGGACUCGGAGGUGACGACGAGCGCCACGGUGCGGGGGCGCGUGAGCAUGACGUUCCGGGCGAGGUCGACGGCGAUGAGCCCGGCGCUGCAGCCCAUCCCGGAGAGGUUGUAGGCCAUGACGUCCUCCCGCAUGCCGAACCGCCGCACGAGGCGGGACACCAGCGACGGCUCCGGGGAGAAGGAGCCCACGUUGAGGACGACGAGGUCGACGUCGCGCGCGGGGACGCCGGUCCUGGAGAGGACGGCGGCGACGGCGUCGGCGAAGAAGUCGUCCAUCUCCUCGAGCGAGUCGGCGUGGGUGGGGGUCUCCUCGCGGCCCUCGAGGACGUUGCGCGGGCAGUAGGUGUGCUCGCCGAUGCCGGAGUUGACGAUGACCUUGAGGAGGAACCGGUACUCGGAGAGGCCCAGCCGCUUGUUGCGCUCGAUCACCGCGCCGGCCGUCUCCGUGGUGACCUUGCGGUCGUCGGAGGGCUUGUGGCACGCGUAGUCGAGGAGGUAGCAGCGCGACCGCCGGCGACGCGACACGGCCUGCCACGCAAGGUACGCCGCCGCGUGCGCAAGCAGAAGCGCCGUGAGCAGCGCGAGCAGCUCCAUGGAGGUGGGCCGGUUGGUUGGUCACGCAGAGUAAGUGACAGAGCACGACGCAGUGACACUCACUACUUGACUAGUAGGGAGUCGAGUAAGGUGGCUGGCUCAGCUAGCUUGGCAGGAGCAGGAGAUGUGCGUGUGUGUGGCUAUAUAGAAGUGGAAGCCUGCGGGUGGUAUGCUGUUUCGGUGGCGGUUGGUGUGUGUGGUUGCUUGGGAUGGGUAUACACGCACGCGCACGUAUACCGCCACCAGAUGGCGUAUGCCCGCCUGAGAUUUUGGAGGUUAAUGCGGGUCGCCGUAGCUACCAGCGGCCAACUAACCGCUGGCUCAUCGGUUAGGCCACGGCCGCCGUGAUUAAUUAAGGGCUUAAUUUGCAUACGUUUUCAAAUAUAUGAUGAUGUUUAAAUAAGUUAUUGGUUAAAAAUUAACUUACUUGUUCGAAAUGGCUAAUAAUGUCAUAUGUUCAAAAACGAAGGAAAUACGUAAUUCGCCAGCUGAUUUGUCUUUGACAUGAAAGCUAGGCAGGCCGGCAACGGCAACGCGUUGAUCAGCUUCUUUUAGCUAGCUAGCUACUCGGCUACUACUGCUUAUUAGAUGUAGUAAUACGUGUUACUCCUCCCACAGUAGCUACGUACUUGCAGUGUGCACGCAGGUAGCUAGAAAUAAUCGCGGGGCGGCCGGGGUAGCUAGCUCCUGCAAGCACACACGCUAUCCGUGAUCGACAUGCAUGACGAACAUGGAGCAUGAGCAUGGCCAAUGGAUGUACUGGAACAAGGCUGUGCAGUGCUUUUCUUAAUUAAUUUCAGCUUUUACCAGAGUCACGGUCUACCGGCCGCGGCGGUCACGUACAUCAGCCGCUGUGCAUCCGCCGGAUACCUUUUCGUAAUACCAGUACAUCAUACACUACUUGCUAGUAUUUUGAGUUUUUCGUCCCCCAAAUCAAUUAAGAUUUAACAACUCAUUCCAAAUUAAGAUUCCGACCGUCAAAUUUUUUUUUUAAGAUUCCGACUUUAAUUUUUUUCUAACAAAUUAAGUUUGAGAGAUAUUGAUCCAGAUGUAAAUAAUAAAUAACUGUGUAGGAGUUAAAAUUGAUUGAUGCGUACGUGAGUCCCGUACAUGCAUGCAUGAUACUCCCGGCGUACGUGGACGUGUACGGAGCAGCGUAAUAUAUAUGGGCCAAUAGCUAGGUGUGGUACCCUUGGGUCCUCUGACCCCAGCGCGGCGUGUGCAGUACGUGCUAGCUGCUGAACAGUGAACCCUAAGCAUGCAGCAAUAGCCCUGUUGGCUCCUUGCAUUGGUUUGGUUGUUGCUUUGUUUGUCCGCAGCAAUAGCCCUUAAUUGAUCAUUAGACGGGGGAGUUUUGAAUGUGCCCUUGUGGAGAUAUAUUGCGUGCUUAAUACUCUCCCUUAUUGCUGACGCUGCAGCUAGCUAGCGAGCAAUCGAUCGACGCGCAAUGCGAUCUGGUGGCACGCCUUCAUGUUCGUGUUUGGCGGGCGCCCGGCCAGCCUGCAUUAUUUCCAUAACACUGCUACAUUAUUAUCAAUCACCGAUGAACGAACGCAGAUGCAAAAUGGUGUCAGGCAGCUUGAGGAUGGCUAGCUUUAGCUAUAGUGGGGCCGGUAUACGUACGUGAGUACGCGUACGUUCGAUUCAAUCGCCCACGGAUGUACGUACAUACGUUGAAUUUUUUUUUAAAAAAAAAGGAGUACGUACGUUGAAUUCGGCUGGCAUUUCACCACCCAUGGAUCACGUACGUACGAACAGGGGCACCCAUGGAUCACGUACGUACGAACAGGGCAGGUGCGCUCUAGACCGACGGUGGCGUGCAAGUUCGGCCGCAGAUUUCGAUCUUGUACCGGAAAGGGGGCCGCUCUAGCUACCUCACGAGAGGAAACAGGAGCAACAAACAUUCAUCGCCUCCGUCCGUCCUCCUCCCGCCAACAAGCAGUUACGUUGGCAGCUGCGAUGAACAUGCGCAUGCAGCGUAUAGACCUUAGACCAAGCAUGCACACGCGCACAGAUCCAAUAAUGCAUAGCGAAACGGAGCUGGCUGGCUGCCGGUGUAAACCUGUCGGCAGAGACCGGCCGGUACUUUGCAUGCUUUCUAGCGUGUCUGAAUCCUGCGCGGAUCUCCUCCUUCCAUCUACUAGCUCCUAGCAUUGGCCGGCCGGCGAUCACCGUUAAAGAUCGACGAACGAGGGGACCAUUCAAUUCGUUCGCACAGAUAGGUCGUUGGUCCCUUCUUCUUUUUGAUCAGCCCGAAUGCAUUGCUUUGCUAUAGCAAGCAGAUGCAUCGGUCACGGUUAGCUAGAUCUUGCAUUACUCAAGGGCUCAGGAGCUUGGCAAUUUGGCAUUGGUUUGGGGCCUUUGGGCACUUCAGCUUCGCCUCCUCACCCAACGUUCUCUGCCUUUAUUUCCCAGCUAGGUUGUUUGCCCGUCGUUCCUGCCCUUGCUUAGCUUGUCCAAACUUGGUCCCUUACCAUACAUCUUCAUUCGCCGGCCCCAAGCAUUAAUUUUUUUCCCCCAGAUAUUUUAAUUUAUUUGCUUUUUCUAGUACAACUUGUUGAUAGAUAUACGAAAAAAAUGUUGUGUAUCCUUUUCUCUUCAACUACAGUAUUGUAGGUAGAGUAUUGACUUGACGUUCCUUUUCGACCCUGCAUGGAACCUCUAUUUAGUGUCCCUUGACUUUAUAGAGAGCCUCUCGUUAGCAAUAACUAGUCGCAAUGCAAGGAAAUGCAAACGACAGGCCUCGACCGUGACUCUUGCAUUAACACCAGUCGCAAUGCAAGGAAAUCCAAACGUGCCGGCAUUAUAUUGAUCGAUGUAUACAUGGACGACGAACCCCUAUACAUUGUUCAUCGAUCGAUCUUAUCUCCCGGAUCGAAGAAGAAGAGCCUCUCGAUUCAAUUCGUUGGAGUCAAUUUCAAAGAAAGCAUCAGAUUUGGACAUGCAUAGACAGAUGAGAUAUCCUUGAAUUGCUCCCGAACAGGAACAGCUAUGUGCAAGCAUGCAGCUAGGUCGUCUCUGGGCGGCUGUGAAGUUACUCCUGUCACUUUCCGAUGUUCCUUCCCUGGAUCAAGUUGCAAGCUCGAUUGCUUCGACAUCACUCCUGUCAUUGGUUUGGUUUGCUCUGACUUUUUUUGUGCAUUUAUCGAUAAAUAAUGCAACUAACGACGCAUAUCAAAAUCUCGCCCGCAAGAUCACACUGAAAUGGAUGAUGCAGGGUUGUUGAAACGUACUACAACAGCAAACGCUCCAUGAAAUGGAUGAUGGAGCACAUUAACAACGGUCCUACCCGGCCCCUCCCUACUUAUACCACUGUGGACUACAGUGUAUCAUACCCGCCAGGAAGAUUUUUUUUUUUACAUGUCUUCACAUUUCAUAGGGUGAGCUGGCUUUUAUUAUGCUUCUUCUAACGAACGCUGUCACCACAAAUCGAAUAAUCGGCCCCAAAUUUUUGCAUCGCCCGACGAGUGAAUUCCAAUGGAUGGGUGGCACACAAGCCAAACCGAUGGUCAGAGCAGUAAGUCAGCAGUAAAUCAGCGUGCAGCGGCGGCGGCAACCCUACGGCAGAGCAGAGCAGAGCAGGCACCCAGAUCAGGAUCAGAUGCGCUCUCAUUUACUGCUGACGAGAUUACGAUGUCGAUGCAGCGGAUGCGAGUACGAGGGCAGGGUAGCAGAGCCAACCUCGGAAAGAGGGGACCUAAAAGUCAAAAGGCUCUGAAACACUGCUAGGCUCUGCAGGCACUACCCUGCGCUAGGGUUAGGGUUUGCAGGAAACAUCCUGAACCUUACCUAUUCCCAAGGUAAAAACGGCGAUGGAUAUCCCAUGCAGUUGCAGCAAGGAAGAAGAAAGCGCUGAGAGUUGUGCCUCUGGGCCGGCCCGAGGACAUCAGAGGGGCCCUCUCGCAUCUAUCUGUGGGUCGUCCACGCUGGGCCAGUGCAGCAAAAUGGGCCGCGUCCGGCCUUGCAAAGAUUUACACCGAACAAAUUCCUUUUUUGUAAAUAAAACACAGAACAAAAAUUUAUUGGCACUUUGCCUCUGGAUUAUGCUUGCGCCCGCAAAUACUUGCACGAUUAAUUCUUCAUCGCUGCAGGUUACACACAUCUAUUUCAUGGUGGCGGGACGAGGCAGCAGCAGUAGACCUGCAUGUCGGGCUUGCCGUUGCAGAAGCCUUUGGGCUGCAGCCCGAUCCGGGCGCAGUACGCCACGCAGCGCCUCAGGCUGCACGGCACCAUCACCUCGCACUUGGGGUCGUCCUGUGGCUGUAUGGUCACCACGUCGUUCCCGGGAGCGUCCCUGGACGCGGAGCAGGCGGCAACAGCAAGCGCUACUACUACCAUGGCUGCAACAGGAGCCAAGCGCCUUGACGCUGCCAUCUCCUUCCACCGCUCCUUCUCUGAUGAAUCUGGUUUUCUUUGUUCCCGCUAGUACUUAUAUAUGUACAAAAAAAAUACAGGAUAGCCUUGUUACCCCAAGCAUGGAUGCCAUUAAAUGCGUGCAAAAUCUCGAAUCCUGUAUGCAUAUCUCACCCAUUAUUGAUUGAAGAGGUGUUUAUAUGCUGGUACGUUAGAGUAUCUGUGUGCAUUGAUCGCCGUAUCGAGAAAGGAUCGACGAGAUACCGGCAGCAAAAAAUACUACUACAAAACAAUUAUUCAUAUACUGGAAUGGAACAGAAAGAUCGUGUCCAUUGAUUGUGGCCGAAGGACAUCUCUAGAACUAGACCACGACGACGUUUUGGACGGAUCAGGCGGUCACGACGGGGCAGCAGCAGUAGAACUGGAGGUCGGGCUUGGCGGUGCAGAAGCCCUUCUGAUGCAGCCCAGCGUUGAUGCAGUACUGCGUGCAGUCCAGCACGUUGCACGGCACCAUCACCUCGCACACCGGGUCGGCCCGAUCCCUAGACGCGGCAUCACAGGAGGAGGAGGAAACGAGGAGCGCCACCACCAUCGCGAUAGCAAACAGCGACGGCGCUCUUCUGGUUGACACCAUCACCAUUUGGCUGGCGCUGCAAUUUGCUCUCCCCAGUCAGUGGUGGUGUUCUUUCUUGGUGAACCCUCUGCUUUAAAUAUGGCCUUGCUACUGCUGGGUACUGCCAUUUUGUUAACAACAUGUUAAAUGCCUAGAUUUGUCUCAUGAUUCCUCUCCAUUUCUACCAUCCUUUGGCCCAUUGGCGAUCGAGGUGUUAUAUGCAAACCUUAAAAGCCUCAUAUGUUUUGCAUUGAUCACUGUGAUUUUAGCAACCUGAACGAAUGAAUACUAGGCACAAAUAGGAAAAAAAUUAAUUCGUUCAUUUUUACCGGAAAAUUUUUUCGUAUUUACUCCGCUGAAGCAGGUUCUGAAUUGCGUUAUUUACGUCACACAGCAUGUCAGCACUAAUUUCCCUUUUUCUUAAAAAGAAAAAUCAGACCGUCCUUUCCAUUCACCGCGAAUCAAAAUUUGCAACCAGCUUAUCAUUUCCAAGAUAUCAUCCUAAUGGAUUCCGGAAAGAGAUUGCAUUAUGGGGCGCAUUGCAACACAAGUAGAUCAAACACACAGCUGCAACAAGACGCAAGUUCCCAACGAACCGUCAGAGGCCAAUUGCAGCGAGUUUCAAUUGAAACAUUAAAAAGUUACAUAUGAUACAUCAUAAAUAAAAAUAGAACAGGCGGCCACCUUUCAGCCAGUGUUCUAUUCUUUUUUUUUUCCCUGAGCUACACAAACAGCCUAUCAGGAUAAAUACAACACAUCCACAAACUCGCUGCAACAAGCACUUAAACAGCUCAACCAUGACAGGCAACCAGCUACUGCUACUACUACUCUUCCUUAUUUGCCGGAGUAUGAGUACAACACAAUUGCCCACGACACCAAGCUCACCCACAUUUUAUGCCUCGAUCGGAGAAAUAUCAAUUACCCGGUAAAGAAAAGCUACCUAGAUUCAUUAUUGUUGUUUUUGUUAUUUCCACACCUUGACGGAGUUAUCAUGGCUUGCAGAAGCUACCAUCCCUGUCACUGGUGACUGUGCCAGCGCAGCAAUCAGACCUUCAUGAGCUUGUACUGUCAGGCUCUGGUUCUUCACCAUGUUCCAUACCUCGAGAGACUGCAUGAUCAGAAUUUUAGUGAGAAUACUUCCAGAGACAUGUUAAAGACCCAUGCGACCAGAGUACACCUUGACCCUGGAGAAGGGACAAGUGCUACUGCUAACAAAACUUCAUUCUAAGAUUUGUUGGCAAUUUACCACAUUUAUUUCAGUUUUACCCUUCAUCAAUUCUAUCCUUUAUAAGCUAAGAUUUCUAGGUAAUUUUACCUCAUUUGUUCCAGUUUUACCCUUCAUCAAUUCUAUCAUUAACUAAAUUUUUUUUCCAUGUCUCGUUUCCCAAGUGCACUUUAGAUAGGAUUAAUUGAGGUCAGGAUGAUCCUUUCACCUCACCUCCUAAGUUCUUGUGCCCCACACUAAAAUGUCAAAUGCAUUUGUGAUCAAAGGGAUUAGGAAUAAGCUUCCAACAAGUUUUGCAGUACAAACAUACAACGAUGUACACUUCCUCAAAAUGGGUCCUUGGUAUCGAUGGCUAGGUUCAAUAAAGUCACAAAAUUACCUGGUAGCCUCCAAUAACCAAUAGACUGGUAUAGCUUGGGUGGAACACACAGGAAUGGAACUUGUUGCCAUUGGAGCUAAGCUCAUGAAUGCACUCUCCUGAUGAUAUUGACCAAACCUUAACUAGGUCCUGACUGACGGAGGCAAGAUAUUCCCCGCUGUUGUCCCAACACACUGACUGCACAUCAGUGUUAUGACCCUGAGAAUACAAAUCAAGUACUUCAGGUUCACAUCAUAUGGAAAACCCCCAAUUAGUAAAGCACAGAAAAAGAGAGGAGCUUCAUUACUCCAAAACAGAGAAAAAGAAAUACAUCUUAAUACAGUUAUAUACCAACAGUAUGUUAAGGAAUUUGAGAUGUGCAUGUGCAGGGUUCUAGAGAAGGAAAAUGUAGCGCAGGGGAACUUUUCGAACAAAAGAACGAGAUGUUAUGCUGGGUAUUCACAAACAGAACCUGCAGAGUGUAUUUUUUCCCAUGUGUCUCGAUAUCAAAUAUCGAAACCAUGUUUUCAGCAGCCGCGGCUAAAAAUUGUCCAGCAUUAGGUUGAAACCGAACUUGGGCAGUACCACCCUGUACAAGGAAGACAGAGUCGGACAAAACUAUGAGUUACUAAAUUCAUAGAUUCUUUCUCCACACACCCAUAGGGUAGAAGGAAUAUCAACAACCUUUAUGGCACGCAUACACGUAAGCUGGGUCACAUUCCAGUACCGGAUUUCACCAUUGCCAUCACAAGAGCACAGAAGAUCAGUUUUCUUUGGAUGGAAAUCUAACGAUGUGACCUGGAAGCUAUGCCCAGUGAACGUGUGCAGAGAGAAUCCAGGCUGCAAAAUAUAUUUUAGCAUAAGCAAUACUGUACCAAAGGCAAGGCAAGUCAAGUCACACAGAUGGCAUAUUUUACCCAUUAUAUUGGUGCAUUGAACUCGGAUGUCAUAGUAGAAAAUAAUUUCAAGAAUGCAAGAUUUCAAGAUGUCAUUAUAUUGGUGCAUUGAACUCGGAUGUCAUAGUAGAACAUAAUUUCAAGAUCAAUACAAAAGGGGGAAAAGUUAUUAUUUAUAUUCCAAUUCAUUCAUGCCAUGGUUGGAUCUUGUUACCUUUUGUGACAUGGGGACAAUAUGGAUUAGUUGUGAUUACAUUUAUGGCAUAAUUGAAACGUUGCUAUAGGAGGUAUAAUAUCCUUAAAACCUAUCAUGGACAAGUAACUUACAUCUGCAGCGUUCCAUAGUUUAAUAGUUCUAUCAAAAGAUGAUGUUGCCAGGUGAUUAGAGUUAGGCCUGAAACGGACAUCGGUAAUAAUACCGCCAUGCUCUUCUGACGUAUACUGUGUCUGGAAAUUUUCCAUGUUCCAAAGUACAGCCUAUACAACAAAAAUAAAGUACACCAGUCUCAGAAACAUCAGAGGUUCCCAAAAAAAGUGCCACUUCUGGAACCAAAAUCAUAAUUGCAUGGCAGUUUUACCUUCUUUUCAUGUCCAGCACUAGCCAAAAUCUUGCCAUCUGUAGAGAAGUGGCAGCAAACAACUUUGCUGUUGCUUGUGCGCCAACAAUUAACCUCACUGAAAGUAAAACCUAGAAACAAAAGGGCCUGUCAUUUGAUGCUUGCAAAAACAAUCAAGAACAUCACAGAUAUUACCUUUCGAAGUGGUUGGAUUAGGCUCUGCGGGACUUCUUUUGAGUGCAGCAAAAAUAUCCCUGGCAUCUCCAUCGUCAUUGGAUAAGAAGGAUUCAACAUUAUCAUCCAAAGAGCCCACAUCACCAAACUGCUCAAGAUCAUCCUGUCACAUACAGCAAUCGGGUUACCAAUCCAUAUCAUAUAAAGAUUGUAUACAUCCAGGGGUAUACUUUAAAUUAAGAGUAAAAGCUCUAACCAUUUGAUUUGAAGAGGAGGCAAGUCCAGUUCCAUCUGCACCAUACAUCAUUAAAUUCUUCGGAACAUGGCGCAUAUUACCAGCCAUUCCAAGUCCAUCCCCAGGCGUAUGUGUGGAUGGUGUAGAUGGUGGGGAAUUGGCUGAAGGACCCACAGUGUUUCCUGUACCGGUACUAUUUGCUGGUCCUGAUGAUGUAGGCUGCUUUCUUUUUCUAUUGUUCUGGAAAUAAUAAAUAAUUACAGAAUAAGGAGCAUGUAAGACAAAUGGCAAGCAUAUCAGUUCUUAAUAAGAACCGAAUUGCAAUAACUCAUGCAAUUGAAGCAAAUAAAAGGAUAAAUAUCUGAGUGCUCAGUAUUAGUCAUCUCAAAAAGUGAAAUACUUUUCCAGGGAUCAUAGAGUAUAUGCACUCGUUAAAGAAGACAAAUUCUAUGUUACAGUAUGCAAAUUUACAUAUCAUGUUCUCCAAACUAUCUCCAAUGUAUGAAAAUGGCAACUUUACUCUUUUCCAAUUAGAGUAAAUACCAUUUUGAUUUCUUUGGUCAAUUUGGCCUCAAAUAAAUGCAAAAGUGGGGAAUAUUGCAAAAAGAAAUGUGACAUGAAGUCCUAACAGUAGACUACUAGAAACAUUCGAUGUCAUGAAGUUUGACUCAGCUGCAGAACCAGGCCUGCAGCAUUCCAAACAAUCCCCCCAGCUGAUCUCAGCAGCUUUAACCAUAUUGUAUAUAAAAUACAGUGAAUAUAUGCAUAUUCCUCAUGCGUCGCUUCUGUGUGGCAUUCCCUGUUGGCAUCAUUUUCAAGAAAACAAAACUUCCCCCAUCAACAAUUUCAUGUCAUUUCAGCAUCUUCUUAAGAACCAUGGAAUUUACGAAGAAGACCAUAGUACACUCAUGGAACCACCCCCGUUUUGAGAAGAAUGGCAGGAUGCAAAUCAUCACUGCACCAUCUAGUGUGCUUUUAAGGCUUUCGCAGAUAAACAUCUUAAUUCCAUUGGCACUCUAUAUCUAAGUGUUUCGCAAUAAGUUCGAAUUUGUUGAUAGAAGUGCAGCAGUAGAUGCACAAGGGGACAAGCCCACAUGUGAGUCAACAACCAAGAAUAGAACAUGAAAUACAUAGGUUGGGCGUACUGUCAGUACCUGCUGCAUUUGUUGCUGCUGGCUCUGCUGCUGUUGCUGCUGCUGCUGUUGGUUCUGCUGCUGUUGUUGAAGCUGUUCCUGCGGUUGCUGUGAAGAUGUCUGCUGCAUGUGGAUACCUUUUCAGAUAUAGGGAGAUCCCAACAAACUAGAGCCAGAGAAUAUACAGAUUUAAAAGACAAAUUCAAUGAAAGCACACAUCUAAAGCAAUCUGACCUUUAUGAGAUACUCUUGGUCUGGUCUGACUUUGGGUGAACUGGAUUGCAUAGGGGAACUAAUACACCCAUCAGUUCCAGCAGGUUGCCCAUCUUUACCAUUCAACCCACUCCUGGUCAGCGCUGUAAGUCUACGGGGAUCAAUAUCCCCAUAAUUAGUUGAGUUGCCAAGGUUCCCUUGUGCUUGGGCCUGUGCUAAGUAUUGUUGCUGCUGCUGUGGUGACAUAAGUUGGAACUGUGACUGUGUUGAAAGAAAUGGCUUCUGCAUUUGAGCACCUAGAUUCGGCCGCAAUUGAUCAAUUCCCUGUAAGAUGGUUGCACGGAUAUUCAAAGGCGGUCAGAUUCCAAAUAAAAACAUGGGUGUAUAAGGUUUUAUGUUUUUGCUGCUGCUGCAGAGCUUACAGUUAACGGCCAGCCCUUCAAUGGUAAACCACUCACACCUUGGUUCAGUCCUGUUGAAAACAGAAGGUAUCUCAAAAACAAGGAGCAAAAAGAAUGUGAAAUAUAUGAUAAUCUUGAAAUGAAUGCUUCACAUUAUACAAAAGAGUCUCCAAUCAAUCAAAAGAAAAAAAAAUUGUAGCUCUUUACCAAUAACUUGCAAACAUAUCCAUCUGUUACAGCAUUAUACUGUGGUAUGACACAAUCUAAGCCGUCAAAGUAAAUAUAACAACAAAGACUUUUAGUGAUAGUAAGAUAGUAAGAGGGACAUGGUUCAGCAGGCAUGUGGGAAAAAAUAUUAUUUGAGAAGUGCUAAUAUUGUUGUUGUUGCAUGCAGCCCAAGCAAUUAAAAUUUGUCCAUCAACACCACUUCAUAUAUUGUAAAUGCUUGACGAUGAUGGAUAGAUUUAUCUGGAACAGCAGUUACGUAAUAUUAUAGUUUUGUUUGUACUUUAUAAUUAUAUUAGGUAGAAACUAGUGCUUAAAGCUAUGUUUGGGGGACCGUGUUGAUGUCCAAAAUGUCGCUUAUUUCAUCAUUUGUGACUGGUGGGCAUAUGUACCUGCAGCGAUAAAGGCCAGGUGUUCUAAAUAAGGUGCUCCUAUAUCGGAGUGCUAGCUUUAGCGACAUAGGUGGAACUCACAACAGACGGGGGAAAGGGCUCACCUGCACCACUCAAUCCAGGUUUAGGGUGAAUUAUUCCCUGUCCAUAUAAGGAUGAUGGAUCCAUGGGCAAAGAUCUCUGAGGCACUCCCAUGUUACCUUCGCCCUUAAUAUCCUGUUAGAAAGAACACUCAGGUUAGCAGCGCAUACAUUUAGUUAACUAGUGGAAGAACUUGCAAACUGAAUAAACAAGAUGGAACCAAGAACCCACAAUUGUUUGCUGAUUCCGAGCCUGGAUUUGCUGAAGAGUGGUAGACACAUUUCCAGGAGUCCCCGGAACUAAUUGCCUAAUUCCACAAAAUGGUAAGUUGUGUGAGUACCGCAAACAUAUCAGUUUUUAGCUUAACCUUUUUUUUUCCUUUUGCAAAAGUGCAUAAGAGAAAAAUUGGGGGUUGGUGGAUCACCCUGCAUGGUUUGUUGCAGCUGACUUGAGAAGAGCCAUUCUACUAGCAUCAAGAAGCUGUGAUCCCUCAGAGUCCAUUGAAUGUGGGUGCUUCAAGCGUUCUUCAUACAUCUUGGCAGCUAAAACACUAGCUGUUGAUGGCCCCAAAAUGCCAUCAGAGUUUAAAGCGUUUAUUGGGCCAUUAAGUGAAGGAUGGCUAGCAUUAGUUCGCUGAAGUUGAGCAUGUCUUUGCUGCAUAAGUUGCAGUUGCUGCAUCUGCAUCUGCUGCUGGUGCUCUCUUGCCUUUAUUUGUUGUGCCUAUAUAUCCGACAGAGAUUUACAACCAGUGAGAUCAAAAACAAAAACAGAUGCAUUGUAAUUAAGCAAUCCCAAGCUACCUCUAGAUAUGCCGCUGCAACUUCAGAAUGCUUCUCAUUCGUCCUUGCUAUGAAUAUAUCCCAAAAGACAGACCACCACUCAAAGAGAAACCCUCCAGGAGCAUCAAUUGCUGCAUUGCACUUAACAAGUCAGUAUGACAUAAUGAUACUUCAAGUAGGCUACAAAGUCUUAGUCCCAAAGCAAGUUCGGAAGGCUAGAGAUGGAACCCAACAAAGGCCAUGGAAGAGCAUAAAAAAUAGGUAAUAGAAAGAGUAGCAGUAACUACAAAUAGCCUAUCUCAUGGUUUGGGCACAUGGAUUGCUAAUUUCCAGGCUCUCCUAACCAAACGUCCAACUAUAGUUAUUUGGGUAUAUUCAUAUUCCAUCUCUCGAAUCUCUCUGUACUGCCUCUUCACAUGUAAGGUUUCAUCCACUCAAGAACAAGCGACAAAGUAAUUAUUGAACUAUUUGAACCUUCAGGAAAACCUUCAACACGAGCAAGACAUAGCAUGUUUGAGAUAAUUUGAUUGAAUGGCACUGGAUAAAAUAUCAGCAGCAUUUAGCAAAUCAUCAGUAAUAGCUUAUUGGUGAGUAGGGUCCAUACAGAUGCAUCAUGUUUGAUGUUAUGAAUGCUACUCAUGCAGCUUCCGCUUUGCAUGCAUCUGCAAUCUGCAAUCCAUCCAUACACUAACACCAUGCACUUCACAAGUACAAAUGUGAGCUAUUAUCUAAAUCAGUAUGCUUCGAGGCCAAAAAAACGAGGGGGGGGGUAGCAGAUAUAAAAUGCACUAUUGCGUUUGGAAUUCUAAAUUUAUUGCAUUUCAACUAGAGCACUCUUGACAGCACAGCAAAAGGUUAGUUACAUCACAGGAUGCAUCGAUUCCCGACUCCAUCAAAUUCAUGUGCAUGUUCAUGCAAAAAUCUCAUAGCACGCUGCAAAUCCACUCAAUAACAAUAGCUAAUCUACAACCAUUGUGUGUCUGGAUAAGAAAAUAAAAUCACAUGGUUUCUCGCGAUGCUAUGCACCCCAUUUCAGUCUUCACCAGCUCCUCUUUCAGUCUCAAAACCACCAUAUUACUUUAGAACUUCUCUGCCAAAUAGUCCUCAAAACUCUCCAGCCCCCUUCAAAUUUUACACCAUAUAAUCCCAUUUGGCUGAAAACCAAUCUAUAGACAACUCAGUAGUAUCCCAUGCCCUACUUCACCCCGCCCC
rnacentral:lncRNA from 1 species